rnacentral:lncRNA from 1 species
GCGCGUGUUCAAGAGUAGCUAAAGCUAGAUGUAAAACAAAACUCAAGUCGUAAACAAAAAGGACUCGGACUAAAUAAAGGGGGCGCAGCCCCUGGAGUCCGAAGGGGUCACGCGCGCCCAACCCUAGGCGCCCCACCUGGGCUGCCCUGUUGGGCUAUCUUCUUAUUCCGAUGGGCCUUCGUUCCUUAACAGCAUGAUGAAGUUUAAUUCUCUCGCACGGGCUCGAGUGAUUGGCCCAACUGGAUGAGCAACUGUAGGCGCUUGAGGUGGAGGAGCAACUGGAGGUGCCUGAGGUGCUGCUGGUGUAGAUGUACUCGUGGUGUCCUCAUCAUCCUCCCCUUCUUGAACUGAAGUCGUCCUCGACGGCAACUCCUCAUCUUCGCCCACAUACGGUUUCAAAUCUGCAACAUUAAAACUCGUGGAAACACCAAACUCCGCAGGCAGGUCAAGGAUAUAAGCAUUAUCAUUAAUCUUGGUUAGCACUUUAAAAGGACCAGCAGCACGUGGCAUCAAUUUAGAACGACGUAAGGUAGGAAAAUGAUCCUUUCUCAAAUGCAACCAAACCAGAUCACCCGGUGCAAAAGUAACAUGUUUUCUCCCUUUACUACCCGCAACCUCAUAUUUAGCAUAAGCAGCAGCAAUGUUUUGUUGAGUUUGCUCAUGCAAGCUAAUCAUUUGAUCAACAUGUGCAGCGGCAUCUAUGUGUGGGGCGUCCUCGGCAUCAAGUGCAAACAAAUCAAUAGGCGCCCGAGGAAUAUAACCAUAAACAACUUGAAAAGGACACAUCUUUGUAGAAGAAUGCAUUGCAUGAUUAUAAGCAAACUCAACAUGAGGCAAGCAAUCUUCCCAACGUUUCAAGUGUUUAUCUAAAACAGCCCUAAGCAUAGUGGACAAGGUUCGAUUAACCACCUCAGUUUGUCCAUCAGUCUGAGGGUGACAAGUGGUGCUAAACAGCAAUUUAGUUCCCAUUUUAUUCCACAGUGAUCUCCAAAAAUGACUGAGAAACUUAGCAUCACGAUCAGAGACUAUUGUAUUUGGAAUACCAUGCAAACGAAUAAUCUCGCGAAAGAACAAUUCAGCAACAUUGCUAGCAUCAUCAGUCUUAUGACAAGGUAUAAAAUGAGCCAUUUUGGAGAAACGAUCAACAACCACAAAAAUACUGUCCCUCCCCUUCUUAGUUCUAGGCAAUCCCAAAACAAAGUCCAUAGAAAUAUCAAGCCAAGGGGAAGUAGGAAUAGGAAAAGGCAUGUACAAACCAUGGUUGUUCAAUCGUGACUUAGUUUUCUGGCAAGUAGUGUAGCGUGCAACAAGGUGCUCAACAUCAGCGCGCAUCCGGGGCCAAAAGAAGUGGGCAGCCAGCACUUCACGCGUCUUGUAGACGCCAAAGUGCCCCAUGAGACCGCCUCCAUGCGCUUCCUGUAACAACAAACGACGAACCGAGCUAGCUGGAACACAAAGCUUGUUAGCGCGAAAUAGGAACCCGUCCUGUAUGUGAAAUUUGCCCCAUGGUUUGCCAUGAAUAUAGUGGGCGAAAGCAUCUUUAAAAUCAGCAUCAUGCACAUAUUGAUCCUUCACAGUUUGCAAGCCAAAGAUUUUAAAAUCUAACUGUGACAGCAUGGUAUAGCGACGAGACAAAGCAUCAGCAAUGACAUUUUCCUUCCCGCUCUUGUGUUUAAUAAUGUAAGGGAAAGACUCAAUGAAUUCUACCCAUUUAGCAUGACGACGGUUCAGGUUUGUUUGGGUACGAGUAUGUUUUAAAGCCUCAUGAUCAGAAUGAAUUAUAAACUCGCGAUGCCAAAGGUAGUGCUGCCAAGUAUGCAAAGUGCGCACUAAAGCAUAAAGCUCCUUAUCAUAAGUAGAAUAAUUCAAGCUAGCACCACUUAAUUUCUCGCUAAAGUAAGCAACCGGUUUUCCUUCUUGUAACAAAACAGCACCUAGACCAAUACCGCUAGCAUCGCAUUCAAGCUCAAACACUUUAGUAAAAUCAGGCAACUGCAAGAGAGGAGCAUUGGUUAACUUAUCUUUCAAGGUGCUGAACGCAACCUCUUGCGAAUCACUCCAAGCAAAGGGAACAUCCUUCUUUGUAAGCUCAUGUAGAGGCACUGCAAUGGAGCUAAAAUCAUGAACAAACCGGCGGUAGAAACCUGCAAGGCCAAGAAAGCUUCGAAUUUGUGUGACCGUUGUCGGUGUAGGCCACUCCCGAAUGGCAUCAAUCUUGCUGCUAUCCACCUCAAUGCCCUGUGGAGUAACAACAUAGCCAAGAAACGAGACACGUUGUGUGCAAAACAUGCAUUUUUCGAGGUUAGCAAAUAAAUGGGUCGCACGCAAUGCAUCAAAAACAGCACGCAAAUGUUCUAAAUGCUCUUCCAUAGACUUGCUGUAAAUGAGGAUAUCAUCAAAAUAGACAACUACAAACAAUCCUAUGAAGGGCCUCAGAACUUCAUUCAUCAAACGCAUAAAUGUGCUGGGAGCAUUUGUCAAACCAAACGGCAUAACCAACCAUUCAUAUAACCCAAAUUUCGUUUUAAAAGCUGUUUUCCAUUCAUCACCUAAUUUCAUGCGAAUCUGAUGGUAGCCACUACGCAAAUCAAUCUUAGUGAAAAUAAUGGCACCACUAAGCUCAUCUAGCAUAUCAUCAAGGCGUGGUAUAGGGUAUCGGUAGCGAAUGGUAAUGUUAUUAAUACCACGACAAUCUACACACAUACGCCAUGAGCCAUCUUUCUUUGGAACAAGUAACACGGGAACGGAGCAAGGGCUAAGAGACUCACGAAUAUAACCCUUGUCAAGCAAUGCCUGUACCUGGCGCUGGAUUUCCUUCGUCUCAUCUGGACUUGUACGGUACGGUGCGCGGUUCGGAAGCUGUGCGCCGGGAAUGAGGUCGAUCUGGUGCUCAAUGCCACGAAGUGGUGGAAGUCCCGAUGGCAAAUCUUUUGGAAAGACAUCAGCGUACUCCUGCAAAAUGUUAGCAACCGCAGGGGGAAUAUCCAAAGAUGGUGCAUCAUCAAGUGAAACGAGCACACUAGAGCAUAUAAGGGCAUAGCAUAGCAAAGGGGCAUCGCGUAACUCAUCAAAAUCAGCACGUGUGGCAAGCAAAACAGGAGCAUUCAACUUGAUUUCAGAAUUAAUAGAUGUCGAUGGUUCAAGUUGUUUAGCAGUUUUAGCAGCUCUAGCAAGAUCAUCUUUAAGAAUUUGUUCAGGUGUCAUUGGAUGUAUAAUUAUUUUCUGACCCUUAAACAUGAAAGAAUAGUGAUUUGAACGAACAUGAUGCAAGCUAUCAGUAUCAUAUUGCCAAGGUCGCCCAAGUAACAGAGAGCAUGCUUCCAUGGGAAUAACAUCACAAUCGACAAAAUCAGAAUAAGCACCCAUGGAGAAAGGAACACGGACUGAUCGAGUAAUUCUAAUUUUCCCACCAUCAUUAAGCCAUUGAAUGUGAUAUGGAUGUAGAUGCUUACGAGUGGGUAAAGAUAACUUUUCAACCAGCGUGGUACUCGCCAAAUUAUUGCAGCUGCCGCUGUCGAUGAUGAUGCGAAUCGAUCGCUCCUGCACAACACCCUUGGUAUGGAAAAGAGUGUGUCGCUGAUUCUUCUCGGACGGGGUGACCUGUGUACUAAGAACACACUGCACAACAAGACUUUCAUACCUAUCGGCGUCGCCCGGGUUGACAUGUACCUCCAUAGCUGCAUGGUCAGUGGCAAGCGUCGCAUGUCGAGUAUCUUCAGAAUCACUAGCGCAAGAAUACUCACCAUCGUCACGAAGAAGCAAAGUGCGCUUGUUCGGACAGUCCCGAAUCACGUGGCCAAAUCCUUUGCAACGAUGACACUGAAUAUCCCGUGUACGGCCUGUGGGAGGGGCGGCGCCUGUGGAAGGGGCAGCGCUUGCAGGUUUGGCCGUUCGCUCGCGCGGUGUAGUGGUGGACGUGGGUGGCACAGGGAGAGCGGGUGUGGAGUUGGAUGUCGAGCUUCUGCCUGCAAAAGAGUUAGAAUAUGUCUUCGAGCGGCGUCCCUGCACUUCACGUUCAGCUUUGCAAGCAUAUUCAAAUAAUGUUGUCAUAUCUGUGUAGUCCUUAUAAUCAAGUAUAUGCUGAAUUUCGCGGUUCAAACCACCACGAAAACGUGCCAUAGCAGUGUCAUUUUCCUCCAAUAACCCACAACGAAUCAUGCCUAUUUGUAAUUCCUGGAAAUAUUCCUCAACAGAUUUGGAACCUUGCUGAAAACGUUGCAUUUUAUUAAGCAAAUCUCGGGCAUAAUAAGAAGGCACAAAUCUAUGGUGCAUAGCAGUUUUUAAUUGCUCCCAAGUGGUUGGAAUGGUAUUGGGAUGUUUGUGUUUAUAUUCACGCCACCAAAUUAAAGCAAAAUCAGUAAAUUCACUAAUAGCAGCUUUAACUUGAGAAUUAGCAAGAAUAUCAUGGCAUGAAAAUUUCUGUUCAACUUCUAAUUCCCAAUCAAGAUAUGCAGCAGGAUCAUAUUUGCCAUUAAAAGGUGGAAUUUUAAAUUUAAUCUUGGAAAAGGAAUCAUUACCGGGAUGGCGUGGCACGCGGCGGGCACGGCCUCGGCGGUCGCCAUCGUCCUGGUCCGAGUCACCACCAUAACCCUGCUGCAACUCUGCGACUGUUGUGUGCAAUGCAUCGAGUCUUGCCACAACUGAGUCAAGUGUGGCCUUAGCGGCCGUCUGUGCAAGGUCGAGCUGAUCACACCGCUCGGUCGUCGAGGAGAUCGUCGAGUCCAGCUGUUCAUGAAUCGUCUGAAUGUCGGUGACAAGCCCUUCAACUUGUGCCCGUAUGCCCUGCAGCUGGUUAGCCCCCGCGUCGACAUCAUCUGCCAUGGUUAGCGCAAAUACAAGAACACAAGCGACGACAAAACAGGGGUGUAACGGCUCACGAGGCGCUCACACUAGUGCUGUUAUCAAAUUCUUAUCCGUUCUUACCACGCACACAGGGGCGAACUGCAACCAACCGAUGGAACUCGUGAAAGAUUGGAGGAGCGAUUGCCUGGAGAAACAAAAUAUGCUCGUCGUAGAACUAUGUGGAGUUCUGGGAAGGCUGCACUCAAAGGAAGGAUUAGCACAAUCAAACAAUAAUGCAAAGUUGAAAGAUAGUGCCAAACACGUAACAAGAGUUGCUGGUAACAAGGGAAAACAAAAGAACAAAGGCAAAGGUGGAGAGGGCGCACCUCUUUUUUUUUCUAUUUUUUUUUUCCAUAGAGGGUGCCCCAAAACUGAUAAUAUGAACACAGAGGAUCUCAAACAGCAAAUUGUGGCACACACUUUUUCCGAAAGUACAGGGGUAUUCCGGUAAAAAAAAGAUGUACCAAGAAAAAUGUACCAAGAAAGAGAGAUACGGAUAUGAAAAGCUAGCACGGAAUGCGUGGGGGGGGUGCGGUAUGCGUGGGGGGGUGCGAAGUUGCCCCGGAGAGUCGUGACCCAGGGGGGUUCACGGCACGCGCAAAGGGAGUUUCCACCGAAACAAAACCGGAUCACCUUUCUUCUCCCUGUUGGACUCUUUUUUUUUUGCUUCUUUCCUUUUUUUUUUGCACUUUCCUUUUUUUGUGAUUGCUUUCUAUCUUUCUUUUUUUUUUGGAUAGGGGAGGGGGCGAUCGGAGGGGUGGGAUGGCGCGGCGCGGUUGUCGCGAAGGGGGGCGGUGGGCGUGGCGUGGUAGGGUUGGCGAGCAGCGGAACGGCGGCGGCGGCGAAAACUAGGGUUAGAGGAAAAACGAGAAACAAGAGAGUAAACACAAGUAACCAGCAACAAUUGAACGAGUAGGCACACAAAUUCAACAAAGACACUUAUUGAAAGAAUGUGCGAGGCUAAACGGUUGCUGGGACAAGGAUCUAACCUGAAAAAAUUUCUUUUGGUUUUUGUGGACUGUAGGAAGGGAAAAACAGUCGGUAAAACUCACCGAUCAACCUGGAAAGCUGAUACCACUUGAUAGAGUCGGAGUGCCCGAUCUUUCGGUGAGUGGAGAUAAAUUCGACUUGGUGGAAGUAGACCCUCACGAUCCGACUACGACGAGCGAACCCGAAGCGCUAAUGCAAUCGCUGAACCAACUCCCGAUGGUUACCAACCUCGCCGGUGCGAGAUCAGCCUGAUCACGAAGAUCGAUUCCUGUCCGCAAUCGAAGAACGAACAAGAAAAAGAGGCGAGCAAUCUAAAUAUCACUCGAAGGUGGAGUUCUGAAUCACACAAGGACAGCGCGUAUUUGCGCGUGUUCAAGAGUAGCUAAAGCUAGAUGUAAAAUAAAACUCAAGUCGUAAACAAAAAGGACUCAGACUAAAUAAAGGGGGCGCAGCCCCUGGAGUCUGAAGGGGUCACGCGCGCCCAACCCUAGGCGCCCCACCUGGGCUGCCCUGUUGGGCCAUCUUCUUAUUCCGAUGGGCCUUCGUUCCUUAACAGCAUGAUGAAGUUUAAUUCUCUCGCACGGGCUCGAGUGAUUGGCCCAACUGGAUGAGCAACUGUAGGCGCCUGAGGUGGAGGAGCAACUGGAGGCGCCUGAGGUGCUGCUGGUGUAGAUGUACUCGUGGUACGGCGUAGCGUUUGAUAGCCCGUAAGUAGGUCGAUCCACAUGUAGAAUACAUGCGACAAUCUCAGGUCUAAGGACAAAGUGUGUAUGUUGUUUAAAGAGAGAACUACUUCUCGUGUUGGAUCAGUCCUAGCACAUGUCUCCACAUGUGUCCACAUUAUUAGUUCAACAUCUCCAUGUCCGUGACUUGUGAAACAUAGUCAUCAACUAAUACAUGUGCUAGUCUAAUAUUCAUGUGCGUCCUCACAUGAACUCCGACUAGGGACAACUUUAGAAUAACCAUACAAGUAAAGAGUUUCACAUACAAUUCACAUAAUUGCAAAUCAAUUCAAGUAGCCUUCAAUGGAUAUUCAAUGAACACAACAUACAAAUCAUGGAUACAAAUGGAAUAUCAUCAUCUCUAUGAUUGCCUCUAGGGCAUACCUCCAACAAUCUCAACUUGUUUUGCUACGUUAGCAUCACUCAUUGAUUCUUGCCCGAUCGGCUCAUCUUGAACUUCUUCAAGAUGCACUGUCUUUCCACUCUUUUCUCCUUUGAGAAACUCUUUCUCUAGGAAAACCCCGUUCCGAGCGAAAAACACUUUGCCCUCUGAUCGGUUGUAGAAAUAAUAUCCCAAAGUUUCCUUUGGAUAGCCCACGAAAAUGCACUUAUCCGACUUGGGUGUGAUCUUGUCCGAUUGAAGUCGCUUGACAAACACUUCACAUCCCCAAAUCUUUAUAAAAGACAAACUAGGAACCUUUCCAGUCCACAUCUCAUAUGGUGUCUUAACUACAGAUUUAGAUGGUACCCUAUUAAGUGUGAAAGCUGCUGUUUCUAGAGCGUAUCCCCAAAAUGACAACGGUAGGUCCGACUAGCUCAUCAUUGAUCGAACCAUGUAUAACAAAGUUUGAUUACAUCGCUCAGAUACACUGUUUCUCUGAGGUGUUCCAGGCGGCGUAAGUUGUGGAACAAUUCCACAACUCUUUAGAUGAUUGCUAAACUCGUGGCUCAAAUACUCGCCUCCACAAUCAGAUCGUAAGGCCUUAAUUUUCUUGCCACGCUGAUUUUCAACCUUAUUCUGAAAUUCCUUGAACUUUUCAACGGUUUCAGACUUGUGCCUCAUCAAGUAGACAUAGCCAUAUCUACUAAAAUCAUAAGUGAAAGUUAUGAAGUAUUGGAAUCCUCCUCUAGCCGUCGUGCUCAUUGGUCCGCAUACAUCACUAUGUAGGAGUUCCAACAAGUUUACUGCUCUCUCAGGAAAUCUUGUGAAAGGCGUCUUGGUCAUCUUGCCUAGCAAGCCAGCCUCACAUGUCUCGUAUGAUUCAAAAUCAAAUGAAGUUAGAAGUCCAUGAGAAUGGAGCUUCUUCAUGCGCUUUUCACCAUAGAAUCUGUUCACCAUGGUGAUCUCCAUCUCCAUGUUCCAUGUGCGCCAUCCUCCUGGUGAUGAGUCCUCCAAGAACUAGAACAUGCUAUUACGCCUAAUAGCUAGUAAAGAAGGUAGUAAUGAAGAUUACAUAGUUGCUUGGAUCAUCACUGAUUGGUACGCAGACCAUUAAAUACAUUAAGUUAACAACACAUAUGGCUCCUACCGUGUUGCCGUACGCGCGACACGCAGGUCACGAAUGAGUUACACACAUGCAUCACAUACACAAAGGGGCCAUACUGAUCACAAGAUACAACAGCCAAAGGUACUGAGAAAAUUACAGCACCUCACUUAAGUCAUUAAUAAGUUAUUGUAAAAUUUUGGAAGCCACUGGAUCACCACAAACAGAAUUACACGCAUUUCAUUAUUAAAGGUAGCAUGCACUUAACUAUUUCUAUCUUCAAACUCACAGUGAAUCUGAGGUUAAGGCCCUGUUUUGCAUGGCUCCAACUUCGGGUGGAGCUGCUCCACUCCAGAACUUCACAUGGAGCCAGCUCCGCUCCAAAACUCCAGAACUAAAAUGGGGUGUUUGGCUAGAUGGGUGCUCUCAGCUCCAAAAAAGAUCGAUUUCAGUGUCGAUUGCCAUUGUUGCCCCCCAAUUAAGGCCCCACUUGUCAUCCUCUCUAUCCUAUCUUCUUCUUCUUCCCCUGGAUAGUUUUUGCAGUCGGGGCAAGACGGGCGGUGGGGCUGGGCGGCGGGCGGCGGGGUGGGCGGCGACGGGCGGCGGGGUGGGCGGCAACGGGGGUGGCGUGGGGGGGCGAUGGGCGGCGUUGGGCAGCGACGGGGGCAGCGCUAGGCAGCGACGGGGAUGGGGCUUAGGUGGCGGGCGGCGACAGGUGGCGGGGGGUGCGGCCAGCAGUGGGGCUACGGCGGCGGGGGCGACCGGCGGUGGCCAAGACCCGAACGGCGCCCUACUGUCGUGAGAACAGAGGGAAGCGCGGGACGGGGAACAGGUAGAAUAGAACAAAAUGUUUUUUUCCAUAACCAGUGGCAUUGGUGGGUAAUUAUCCACCAACUCCACGAGGAGGUUCAAAAGAGAGGUUUCUGGAGCAGCAAAAGAGGUGCUCCAAAACUCCACCUCCAUUUGCACUACAGCUCCAUGGAGUUGGCAACUCCAUGGAGUUUUGGAGUUGGGGUGUUUGGCUGAAUUUUUUGAUGGAGUUACUGGAGUUUAGGAGUGGAGCCGUGCCAAACAGGGCCUAAAUUUUACUAGUAUGUUGAAGAUGUUUUACAUAGCUUUGGUGAAUUUUUCAUGAUUUUUGGAGAAGGACAACUAGUACCCUUAUUUAUCUCCUAUUUAAACAUGCUUAACAAAGAAGGUGAGUUUCUUUCUGAUUCUAACCACAACUCAUAUUUUUCCUGUAAACUAUAACUCAAAACUGAGCUACUCCAAGUAGUUUCAUAUUUUUCUCAGCUCUGAAUUAAAACUUAUGCAAAAAGUAAGAUUUAAUCCUAGAUUUCUAAGAUAAGGUUAAAACAGGAACUUUAAGUUCUAUUCCAGGGCCCUAAUUAUUUUUCUGAGCUUAUACUCAUAGCAACAAGCACCACAGAGUUAGAUUUACUUAUUUAGCAUUUUUCUUCCAUUUACUAUGAUUUAAAAGGCCUAAAUAACAUCUAAAACCAUAAGACAUUAUUUACAAUAGUAACAUGAGCAAACUUAUUUUUGUAAGAAACUAGACAGAACAAGGAUUCCAACAAAAGUGGUUUGGUAUUUUUCUGAUUUUUCUACGAUUUACUGGGCAUUUACAAAAUUUAAACCCUUUUUUGUCGAUUUUAAACUAAAAACCGAGGCAAACUUUCACUCUACCCCCUAUGUCUAUCGUUUAUUCUCGUAGGGGUCCCUGAGUUUUGCGCCUAAGCCCUGGGAAAGAUCGGGGAAGACACAAUGUCAUCCCCGGGGGUGCGCACGGAGGCGGCGGCGAAAUCCCCAUCGAUUCGCCGGCGGAGAUCGGGCAACAAGUUGCCGGAGAGGCUCAGGGGCUCACCUGAGCUCGACUUGGUGGGGUUGUGGUGACGGAGAUGACCGGCGAGGGUCAGAACAUGGUGGCGGCGGCUGGGCUUGGCAGGUGGCGGUGCGGGCGGCGUUCCGGCACACUGGUGGCGUUGAGAGGGCAAUGGGCGGCUCGGGGACGUACGCGGAGGGGUGGCGAAGCGGGCGGAGAAGUCGUUGGAGCGCGGGGUGGCACGAAGUGGGAGCUCCACGGGAGCCUUAGCGGCGGCAUAGAGGAGAAGCAGGGCGCGUGUGCGGGAGUCACGAAUGGCGGCGGUGAGGCCGGGCUUGGGCCCUUUUAUGGGGNNNNNNNNNNNNNNNNNNNNNNNNNNNNNNNNNNNNNNNNNNNNNNNNNNNNNNNNNNNNNNNNNNNNNNNNNNNNNNNNNNNNNNNNNNNNNNNNNNNNGAGAGGAUAAGGCUGGGAGAGCGGGUGUGUGGGCGAGGCAGCCAUUGGCCGGAGGCGCCAUUGGCCGAGGAAGCAGAGCUCCGGGGACAGGAUCCUCCGGGCAUUGGGCAAGCGGGAUAGCGUCGGGCAAGCGCGGUUUUUCCGAGCGGGAGGAUUGGCGAGGCCGGGCAUGCGUUUGGUCGCGUCAAGCGCUAGAUCGGGGGUGGCGGCAUGGCUGGUACCCGGCGGUGGCAUGGUGUGCGAGGGGGAGGAAGGUGCGGGCGCCGGUUGGGCGGAGCGGCUCGCGCGCAGGGGGAGGGAGACAGCCUCAGCGGCAAUUGGCCAGCACGACGCUUGCCCCGUCUUGUUGUGGGCGCGGGUAGGGUGACGGCGAGCUCGCCGGUGGACGGCGGCCAUGCGGUGGGCGCCACGCGGGUGAACAUGCCCGAGCGCGCUGGCGUCGAGGCAACGUUGCCAGCAAACCCGACCGGCUUCGGGGACCCUCCACUCGAGAUUUUCAUACUAAACGUUCGAAUCUCCCUUAAGCAAACUUGUAGAAUUGUGGUUGUGGUUCAAACUUUAUUAAGGAUGUUUGUUCAGAUUUCAAAAGGAUUUGAAAAUAACUCAAGCCAAAGUUUGCCAAAAAUCUGAGAAUUCAGACUUAGUCAUUUCAGCCAUUUUGGAGAAAUUUCAGGAGUUUGGCUGUCUUUGACUCGACUUUAGGGCAGCUUCUGAGUUGAAUUAGACCAAGGUGUUAUUGAAGGAGUUGCUCUUCAGUCUUAGGAAUUCAACUUAUAUUAAGGGUUUUUCUUGAGUUUAGUUCAAAAAUUUGGAGGAAGACCCUCGCCAAGAGGAGCACUCUGGAUGGUUUCCAGACUUAGAGCUGGAAUGCCUAGAGGGCUGAGUUGACUGUUUUACCCAACUUUGACCAAGAUUUUAAGUAGGUUUGAUUUCGAUUUGGACUUGGGUCAGUGUAACAAAGUUGGAACACACUUAAGGGACUAAAAUUUUUAUUAAAGGUUCGACUUGAGGUUGGAUAUGAAAUUGUGAGAUAGCAGAUUGCAAAGUUGAAGAAAAACUUGAAUUCCAGGACUUGGGUUGUUGGUAGGGUUUUAUAAGACUCCUGUUUUGAUUCUUGUUUUUGGCCUUCUCCCACUUUGAAGUAGCCAAAGUGUCUUUAACAAAAGUUGUUUCAAAUUAAAAGUUUUACAACUCUUAUUUGGGCGAAAUUUCAUGUUUGUAUAUAAAAACUCAAGUUAUAUAUUUAACUCCAAAAAAAGCUUCUUAGGGUCAAAAAGGACAUUUCACCUCUUUUGAUUAGUGACUAAUAACUUGUUUAGGUUUAAUUACACCUAAUUAAGGCAGAGUUGUUAUAGCCUACCCCCCUUAAAGGAAUCUCGCCCAAAGAUUCAAGUGCAGAAAGGAACUAGUGUGGCUAGUGCAACGUACCUCCCUGGCCAAAAAGAAAAACCAUGGGAGUUAGUGUUGAGAUACUCUUCUGUUUCCCAUGUUGCUUCAUCUUCCGUAUGGUUACUCCACUGAAUUUUGUACAUUUUCACCCUUUGUCUAAGAGUAUGUCUCUCUUUCCGGUCGAGGAUCUUAAUAGGAUAUUCCUUGUACGAUAAAUCGGGUUCGAUCCCCAAUUCUUCUGGUGCAAGAAUUUCGGUCGGAACUCGAAUACACUUCUUGAGUUGCGAGACAUGGAAAACAUCGUGCAUUGCAGCAAUCUUCUCUAGGAGUUUAAUUUGAUACGCUACAGGUCCACAAAUUUCCAUGAUUUCGUAUGGACCAAUACAGCGUGGUGCCAACUUUCCCUUCACUCCGAAGCGUUGUACGCCCUUGGUCGGUGAUACUCGAAGGUAUACAAAAUCCCCAACCUCAAAUUGGAUAGGUCUUCUCCUCUGAUCAGAAUAGCUCUUUUGUCGGGACUGGGCAGCCUUAAGAUUUUCUCAUAUAACUCUCACUUUUUCUUCGGCCUCCAUGACCAAGUCAGGUCCAUACACCGUUCGCUCUCCUGAUUGCGACCAACUUAGCAGGGUUCGGCAUCUACGUCCAUACAAGGCUUCAAAAGGUGCCAUUUUCAAGCUGGCUUGGUAGCUAUUGUUGUAUGAGAACUCUGCUAAGGGCAAACAUUUAUCCCAAUUCUUGUCAUAAUGAAUGACACAAGCACGUAGCAUAUCUUCCAAUAUUUGGUGAACUCUUUCAGUUUGUUUAUCGGUUUGAGGGUGAUAUGUGGAGCUGCGAAUCAGCUUAGUACCAAGUGAAGACUGAAAUUGCUCCCAAAAGCGUGCUACAAACUGACUACCUCGAUCAGAGAUGAUCGUUUUAGGCACACCAUGCAAGGAAACAAUUCGAUCAAGGUACAACUCUGCAUAUUUCUGUAUAGUGUGGGUGGUGUGUACCGGGAGGAAUUGUGUUGUUUUGGUAAGUCGGUCCACUAUAACCCAUAUGGAAUCAUGCUUGCGAGAGGUAUUGGGCAAUCUGACUAUAAAAUCCAUGCUUAUGUCCUCCCAUUUCCAUGAGGGAAUAGGUAGUGGUUGCAAGGUGCCAGCUACCUUCAGGUGGCUUGAUUUAACUCAUUGACAUGAUCACAUUCUGAAACGUAUCGUGCAAUAUCUAGUUUCAUCCCACUCCACCAGAAAUUUUGUCGAAGAUCGUGGUACAUGUUGGUACUACCAGGGUAAAUCAAAAACUUGGAAAGGUGUGCUUCAUCCAUAAUCCGUUUCUUAAGAUUAGGGUCAUUCGGAACAACCAGUCGAGCUUCAUAAUGUAUAACUCCUUUCCAAUCCUAUCAAAAAUGCUUAUAUCCCUCAUCUUUCUGCGCGAGUUUCUUCUUGAUAAGUUUUAUUUCUUCAUCCUCCAACUGCGCUAAAACAAUUUGGUCAUCCAGGGUAGGCUCAAGAGAAAUAUGACUUAAGGUGCCAUGGGGAAUAAUUUCCAAAUUAAUCUUGGCCAUCUCAUGACAUAAGGUUUCAGCAUAGUUGGUUGCCGACAAGCAGUUAUAAUGGAUUUUGCAAUUGAGAGCAUCUGCAACUACAUUGGCUUUGCCUGGGUGAUAGUGCACUUCUAAGUCAUAGUCCUUGAUCAAUUCUAACCAUCUUCUCUGACGCAUGUUGAGGUCUGUUUGAGUGAAGAUAUACUUGAGACUCUUGUGAUCCGUAUAGAUAUUGCAACGAGUCCCCAUAAGAUAAUGUCUACACAUUUUCAGAGCGUGCACGACUGCUGCUAAUUCAAGAUCAUGGGUAGGAUAAUUCAGCUCAUGUGGCCGUAAUGCUCACGAGGCAUAGGCAAUGACUCGGCCGUCUUGGAUAAGAACACACCCAAGUCCAGUGCUAGAGGCAUCGCAAUAAACGUCGAAUGACUUAGUGGUGUCUGGCUGAGCUAAAACCAGGGCGGAGGUCAGUAAUUGUCUCAAUGUGUGGAAAGCUUCUUCACAUUUGUCACUCCACACAAACUUAACUCCUUUCUUCAACAGUUCAGUCAUUGGCUUAGCUAUCCUUGAGAAGUCAGGAAUGAAUCGACGGUAGUAGCCUGCUAAAUCGAGAAAACUUCGAAUUUGAUGAACUGAGGUGGGGAGCUUCCAGUCCAUUACUUCUUGAACUUUGCUUGGGUCCACUGCUAUGCCAUCGCUGGAUAUGGUGUGCCCUAAGAAUUUAACACUAUCCAGCCAGAACUCACACUUGGAGAAUUUGGCAUAGAGUUGGUGAUCUCUUAAGCAUUGGAGCAUAGUGUGAAGGUGCUGUGCAUGCUCUUCCUCAUUCUUUGAGUACACUGAAUUCAUGAGAUACAUGAAAUAAGCCAGUGCAUUAGUAAGCCCAAAUGACACGACUAAGUACUCUUAUAGUCCAUACUGUGUAGAGAAGGCAGUCUUAGGAAUAUCGCAUGGUCGGAUCUUGAUUUGAUGGUAGUCAGAACGAAGAUCAAUUUUGGAAAACACUCUAGCUCCAGCUAACUAAUUGAACAGAACAUCGAUGCGAGGUAAUGGGUAUUUGUUCUUUAUCGUCACCGCAUUGAGAGGUCGGUAGUCCACACACAUACGCAGACUCUCGUCCUUCUUUUUCAUAAACAAAGCUGGACAACCCCAAGGUGAUGUGCUUAGGCAAAUGAAACCUUUUUCCAACAACUCAUGCCCUGAGUUUUUAUUUCUGCCAGCUCUGCGGGUGGCAUCCUGUACGGUCUCUUUGAAAUUGGGGCGGUGCUUGGUUGCAAUUCAAUAGCAAACUCGAUAUCUCUAUCAAGCGGCACACUUGGCAAAUCAUCUAGGAACACAUCGGAAUAUUCACACACCACUGGAAUGUCCUCUAAUCGGGUUUUAGUCACGGGAUAGGCACAAGAAUUUUUGCACUCGCAGUGGGGCAAGUGUAUUAUUGAGCUAACAUAUAUGGGUGAAUUUAUAUGGACUGCUCUAGCAGGGAUGUCUAGUGCUAGUCGGUGCUGAGUCGUCAAAUCCAUGCCCAAGAUGAUAUCUAUCCCUUCUAUCCCAAGGAUAAGGAGGUUUUCCUUAAAAAGGAUUCUCCCUAACUUGAUACGUGCAUUGCGGGUCAAAUGGCGUGAGGUUACUUUCCCACCUGGGGUGGAGAUUAUAUAUGCCCCUUUCGUGUGACAGAAACCUAACCCACACUUAGCACAGGUUCUGGACCCAAUGAAACUAUGGGAUGCUCCCGAAUCAAACAGAAUAAGGACAGGUUGAUUGUGGACAGAGAAGGUACCCAUCAUCACUGGUGCACCUUCUGGAAGUUCGGAAAGGGUGGUGAAGUUCAACCUACCUUGUCGGACCUGAACUCUAGGCCUCUUCCCCUUGUUGCCGAGUGCAUUACUCUAUCCAGGCCGUUGAUUCUUGUUGCAGGGGCAGUCCUUGGCAAAGUGUCCUGUAUUCCCACGGGUGAAACAGCGGUUUCCCGUAGCAAGGUGCGGCGGCAUUGUAAGAGUAGGCUAGGGCCCUUGUGGCUGGAAUCCAGGGAAACGAGGUGCUGCCUGCGGUGGGGGUCGAGCAACCCAUCUCCCAGGCUGUGCGGGUCUGCGAGACGCCUGUGGGGGAACCAUCCUGUAUCUCUGUGCAGGUGCGCUGGGUGCCAGCAUUGGAGCCUUCCGCUUCAGGUUGGCCUUAAGGGCCUUCAUGCAAUCUUCCAGGGAAAUUGCCAGGUUCACCAGUUCAUUAAAGGAAUCCACUUUGAUGGGAUUCAGCCUCUCCUUGAGCUCCAAACUCAAGCCUCUACGGAUGCGGUCCCUCUUCUUCUCGUCGGAGUCCGAAUGAUAGCCUGUGUAGCGACAUAGGUCAUUGAAAGCCUACGCAUAUUGCAAGACAUUGCGACCUCCCUGGGUGAGAGCCAGGAACUCAUUUAGCUUGCACUCCAGGAGACCCUCAGGGAUAUGAUGGCCCCUGAACGCCGUCUUGAACUCCUCCCAGCUGACGAUGUGGUCAUCCGGCUACAUGGCGUGGUAGUGAUCCUACCAUAGGAGGGCAGAACCAUGCAGCUACUGCGUGGCGAAUCGAGCCUUGUUCUCGUCCAGACAAUGGGCGGUGAGGAGGGAGAACUUGGACUCGAUGGCACGAAUCUAGGCGUCGGCAUCGAGUGGAUCCUCCGUCUUGUGGAACAGAGGAGGCUGUGUUCCCAGAAGGUCCUCAUAGCGAGCAACAUGAGGUUGCUGAUGAGCUCUUCCUCCCUGGGGCUACUAUUGCUGCCCCUGGGCAAUGUGUCUCAGCAGUUCGGUUUGAGCAACCAAGAUCGCCUUUAGGGUGGGCAGAGGCGGAGGCAGUGGAGGCACCUGCCUCUGCUUGCUGCCACUAGGAACAGAGCCGGAAUGGGUGCGGUGCACCAUCUGCAAGAUUCAUCUAUCCAUUAGUCACAUAAUCCCCAAGGCUUACCCAAUCAUAAGGAAAAUUAUGUGCUGAAUCUUUAAAUGCUAGUCUUGCCGAUAGUGCGAAAACAACAAUCAUAUCGUUUAUUGAGUAGGUGCAUAUCUCUUCUUCGAAGAAUACAAGGUUCUCAUCCUUAUUUGAGAGUUAGGACUCGUCGUACAUAACCACUUCCAUUUUACGCUUGUUGACCGAAAAGGAAGGAAAGGGGGUCGUUUAGCCAAGUUAGCACGCUGCUGUUUGGGCUGAUUUUCAGCAAGCUGAGCUGCGGUGUUUUGGUUCUAACAUGAUUUUAAUAGAUCCAAAGGAGCUGAAUUUUUACGAGCUGUUAGAACAUAAGUUUCUGCACAACUUUGGUAUUCAAACCUCAGAUCAAAAAUGAGUGGAGAUAGGGUCAAAACUAAGGAGAAACAGCCACUGAAUUUCUGCCAUAAAAUUUUAGACAUUACAACUAGUCGGUAGCAACGGCAAAUCCAUACAUGGAAUCAGUUUGUCAGCACCCAAAUACUCAACUCAAGCUAACCUAUUACAUCACUAGCCAAAAUAUAGGUCGCCGAGGAGUACAACAACAAAAGAAACUACGCACAACAACUCGAUACAUCUAAAAGUCGUCCAGGUUGCCUACGGAGGCAAAGCUAAGAGCAGGAGAGUGUGCGUCGCCAACUCGGGGCUGCAGAGUGGCCUCCUCAAAGUCCAUACUCGAAAAGUCCUCGAUCUCCUUGGGUUCCUCCUCCUCCUGAGCCAUCAGCUCAUCCAGCUGCACCUCUAAAGCGUGGAUAGCAUUAAGCUCAGCGUGGUGCUCUUGUAGGUGCUCAUUGGCGUUCGCCAGCUCCAUGUUCACAUCAUAGAACUGAUCGGCCAACAUCUCCAUGUCGUGCUCCAUAUCUACUAUCUCCUCCUCUACCCUACAAAUCCGGUUAUGCAUAUCUGCUAUCUGAACAUCCUUCUGUACCAACUCAAGUGACAAGUCCACCAUGCCAUUCUGCAUGGUGGUGAGGGCAACCUAGUUGGCCACUGCCAUCCCAAUCACAGUGGUCAUCGCCCUGCUCUGCAUCUCAAUCAUCCGAUAGAACACAUUCAUGCAACGGACUAAAACAAAAAUCGUGCACUAUGGGUCCAUAACCCCUAGCAAGUCCAUGUGCUCCAUGUGGUCCAACCAAUCCGGGUCUCUCCUAUCCCUAGCAGGAAACAAACCAAUCAGGUCUAACACAAUCUCCAGGGAGUGCUCCCUGCAAAACUGUGUCAGCACCUGCAAAGCUGCAAACUCUCACGUGUCCUGCAACAUGUGUCCCUCAGCCACAACCUCCAAAAGUGGCCACUGGGGCUGGUCUGGGGGUGGGGGCACCUUCACGUUCACGCAGCUCUGAGGGAUCCCGUGGUCCUGGUACGCGCAUCCCGCGUAAACAGGCGGUGACGGGUACCCAAACGAGCGCAAAGUGUCCUACAAUAUGGCCGAAAAACCCUCGUAGUGGAGGCACGUCGAGUGGGUGGUGCCAUCCACACCAACCGCAACGUACAUGGGGUGAGCCAUCUGUAACAAAAAGGACAAGUGAGAAACGGAAUCAACACUUGGAAAUCAAAAUAGAUUUCUGACAGUUAGAGAAAAACUCAUAACUCAGCAAGUAUUUAUCCAAAUUUCCUCAAAUUUUACCAGCAUGUUCUUUAUAUAGUUCAUAACAAGUUUGGUAUUCAAAGGUAGAGCUAAAACAGAACCUAACAGGGUGAUAAGCUCAGAUUUCUAUUAAGUGGUACAUGCUAGAAUUUUUUAAACCCGAGCUGAAGUAAACUGAGCAUAACUUCAAAACCAGAGACCUAAUGAAGCUCAAAUUUUACCACCAAGUUCUUUAUUAAAUUCUGAGAAACUUUGAUUAAAGGACCCCUAACAGGAAAAAGUCCUUAAGGUGGUCGAAACAGUCAAACUCCAACUGCUGUACACCCAGGGUUAACAGUCAAACAGGGGUCGCAAAGCUGAUCAUAACUUCCCACCUAGGUCGUAGCAUUUUAUGAAAAAAAAAUUCAGAAAGUUAUUUAGGAUAUUUAACACAACUUUAUUAUACAAAGUUUCUGGAGUUAACAUUUGGAACAACCGGAAAGAUUUUUAUCAAGACUUGCAUGGCGGAAAAAGGUUAGCUUUGGUCUUACGUAGUUAGUGCUGGUGGCAAGGCAACAAUACGACUCUCACUAUAAUAACUAGUCAGGUUGCUAAGUAUUAUUUCGUACAUAAACGUGGUUAGUGUACCUGCAAAAAAUCACAUCACAUCUUGAACCUUUCGUGCCAGCACUCACGAAAGCGUCCACAAUCAUUACCGUUCAAUAUAGAAACAGCACCCAUGCGUUUAACACUGCAUGGAUAGCGCAACAACCGUGGAAAUAGGUUUCUUUGAAUAGAACCAUAUAGCCCUUUGCAUUCUCGUGAUGCGGAAUCUUGCACACGUAUAAUAGACGUGGGCGAACAACCGUGACGAUAGGCUCGUUGUAAUCGAACCAUACCAUACUUCGCAUGAGUUAACAUACGGAACUUGCGCACAUAUAAUAGACGUGGGCGAAAACAACCAUGAUGAUAGGCUCGUUGGAAUCGAAUUCCUAUCACCCUUCACAUACUCGCGAUGCGGAACUCCGCACACAUAUGAUAAACGUGGCGAUAAGUGCUGGAAGUCAGUAUAAAUAACUAAUAGUUACUAGCCACCUUAAAUGACCCCAAAAUUCCCCUAGGGUUUCUUGUACUAAACUCAUCCUUAAUGAGCUUAUGAAUUUUCAACUAGUUUCUUGCAAAUUUUAUUCAGAAAAGGUGUUUUAAGGCCUAUUGUUCUCCGUACCGUGCUUCAAGCUCUGAUGCCAGCUGUGGCGGAAAUGCCCAAAUUAACCUGACUAAAAUGCACUUAAGUCGCCUGACACGCGAUUAUGCACUUUAAGCAAGUCCACUUCGUCGACUGUCGGAUUUCAUCCAAUAAACCACUUAUAAAGGAUCGAGAAGCAUUGCUCACACAAAGGUGAGUAGCACAGAGAUUACAACAUUCCCAUCUCAUUAACAUAGUUCAACAAAUUAUUACAUCAGAGUUUUUGAAAUUUAAACAAGUUUGCAAGGUUCAACCAGACGAAGUAAAACCAGCGGAAGCUAAACGUCGAUACACGAUAUCAUGACGAAGCCGAUCAUGACAUCACUGAUCCCUGCCCUCGCCGUCCGAGGAGGGAUCCCACUUGACUGUCCAGCCCGGAGGGAGCUGGGUAGGCCAAGUGGUGCUAGCAACCAUACUAUCGAUAUUACCUGAAAAGAUAAGCCACAAACAAGGCUGAGCGACUACGCUCAACAAGACUUAACCGUCGGGUGGUAUCUACUUCCACCAACACCUAGACAUGAAAGCUUUUUGGCUCUGGGUUUGUUUUUGCCACAAGCGACUAAAGUUGGUCCUUACUUUCAACAUUUUAGCUCAAGUUCUAAGUUCAUUAAUGUUGGAUAUAUAAGCACUUUUAGUUUUAAUUUAAUCCAAAAAUAAAUCAUGAAUACGAUGAAAAGACAGCAGAUUAAACUAGACAUGUCUACGCAAGAUCUAGACAAGUCUAUUAUUGCAAAUAGAAUCACACAUUCUACCAUACUAUCCAGUGCUAUCAGACUGCAACAGAUCAUAAUAGCUAGUAUGGAAGACAUAAUUUGAGAUAAGAGAUCGUACGUUUCUUUCUUGAUGAAGAUCGGCUCCUGGACGACUACUUGGUACAGCAGGCGAUGACGAUCAGCAGCCUGACAUUGUUCGCGAGACGAGUGUAGCCCGAGCGACGAAGAGGUAGACGAGCCGUGGUGAAGGAAUCGACGAAGAACUUGACGAAGCGGAGGAAGCGAUCGAGCAGUCGCACAGAGCGCUUCCCAAAAACCUUAUUUCGCCCUCUCCCGGUGCAGGAUCGCUGAAGACGACGGUUCUAGAGACCUGCUCUCCCAAUCGCCGGUGCACGCCGACAAUCGGGAUGGAGUAGACUACGGUGGCGGCGCAGCAGCGAGAGGAGGCAAAAACCCUAGCUCGAAUAGAUCUGUUUUUGGUAGAGGCUAGUAGGUCGCAUAUAUAGGAGAGCCCACGAUUCCCACAUCGCAUCGUGAUCUAAACCGGUUAGGAUUCCAUAUAUCUCGCUGACUUAAAGACCAAGUAACCAAAAAAUAAAACGGCAAAAGGAAGCCACGCCCCCGCAAGGCGAGGGGCCGGAUUUUGGCGGACCAUUCACGCAGGUGCCGCGCGCCCGCGCCCUUCGCCCCGCCCGGCCUGGCCCGGCCCGGCGAGGCGAGGCGUGGCGUGGUGUGGCGAGCGAGUGUGCGUGUGUGGAGCUCUCUGUCCCUCCCCACACACAUAGCUUGGAGGAGUGGAAACAACUUCCAUAUUUAAGUUGGUCAUCCCUCCCCUCCACUAGCAAUGUGGGACUAAAGACUUGCACCACUCCACCUCUUGCCCACAUGGGCCUUUGAGAUUUAUUUGAAAUUCUGAAAUUACUUAUGGGCUAGGCCCAUUAUUUCAACAAUCCCCCACCAGAUCUCAAAUGCCCAUCAGAGAUUUUGCCUGUUUCUCACUGCUAUUUAUAUACUAGUGCUUCAGCGAGGACUGUUAAGUUAAACUCUCGCCUAGAGCUUCAAGCUACAUUCAUCCACAACUUAAACAAUGGACUAAGCCUUGAAUUGCAAGUUUUGUGUGGACAAGUUUCACUCAAAGUCGGGACUAGUACCUGGCUGCCUGUAGCCUACCCCGCGGGUGGGGCAUAUAGGUCGUACCCCCUGGUCUCUUCAUGAGCUUAAUAGAGAUCACCCAAUUCUCACAGACUGCGACCUUACAACAGUCGGGCUCAUAUAGGUAUAUUUUUCCAAGAUGUUCUGUAGGGCAACAUCUUUGCUAAUUAAAGCCAACAAAAUAUAUUAAGGCAGUAGCCAGCCUGCCAUGCAGUGGUUUGAGAGUGUUGCAUCAUUUCUCGAGUGGGUUAGUAGGAUACUCUCAUGCUAUCCUAUGGUUUGUUCUUCCCAGAUCCUACUUCACGGGAUCUCCGAUCACAUAGGUUGGGUUACCACCAUGGUGUAGCUCAUAUGGGUCUCAUACCCAUCUCCUUUGAUGCAUUGUCUAUCACAUUACAUGACAGCCCCUUAGUGAACUGAUCUGCCAAGUUCUUAUAGGUUGAGAUGUAAUCCACUGAUAUUACUCCGGAGUUUCUUAUUUUUCUGACAGAUUUCAGACGUCUCUUAACGUGUCUUGAUAACUUCAUAUUGUCCUUAGAAUUGUUAACUUUGACUAUCACCGUUUGAUUGUCACAAUUCAUAAGUAUUUGCCGGCAUAGGUUUCUCGACAAUAGGCAAGUCCAUCAAGAGUUCACGUAGCCAAUCAGCCUCAACGGUGGCUGUAUCUAAUGCUGCAAGUUCUGCUUCCAUGGUAGACCUUGUUAAGAUAGUCUGUUUGGAUAACCUCCAUGAAAGAGCACCACCACCAAGAGUGAAGAUGUAUCCACUUGUGGCAUACAAUUCAUCAGCAUCAGAUAUCCAAUUUGAAUCUAUAGCCUUCCAGUACUGCAGGAUACCUGGAGUAGUGAAUUCCGUAAUCCAUAGUACCAACUAAAUAGCGCAUGACUCGCUCAAGCGCACGCCAAUGAUCAUCUCCCGAAUUAGAGGUAAACCGGCUCAGUUUGCAAACAGCAUAUGAGAUGUCAGGCCUAGUAGCACUGGCUAAAUACAUAAGUGAUCCAAUAAUCUGAGAGUAUCUUUAUUGGUAUCCGCCAAUUCUCUUGUUUUUCCGAAGUAUCAAGCUCGGAUCAUAAGGUGUGGGAGAAGGCUUACUGUCCUUAAAGCCAAACCGGCUCAAGACCUUUUCCACAUAAUGAGAUUGCGUGAGAGUAAUCCCAUCCUCUCCUUUGAUCAACUUGAUAUUCAGAAUUACAUCAGCCUCUCCCAGAUCUUUCAUGUCGAAAUUUUGGCACAGAAAUAACUUGACCUCUUUGAUCACGUCAAGAUUUGUACCAAAGAUCAGUAUGUCAUCGACAUACAAGCACAAUAUAACUCCCUCACCCCCACCAUGGCGGUAGUACACACAUCUAUCAGCCUCAUUGACAGAAAAGCCUACUGAUAUGAGUGUAGUAUCAAAUUUCUCAUGCCACUGCUUAGGUGCUUGUUUCAGGCCAUACAAAGAUUUCAGCAAUGUACACACCUUAUUCUCUUGACCCUUUAUUACAAACCCAUCAGGCUGAUUCAUAUAAAUUUCCUCAUCCAACUCUCCAUUAAGGAAAGCUGUCUUAACAUCCAUCUGAUGGACGAGAAGACCAUGUGAGGCAGCAAGGGAAAGUAAUACUCGAAUACUGGUCAAUCUCGCAACAGGUGAGUAAGUGUCGAAGAAAUCUUCACCUUCUUUCUGGGUAUAACCCUUAGCCACAAGUCGAGCCUUGUACUUAUCAAUAGUAACAUUAGGCCUAAGCUUCUUUUUGAACAUCCACUUGCAACCCACAGGUUUACAACCAUACGGUCGAUCAACAACCUCCCAAGUUCCAUUAGAAAGAAUAGAGUCCAUCUCACUAUGGAUAGCUUCUUUCCAAUCAUCUGCAUCUGGAGAUGCAAAUGCCUCUGAAAUAGUCUUAGAAGUAUCGUCUACGAGAUAGACAGUGAAAUCAUCACCAAAGGACUUUGCAGUUCUUUGUCUCUUGCUCCUCUUAGGAGCUUCACUGUUAACCUCCUCAUGAACUAGCUCAAGUGUUUGUUCAGCAUGAUCAGGAAGCACAAUAGGUUCAGGAGUUGUCUCAGCAAUCAUAUCAGAAGAUAGUCUAGACAUACUAUGCAAUUGUUUCAUAGGAAAUAUAUUCUCAAAGAACGUAACAUCACGAGACUCCAUCAAGGUAUUAACAUGAACAUCAGGCACCUCUGAUUUAACCACUAAAAAUCUAUAGGCUAUGCUAUGAUGAGCAUAUCCCAAAAAGACACAAUCCACAGUUUUAGGUCCCAACUUACGUUUCUUGUUGAUUGGCACACUAACUUUGGCCAAGCAACCCCAAGUGCGUAAGUAUGAAAGUGAUGGUUUUCUUCCAAUCCAUUCUUCAUAGGGAGUUUUCUCCUUAUUCUUCAUGGGUACUUUAUUCAGGACAUGACAUGAAGUCAAUACAGCCUCCCCCCACCAUGCCUUAGAUAAUCCACUGGUGUCUAACAUGGCGUUCACCAAGUUAGUCAAAGUGUGAUUCUUUCUUUCGGCAACCCCGUUUGAUUGGGGCGAAUAGGGAGGCGUCCUCUCAUGUACAAUACCAUGUUCUUCACAGAACAAGUCGAAAUCAUUUGAGAAAUACUCACCACCACAAUCAGACCUAAUUCUCUUGAUCUUUUUCUCAAGUUGAUUCUCAACUUCAGCCUUAUAGAUUUUAAAGUAGUUAAGAGCCUCAUCUUUCAUUUUCAAUAAAUAUACAUAGCAAUAUCUAGACGCAUCAUCUAUCAAAGUCAUGAAAUAUCUUUUUCCACCUUUGGUCAACACACCAUGCAUCUCGCAUAUAUCAGAAUGAAUGAGUUCAAGUGGUGCCAAGUUUCUCUCCUCGGCUACCUUGUGAGGUUUUCGAGGUUGCUUAGAUUGCACACAACUAUGGCACUUAGAACCUUUGAUAAUGAAAAAAUUCGGAAUUAAACACAGGCUGGAAAGUUGAGACAUAGAACCAAAAUUCAAAUGACAUAAACGUGAAUGCCAAACACUAGCAUCACUCUCAUUAAUACCAUCACAAAUAUAGUUGAUAGACUUAUUGCAAUAAUCUGAAAGGGAAAAGCAGAACAAGCCUCCGCACUCAUAGCCUUUACCAAUAAAUUGUCCACUCUUAGACACGACAAUUUUAUUAGACUCAAGCACUACCUUAAAACCAUCCCUACACAAAAGGGAUCCACUAACUAGAUUCUUCCUGAUAGAAGGGACAUGCUGCACGUUCUUCAGUUGCAUGAUCUUUCCCGAAGUAAACUUCAGAUCUACCAUACCAACACCAUGAACAGAAGCAUGUGACCCAUUCCCCAUUAGGACGGAGGAAUCCCGAGCGACCUGGUAAGAUGAAAAUAAGGAGGCAUCAGCACACACAUGAACAUUAGCACCAGUAUGAAGCCACCAAGUAUUAGUAGACUGAAACACUGAAAAAACAGAAGGUAAAUUACCAUACCCACUAUUUCCGUCUCCAGCGCUGGUCACCAUGCUCACAAACUUCUGCUGUGGAGGUUUUCUUCCUUUGCGGUUUGGGCACUUCUUUGCCCAAUGGUCAGUAGAACCGCACACAAAGCAUCCCUCGUUCUCCUUAUUCUUCUUCUUCUUGAAGGUAGUGGACUGCUUAGGCUUAUUGUUCUUGCCCUUGCCCUUGCCACCAUUGCCAUUGUGAUGUGAUUGGUGCACCAUAUUGGCACUGGUCUGUCCCUCAACAGCUUUAGAUUGUCCAUCUUUAGCCCGAGCUUUCUCCUCAACAUCAAGAGAUGCAAUCAAGUCUGAAAUAGAAAUUUUUGUCCUCUUGUGUUUGAGAGAAGUGGCGAAAUCCCUCCAGGAUGGAGGUAACUUGGCAAUAAUGCCCCCAGCCACAAACUUGUCGGACACGACAAUCUUUAGCAGAUCGAGUUCCUUCACCAUGCACUAUAAUUCAUGAGCCUGAGCGACUACAGAUUUUCCGUCAACCAUCUUGUAGUCAUGAUACUGCUCAAUGAUGUACAAUUCAGUGCCAGUAUCUGAGCCACUGUAGUUGGCAAUCAAAUCGUCCCACAACUCCUUUGCGACCGUGUGAUGAAGGUACACAUGCUGCAGAUGUUCUGCAAGUGCACCAAUCACAGCGCCCAAGAAGAUUGUGUUGGCUUCCGAAUAUUCUUUCUCCUUUUCAGGAGAGAGAACCCCUUCCGGCUUGCCAUUGGACACCUAGAACACCUUCAUGGCAGUAAGCCACAACAUGGCUUUCACCUGCCACCUCUUGAAGUGCACGCGAGCAAACGGUGCUGGCCUCAGUGCAUCAAGAAAUCCAGCCAUAAAACUAAAGUGCCUACAAUAAGGUUUUUGGAUUGUUGGAUAUAUAAGCACUUUUAGUUUUAAUUUAAUCCAGAAAUAAAUCAUGAAUACGAUGAAAAGACAGCAGAUUAAACUAGACAUGUCUAUGCAAGAUCUAGACAAGUCUAUUAUUGCAAAUAGAAUCACACAUUCUACCAUACUAUCCAGUGCUAUCAGACUGCAACAGAUCAUAAUAGCUAGUAUGGAAGACAUAAUUUGAGAUAAGAGAUCGUACGUUUCUUUCUUGAUGAAGACCGGCUCCUGGACGACUACCGGGAACAUCAGGCGAUGACGAUCAGCAGCCUGACAUUGUUCGCGACGACGAGUGUAGCCCGAGCGACGAAGAGGUAGACGAGCCGUGGUGAAGGAAUCGACGAAGAAUUUGACGAAGCGGAGGAAGCGAUCGAGCAGUCGCACAGAGCGCUUCCCAAAAACCUUAUUUCGCCCUCUCCCGGUGCAGGAUCGCUGAAGACGACGGUUCUAGAGACCUGCUCUCCCAAUCGCCGGUGCACGCCGACAAUCAGGAUGGAGUAGAUUACGAUGGCGGCGCAGCAGCGAGAGGAGGCAAAAACCCUAGCUCGAAUAGAUCUGUUUUUGGUAGAGGCCGGUAGGUCGCAUAUAUCUCGCUGACUUAAAGACCAAGUAACCAAAAAAUAAAAUGGCAAAAGGAAGCCGCGCCCCCGCAAGGCGAGGGGCCGGAUAUCGGUGGACCACUCACACAGGUGCCGCACGCCCGCGCCCUUUACCCCGCCCGGCCGGCGAGGUGUGGCGUGGCGUGGCGAGCGAGCACGCGCGUGUGGAGCUCUCCUUCCCUCCCCACACACAUAGCUUGGAGGAGUGGAGACAACUUCCAUAUUUAAGUUGGUCAUCCCUCCCCUCCACUAGCAAUGUGGGACUAAAGACUUGCACCACUCCACCUCUUGCCCACAUGGGCCUUUGAGAUUUAUUUGAAAUUCUGAAAUUACUUAUGGGCUAGGCCCAUUAUUUCAACAAUUAACCCAUCUAGAUUUGCAACUUAUGCUAAGCAUACAUAGUUUCCAAACAAUUUAAAGAACAAGCAUCAAGAUUAAUAUCCUCAUUGUUCCAUCUUUACUCAGUGCAGAAUAGCGAUCAAGCAGUCCCAAACUGUUAGAGGGUCUCCGAGGGUGCGCACGGUGGCGGUGGCGAAAUCCCCGGCGAUUCACCGGUGGAGAUCGGGCAACAAGUUGCCGAAGAGGCUCAGGGGCUCACCUGAGCUCGACUUGGCGGGGUUGUGGUGACGGAGAUGGCUGGCGAGGGUCGGAACACGGCGGCAGUGGCUAGGCUUGGGGGGUGGUGAUGCGGGCGGCUUUCCGGCACACCGGCGGCGUCGGGAGGGCAACAGGCGGCUCGGGGAUGUGUGCGGAGGGGUGGCAAAGCUGGCUGAGAAGUCGUCGGAGUGUGGGAUGGUGCAAAGGUGGGAGCUCCAUGGGAGCCUUAAAGGUAGCGCAGAGGAGAAGCAGGGCGCGCUGUGCGGGAGGUGGCGAAGGGCGGCGGUGAGGGCGGGCUUGGCCCCUUUAUGGGGCAGCGGUGGAGGAGAGGGUCGAGGCGGGGCUCCCGGUGCGAGAGGAUAAGGCCGAGGAGACCGGGUGCGCGGGAGAGGCAGCCAUUGGCCGGAGGCGCCAUUGGCUACGGAAGCGGAGCUCCGGGGACAGGAUCCUCCGGGCAUUGGGCAAGCGGGAUAGCAUCGGGCAAGCGCGGUUUUGCCGGGCGGGAGGAUUGGCGAGGCCGGGCGUGCGUCUAGUCACGUCAUGAGCCAGAUUGGAGGUGGCGGCACGGCCGGUGCCUGGCAGUGGCUUUGCGUGUGAGGGGAAGAAAGGCGCGGGCGCCGGUUGGGCAGAGCGGCCCACGCGCAGGGGGAGGGAGACAGCCUCGGCGGCGAUUGGUCAGCACGGCGCUCGCCCCAUCUUUUCGUGGGCGCGGGUAGGGUGACGGUGAGCUCGCCGGUGGAUGGCGGCCACGCGGCGAGCGGUGCGCGGGCGAACAUGCCCGGGCACGCUGGCGUCGAGGCAACAUCGAGCAACAAACCCGACCGGCUUUGGGGACCCUCCACUCGAGAUUUUCCGACUAAACAUUUGAAUCUCCCUUAAGCAAACUUGUAGAACUGUGGUUGUGCUUCAAACUUUAUGAAGGGUGUUUCUUCAGAUUUUGAUAGGAUUUGAAAAUAACUCGAGCCAAACUUUGCCAAAAAUCUGAGAAUUCAGACUUAGUCAUUUCAGCCAUUUUUGAGAAAUUUCAGGAGUUUGGCUGUCUUUGACUCGACUUUAGGGUAGCUUCUGAGUUGAAUUAGACCAAGGUGUUAUUGAAGGAGUUUCUCUUCGGUCUUAGGACUUCAACUUCUAUUAAGGGCUUUUCUUGAGUUUAGUUCAAAAAUUUGGAGGAAGACCCUCGCCAAGAGGAGCACUCUGGAUGGUUUCUAGACUUAGAGCUGCAAUGCCUAGAGGGCUGAGUUGAUUGUUUUACCCAACUUUGACCAAGGUUUUAAGUAGGUUUGAUUUCGAUUUGGACCUGGGUCGGUGUAACAAAGUUGGAACACACUUAAGGGAGUACAACUUUUAUUAAAGGUUCGACUUGAGGUUGGAUAUGAAAUUGUGAGAUAGCAGGUUGCAAAGUUGAAGAAAAACUUGAAUUCUAGGACUUGGGUUGUUGGUAAGGUUUUAUAAGACUCCUGUUUUGAUUCUUUUUUUUGACCUUCUCCCACUCUGAAGUAGCCAAAGUGUCUUUAACAAAAGUUGUUUGAAACUAAAAGUUUUACAACUCUUAUUUGGUCGAAAUUUCAAGUUUGUAUAUAAAAACUCAAGUUAUAUAUUUAACUCCAAAACGAGCUUCUUAGGGUCAAAAAGGACAUUUCACAUCUUUUGAUUAGUGACUAAUGACUUGUUUUGGUUUAGUUACACCUAAUUAAGGCAAAGUUGUUACAAUCGUCCCGAUGGUCAACGCAGCAACUCUUGCAUUAUUGCUCACGCAGAAAUCAACUUCUCCUCUUUCCACGCUUCUACUUCUUAUCAGUCCCUGCAUCGAAUUGCAAAUAUGAGCAACCGAUUCGGUAUCAAAUACCCAAGAAUUAAUAAUUGUAUCAGUGAGAAAUAUAUUGUCUAUAACUAUAACAACAAGCGUACCUAAGGUGGAAGUACUCUUACUUCCACCAUUCUUCAAUGAAGCUAGGUAUUGCUUGCAAUUUCUCUUCCAGUGACCAAGUUCGUGACAAUAAAAGUACUCUUUGUCUGGAGCAGGUCCAGGUCCAGCUUUAACCAUCGGCGCUGGGUUUGGCUUGGCAGCCUUACCCUUCUUCUUCCAAGAAUUUCCCUUCUUCUUAAAGCUAGGCUUGUUCUGUAUAGCCAUCACAUGGCUGCUACUAGCACUUUUCUUGAUGUCAGCCUCUGCUGUUUUAAGCAUGCCACACAGCUCAUUCAGACCCUUCUCCGUCCCAUGCAUAUGGUAGUUCAAGAUGAAGUUCCCAUAGCUAGGCGGAAGAGACAAAAGAAUAAAAUCAGUGGCCAACUCUUGGCCUAGUGGGAAGCCCAGCUUCUCCAACCAUUGAGUGUAACCAACCAUCUUGAUUACGUGUGGUCCUACUGCUGCACCUUCUGCUAGCUUGCUCUCCACAAAGGCCUUAGACACAUUGAACCUUUCAGUCCUGGCUUGUGUCUGGAACAUGUCUCUAUGCACCACGAUCAUAUCGUGCUCCUCAUGGUUUGUUUCGAACUGCAUCUGUAGCUCGGGUUCCAUGGAAGCAAGCAUAAGGCAGCUUACUUUGAGGUUAGCAUCACGUGCUUUCUUGUAAGCAUUCUUAAUAGCAGCAGGUGCAUCAUCAGCAGGUUCUUCUCGUAAUGGGGUGUCUAGAAUAUCUUCCUUUUUCUCAGCCCUGAGAACAAUUCUCAGGUUACGGAUCCAAUCUGAGUAGUUUGUUCCAUUCAACUUGUCCUUCUCAUGGACCGAACGCAAAGCAAAUGGUGUGGUGUUGCUAGGUGCCAUCUACAACAAAAUAAUAAUGCAAAACAUUAAGAAAAAUGUAACCAUGACAGAGCAAAUCACAUUAAACUAUUUAACAGAAUUUACUCCCACUAAAAUCAAUAUCCCUCUAUUGAUACUUAGUGAUUCAGGAUCCACAACUAACAAGUCUACUAGUAAGCUUUAGCAUUACCGCUAGCAGGCAAGGUAGAUCGGUAAGCAAACUUCUUGCUAAUCAUAUCACAUAUGACUCCUGUUGUUGGAUGACAUCUCCAUGUCUCGGCACCCAACCUUGAUGCCCCAAGGUCCUUAACCGUUAAGAUGACCUUGUUAAGCAAACCAACCCUUAUGCAUGUAAGUAUCCGAUACAAACCCGUCUAGUCAAGGAAAAGUAGUGGCACCCUAAUUUCAUUAACCCACCACCAAUUGUACAAGACAUGGGACGGUGCAAGUUUUAGUUGGGAGGGCAUACUAACUUAAAAUUUGUGAGGGAUCAUUCUACUUCUAACAUCACAGCAUGUAAGAGUAAAACAAAAUAGAAUAGCAUGCACACAAUUGUGACACAGUAUGGCCCGAUUUCUAUUUGCGAUCUCCAUCACCACAGAACCCGUUCACCAUGAUGAUCUCCAUCUUCAUGAUCCAUGUGCGCCAUCCUUCCAGUGAUGAGUCCUCCAAGAACUAGUACACGCUAUUACAUCUACUAGCUAGUAAAUAAGAUUACAUAGUUGCUCGGAUCAUCACAGAUUGGCACGCAUGCCAUUAAAUACAUUUAGGUGACAAUACAUAUGGCUCCAGCCAUAUUGCCGUAUGCAUGACACGCAGGUCAUGAAUCAUUUACACACAUGCAUCACAUACACAGGGGUCAUACCGAUCAUAAAAUCCUGCAAAACAGAGUUAGGCGUUCUAACGUUCCAAACUUAAAUGGCCCAAAACUCCAUCUUCCAAGCUGAAUUGGGGAAAUCUAAUUUCUCCAAAACAAACAAAGUCUAUCGUAAUUAGGUGUAACUUUAUCUGUAGAUCAAUUUUCAUAUAAAAUUUGCCUCGAUCCAAGAUCGUACGGAAAAGUUAUGGCCGUUUUUCCAAAACGCAUGAUCUCGAUGAAUAAACCGAUCCAGUAGUUAAUCUAAUCGACUACUGCGCAUCAUAUGCAUCUGGCGUAUGAACCUAGGUUUCGAUUCGACCAAUUACAUUGAUCUUCGCUUGCUGCAACUGGCAUUACGUAUAUCACUUAACUCCGAUGGUGGACAUCCGACCGGUAGGAGUAUGUCGUUACACGACCUUUGCAGUAAGAACACGAAACCAGGUCAUAGAUCAAUCUAAAAACUAUCAUAUCUCCAUAUGCACACAUCCUAAAUUCAUAACAAAAUAGCUACGGCUCUGAUACCACUGUUGGGAUACUAGGUAGGCUAUGCUAGCGCAAAAUAAAAAUUUUCUACUACAUAAACCAGGAAAACUGUCGUAUAUGGAUCACGGGAUUACCACUCAACGCACAGGUAUGGAAGUUGUAGAAUCACGUCAGGGCAGCGAAGUCAAUCAGCGUAGUCAAACACGUCGACGUCGAGCAGCUCCUCAGCAGCUCGUCCACGUACAGCGAGGUCCUCCUCAUGCCGCGGCUCGUCAUCGGCUCGUCGACAACUCGUCCAAGUACUACAUGUAUAACACCUCCAAGGUAUCCACAUGUGCAGGGAGGAAGCAUCGCAAGCCGGACUGCUAGGUCCGCGAGUUGCAACGAGGCGAGGGCGUGGGAGGCGCGGCAGCUGUGGUUCGACCAAAAGGGAUGAACCCUAGGGCACCCCCCACCCCUCUAUAUAUAGGAGCCUUGAUGGGCCUCUAGGUCCAAGGCCCAUUAGUACUCCAAAACCUAGUCCAAUUCAGAUCAUAUCCGAAUUGGGCUUCCAGCCCUUUAAGUGUGUGACUCUAUAGGUUCAUAUGCGUAUAGACAUGGUUGGAGUACUCUUACUCGGCCAAUAGUUAGUAGCGGCCUCUAGCAAGAUGUGCUAACUCCUAUACACACACGAAGAUCAUAUCAGACGAACCAUCACAACAUCACAUAAAUGCUAUUCCCUUUGCCUCACGAUAUUUGGUCUAGCUCCAAGCCGACCAUUCUUUCUCGAUGCUGUGAUUCGGAAUCCCUUUCUAGGUUAACUCUUAACCUCACGUAGCAUGGACAUGCAUUUCCGGAUUCGAUCACUCGAGGGGCCCAGAGAUAUAUCUCUCAAAUAGAGAGGGGCAAAUUCCAUCUUGACUGACCAUGCCUUACAGCAUGCUUCUUGACAAACCCGAAAGCUACCUUUAUGACUACCCAGUUACGGUGUAGCGUUUAAUAGCCCCUAAGUAAGUCGAUCCACAUCUUGAGUACAUCCGACAGUCUCAGGUCUAAGGACAAAGCGUACACGUUGUGUAAACAGAGAACUACGUAACUCGUGUUGGGUCAGUCCUAGCACAUGUCUCCACAUAUGCCUACAUUAUUAGUUCAACAUCUCCAUGUCCAUGACUUGUGAAACAUAGUCAUCAACUAAUACAUGUACUAGUCUAUGAUUUCCUCUAGGGCAUACCUCCAGCAUCUAAUGGUUGAAAAAUACUUAGAGCAGCUCCAUGAGUCUCCCAAUAAAUGUUUCCCAAAAACUAGUGAACGAGGAUAUACUAAUAUCACUUUCAUUGUUAUUAGGAGAGUUGCUUUUGCAGUUUCCCAAUAAUCUCAUCACAAUCUAACUACCAUAUUGGAGAGUCACAAUUCCUCCUUUAUGUGGGAAGAGUUAGGGUGGAUUAUUUGUUUUUUCCAAUAAUUAUUGAGCACUAUUUUUUCACCAACUCUCCUAAUAUAGUAGUUGGAUUGGGGAAUGGGGAACUGCUGGAGAUGCUCUUACCAAUGCAUUGCAAACGACUAUAUGACUUGUGCGCAAAUCAUUGCAUACAAACUUACAACAUCUCUGUAAAGUAGUUCCAACAAUAGCUCUCAAAUCAUGACCCUCAAAAUGCCUAAUGGGGACGCCCCCUCCUACAGCAUGGCCCUCAAAUGCCUUAUGGGGACGCUUUCGGCUCCUCCAGCAGCAUGGAAAAGAAUCGGCAACGGUUAACAAAAUCACACAUGAAAAUAGGUGUAACUAAAGGACGGGAACGAGCGACCAGAGGAGGGGGGUGAAUGGGAGACUUUGAAAUUCUCUCUGAGAAUAAGGCUAUGUUCCAAUUUCCACCCAAAACACACACAUCACGCCUAAUCAUCAAGAUGACACAAGUCAACUCAUGACAAGCUCACUUUAGGAACAAUUAUGAGACGCUCAAAGCAUAGCUGAAGCAAAGCACAACAUGACUCAGAAAAACAUGUGCAGACAAGAUUAAGGAAGACCACUACUAACCACUUACUUGAGUAAGCAUGCAAGGAUUAAUUAAAGGAAACUUUACUAAGCAUGCAAAGAUUAGGAGAUAAUGAUUAGAUCACUAUUCAUUAAAAGCAACACUACACAGGAACAAAAUAGGUGUAAAUCGGCUUAGAAAGAUCAAGCUUGAAAUUUGCUACCUUACUUCUUACCCGUGUUAGCUAGUUAGGCCUGCAAGCCUGCUAGACAAGCGUCGUUGCCUGGGCCACUACAGGGAACUGUGCAGGUCUGCCAGCUCUCAUCGCUGUUGGACCAGUUCCUCGCGAACUGGGCUGCUGCUGGCCCGCCUGGUCCCUUCUGCCUGGGCUAGUGAGCCGCUUGACUGGGUCGGCCUGUGGCUCUGGGCCUGCUGUGCCGAGCUGGGCCGCGCUUGUUUAGGCUGCUGGCUCAGUCAGCAGCUGCCACGCCAAGCCUCAGCGCUGUGCUGCUUGGGCGGCCUGCUUCGCUUGCUAGGCCGGCUCCACGCGCUGCCUGGCCCGCAUGCUAGCGCUGGCUGCUGUGCGCUGCUGCGCAGCGCCUAUGAGCGUGCGAUGUCCCCAACAACUUGCUCCUGUACACAAACCUAGGGAUGGCAACGGGGCUAUCCCCGCCAGGGAUGAGCUGAACAUUCUGCUCCCUGAUGGAGCAAAAUUUCCCGGUCCCCAUCCCCGUCCCUAUUCGUGGGGAAGGAUUUUUCCCGCCCCCAUCCCAGAGCGGGGAUUUCUCACCCGACGGGACUCCGACCCCGACUCUCAGUUCUGCGGCUGCCCCUCGCGUGAGGAUGUGCGUGGCAAAGAUGUGGGAAAUAGCGGCGGCGCUCGAUUGGGCAACCCAAUGUGCCUCAGGAUCUCGUCACGGCCCGUCGGGAGGAGGUGGGUGUCGGCGAGGACGAGCGGGGCGGAGAGCCAGAUGGUGUUGGAGGUAUGCCCUAGAGGCAAUCAUAGAGAUGAUGAUAUUCCAUUUGUAUCCAUGAUUUGUAUAUUGUGUUCAUUGAAUAUCCAUUAAAGGCUACUUGAAUUGAUUUGCAAUUAUGUGAAUUGUAUGUGAAACUCUUUACUUGUAUGGUUAUUCUAAAGUUGUCCCUAGUCGGAGUUCAUGUGAGGACACACAUGAAUAUUAGACUAGCACAUGUAUUAGUUGAUGACUAUGUUUCACAAGUCAUGGACAUGGAGAUGUUGAACUAAUAAUGUGGACACAUGUGGAGACAUGUGCUAGGACUGACCCAACACGAGAAGUAGUUCUCUCUUUAAACAACAUAUACGCUUUGUCCUUAGACCUGAGACUGUCGCAUGUAUUCUAGAUGUGGAUCGACCUACUUAGGGGCUAUCAAACGCUACGCCGUAACAGGGUAGUUAUAAAGGUAGCUUUCGGGUUUGUCAAGAAGCAUGCUAUGAGACAUGGUCAAUCAAGAUGGGAUUUGCCCCUCUCUGAUUGAGAGUGAUAUCUCUGGGCCCCUUGAGUGAUCGGAUCCGAAAAUGCAUGGCCAUGCUACGUACGGUUAAGAGUUAACCUACAAAGGGAUUCCGAAUCACAGGAUCGAGAAAGAGCGGUCAGCUUGAAGCUAGACCAAAUAUCGUGAGGCAAAGGGAAUAGCAUGUAUAUUAUGUUGUGAUGGUUCGUCUGAUAUGAUCUUCGUAUGCGUAUAGGAGUUGGCACGUCUUGCUAAAGGCCGCUACCGACUAUUGGGCCGAGUAGGAGUACUCGGGCCAUGUCUAUACGUAUCCGAACCCAUAGGGUCACACACUUAAGGGGCUGGAAGCCCAAUUCGGAUCUGAUCCGAGUUGGAUUAGGUUUAGGAGUACUAAUGGGCCUCGGAUCCAGAGGCCCAUCAGGAACCUCUAUAAAUAGAGGGGUGGGGGCGCCCUAGGGUUCACACCUUUUUGGCGAAACACACCUGCCGCGCCUCCCACACCCUCGCCUGUUGCAACUCGCGGAUCUAGCAAUCCGGCUUGCGACGCUUCCUCCCUGCACGUGUGGAUACCUUGGAGGUGUUGCGCCUGCAGCACUUGGACGAGCCAUCGACGAGCCGCCGACGAGCCACGACGAGCCGACGACGAGCCGCGGUACCGGAGGCGAUCUUGCUGUGCACGUGGACGAGCUGCUGAGGAGCUGCUGGACGUGAUCGACUACGUACGACUACGUUGAUCGACUACGUACGACUACGUGAUCGUCUUCACUGCAUCGACGCAUAUCUACAUCUUCCGCACCAGUAGUGCGUCGAGUGGUAAUCCCGUGAUCCUUAUACAGCAGUUCUUCCUGGUUAUACGCGGUAGAAAUUUUUGAUUUGCGCUAGUGUAGCCUACCUCGUAUCCCAACAGAUGGGGCACCGGCGGCGGUGCGGGCGGAGUCCUUGAUGGCGAGGCACGAUACGAUGUCGUGGAGGAGCACGUCAGGAGGAGGCUGUGCUAUCAACGCCGCNNNNNNNNNNNNNNNNNNNNNNNNNNNNNNNNNNNNNNNNNNNNNNNNNNNNNNNNNNNNNNNNNNNNNNNNNNNNNNNNNNNNNNNNNNNNNNNNNNNNNNNNNNNNNNNNNNNNNNNNNNNNNNNNNNNNNNNNNNNNNNNNNNNNNNNNNNNNNNNNNNNNNNNNNNNNNNNNNNNNNNNNNNNNNNNNNNNNNNNNNNNNNNNNNNNNNNNNNNNNNNNNNNNNNNNNNNNNNNNNNNNNNNNNNNNNNNNNNNNNNNNNNNNNNNNNNNNNNNNNNNNNNNNNNNNNNNNNNNNNNNNNNNNNNNNNNNNNNNNNNNNNNNNNNNNNNNNNNNNNNNCUUCACCCGAUGGGGAUGGAAAUUUGCCCAUUAAGCUCCCUGUGGGGACUAAAAACAUCCCAUUUGCAUCGCCUAAUGGAUGAAAUCCCUGUCGGGGAUUGGGGAUCGAGGCCCAUUGCCAUCCCUACACAAACAAGAAACAAAGAAGGAAGAACACUUCCAACUUCAAAACAAAAAUACCCUCUCAAUACUCGAUGGUUUGAGACAAAACAUGAGCCAUACAUGCACCACCUCAAAGGCUAAUAGAUCCAUGAAAAAAAUCUUGAAAAGCUCAAGUAUUCAUCGCAGAUUUUGGAGAAAAUCGAACACCCUACGUAGAACACGAGUUUGGGGGGAUCAAAUCAUAAAUGCUCAAAAGUGUUCUACCAACAAUUUCCCCCAACAAACGUCGCAGGAUUUGGGCUCAAACUCAAAAAACAAAAAUUUCCACGAAAAUACCCUGCAAAUCUUGAAAAAGAAAAACGGAAGAAACAAAAAGAUUUAGCCAUGGAUUUGAGACACAAAUUCGACUAAUCACGAAUACAGCAUCUUUACAAGAUGAGGACUAUCCUCCUUCCUUCAUCCUCCCUCUAAGGUGAAAAUAAUUAAGGGAAAAGUGUUGGGAUACGAGGUAGGCUACACUAGCGUAAAUAAAAAAUUUCUACCGCGUAAACCAGGAAAACUGCUGUAUAAGGAUCACGGGAUUACCACUCUACGCACUACUGGUGCGGAAGAUGUAGAUUCGUGUCGAUGCAGCGAAGUCGAUCAAUGUAGUCGUACGUAGUCGAUCACGUCGACGUCCAGCAGCUCCUCAGCAGCUCGUCCAUGUGCAGCAAGAUCGCCCUCGUGCCACGGCUCAUUGUCGGCUCGUCGUGGCUCGUCGGCGGCUCGUCCAAGUGCUGCAGGCGCAACACCUCCAAGGUAUCCACACGUGCAGGGAGGAAGCGUCGCAAGCCGGACUGCUAGGUCCGCGAGUUGCAACAGGCGAGGGCGUGGGAGGCGCAGCAGAUGUGUUUCGCCAAAAAGGUGUAAACCCUAGGGCGCCCCCACCCCUCUAUUUAUGGAGGUUCCUAAUGGGCCUCUGGGUCCGAGGCCCAUUAGUACAUCUAAACCUAAUCCAACUCGGAUCACAUUCGAAUUGGGCUUCCAGCCCCUUAAGUGUGUGACCCUAUGGGUUCGGAUACAUAUAGACAUGGCCUGAGUACUCCUACUCGGCCCAAUAGUCGGUAGCGGUCUCUAGCAAGACGUGCCAACUCCUAUAUGCACACGAAGAUCAUAUCAGACGAACCAUCACAACAUUAUAUACAUGCUAUUCCCUUUGCCUCAUGAUAUUUGGUCUAGCUUCAAGCCGACCGCUCUUUCUCGAUCCUGUGAUUCGGAAUCCCUUUGUAGGUCAACUCUUAACCGUACGUAGCAUGGCCAUGCAUUUUCAGAUCCGAUCACUCGAGGGGCCCAGAGAUAUCACUCUCAAUCAGAGAGGGGCAAAUCCCAUCUUGAUUGACCAUGUCUCACAGCAUGCUUCUUGACAAACCCGAAAGCUACCUUUAUAACUGUUGGAGGUAUACCCUAGAGGCAAUCAUAGAGAUGAUGAUAUUCCAUUUGUAUCCAUGAUUUGUAUAUUGUGUUCAUUGAAUAUCCAUUAAAGGCUACUUGAAUUGAUUUGCAAUUAUGUGAAUUGUAUGUGAAACUCUUUACUUGUAUGGUUAUUCUAAAGUUGUCCCUAGUCGGAGUUCAUGUGAGGACACACAUGAAUAUUAGACUAGCACAUGUAUUAGUGGAUGACUAUGUUUCACAAGUCAUGGACAUAGAGAUGUUGAACUAAUAAUGUGGACACAUGUGCUAGGACUGACCCAACACGAGAAGUAGUUCUCUCUUUAAACAACAUAUACGCUUUGUCCUUAGACUUGAGAUUGUCGCAUGUAUUCAAGAUGUGGAUCGACCUACUUAGGGGCUAUCAAACGCUACGCCGUAACAGGGUAGUAAUGUUAUCAAACGCUACGCCGUAACAUGUACGCUUUGCCGCUUCCCCUAAGUCCUGCAUCAAAAAACUCAAGCAUAGGAAUGUUAUUUCCAAUCAGCAAUAUGUCAUCUACAUAUAAGAUUAGAAAUACUACAGAGCUCCCACUAACCUUCUUGUAAACACAAGACUCUUCCUCGUUCUUGGUGAAGUCAAACCCUUUGACUACUUCAUCAAAAUGAAUGUUCCAACUCCUAGAUGCUUGCUUCAAUCCAUAAAUGGAUCUUUGAAGCUUGCAUACCUUUCCAUCAUUUUUCGGAUCGACAAAACCCUCAGGCUGUAUCAUAUACACAUCCUCAGCUAGGUUUCCAUUCAGGAAAGCUGUCUUGACAUCCAUCUGCCAUAUCUCAUAAUCAAAAUAUGCAGCUAUAGCUAGAAUAAUCCGAAUGGACUUAAGCAUCACUACGGGCGAGAAAGUCUCAUCGUAGUCAACUCCUUGAACUUGUCGAAAACCUUUUGCGACAAGUCGUACUUUAUAGAUGUGAACAUUUCCAUCCAUGUCCUUUUUCUUCUUAUAGAUCCACUUGCACUCUAUGGCUUUAACACCAUCAAGCGGGUCAACCAAGUUCCAAACUUGAUUGUCUCCCAUGGACUCUAUUUCGGAUUGCAUGGCACUCUGCCAUUUUUCGGAGUCUGGGUCCAUCAUUGCUUCUGCAUAUGUCGCAGGCUCGUCAUUGUCCAACAAUAAUAUUUCCCGCAUUUCGCGGAGCCUUGCCGACCUUCAUGGUUGUGGCGGUGCUUCUCUUGCCAUGGGUAUCUCAACUUGUUCUGCUACAUUAGCAUCACUCAUUGAUUCUUGCCCAAUCGGCUCACCUUGAACUUCUUCAAGAUGCACUGUCAUUCCACUCUUUUCUCCUUUGAGAAACUCUUUCUCUAGGAAAACCCCGUUCCGAGCGACAAACACUUUGCCCUCUGACCAGUUGUAGAAAUAAUAUCCCAAAGUUUCCUUUGGAUAUCCCACGAAAAUGCACUUAUCCGACUUGGGUGUGAUCUUGUCCGACUGAAGUCGCUUGACAAACACUUCACAUCCCCAAAUCUUUAGAAAAGACAAACUGGGAACCUUUCCAGUCCACAUCUCAUAUGGUGUCUUAACUACGGAUUUAGAUGGUACCCUAUUAAGUGUGAAAGCUGCUGUUUCUAGAGCAUAUCCCCAAAAUGACAACGGUAGGUCCGACUAGCUCAUCAUUGAUCGAACCAUGUCUAACAAAGUUUGAUUACGUCGCUCGGAUACACCGUUUCUCUGAGGUGUUCCAGGCGGUGUGAGUUGUGGAACAAUUUUGCAACUCUUUAGAUGAUUGCUAAACUCGUGGCUCAAAUACUCGCCUCCACGAUCAGAUCGUAAAGCCUUAAUUUUCUUGCCACGCUGAUUUUCAACUUCAUUCUCAAAUUCCUUGAACUUUUCAAAGGUUUCAGACUUGUGCCUCAUCAAGUAGACAUAGCCAUAUCUACUAAAAUCAUCAGUGAAAGUUAUGAAGUAUUGGAAUCCUCCUCUAGCCAUCGUGCUCAUUGGUCCGCAUACAUCGCUAUGUACAAGUUCCAACAAGUCUACUGCUCUCUCAGGAAAUCCUGUGAAAGGCGUCUUGGUCAUCUUGCCUAGCAAGCAAGCCUCACAUGUCUCGUAUGAUUCAAAAUCAAACGAAGUUAGAAGUCCAUUAGAAUGGAGCUUCUUCAUGCGCUUUUCACUUAUAUGACCCAAACGACAAUGCCACAAGUAGGUAGGACUCAAAUCAUUAGGCCGAGGCCUUUUAGCACUUACGUUACAGAUAGGUGAACCAUUAAGAUUUAAAACAAAUAAUCCAUUCACAAUGGGUGCAAAAGCCAUAAACAUAUAAUUCUUAGAGAUCACACAACCAUUGUUUUCACUCGCAAAUGAAUAACCAUCCUUCAUCAAGCAUGAAGAAGACAAAAUGUUUCGACUUAAACUAGGAACGAAAUAACAAUUAUUCAACUCCAUAAUGAAUCCUGACAGGAGGUGGAGUUGCAUCGUCCCGAUGGUCAACGCAGCAACUCUUGCAUUAUUGCCCAUGCGGAAAUCAACUUCUCCUCUUUCCACGCUUCUACUUCUUAUCAUUCUCUACAUCGAAUUGCAAAUAUGAGCAACCGAUCCGGUAUCAAAUACCCAAGAAUUAAUAAUUGUAUCAGCGAGAAAUAUGUUGUCUAUAACAUUAAUAACAAGCGUACCUGAGGUGGAAGUACUCCUACUUCCGCCAUUCUUUUGACGAGGCUAGGUACUGCUUACAAUUUCUCUUCUAGUGACCAAGUUCAUGACAGUAAAAGCACUCCUUGUCUGUAGCAGGUCCAGGUCCAACUUUAACCUUGGGCGCUGGGUUUGGCUUGGAUGUUCCAGCCUUGCCCUUCUUCUUCCAAGAAUUGCCCUUCUUCUUAAAGCUAGGCUUGUUCUGUAUAGCCAUCACAUGGCUGCUACUAGCGCUUUUCUUGAUGUCAGCCUCUGCUGUUUUAAGCAUGCCACACAGCUCAUUCAAACCCUUCUCCGUCCCAUGCAUAUGGUAGUUCGAGAUGAAGUUUUCCAUAGCUAGGCGGAAGAGACGAAAGAAUGAAAUCAGUUGCCAACUCUUGGCCCAGUGGGAAGCCCAGCUUCCCCAACCGUUGAGUGUAACCAACCAUCUUGAUUACGUGUGGUCCUACUGCUGCGCCUUCUGCUAGCUUGCUCUCCACAAAGGCCUUAGACACAUUGAACCUUUCAGUCCUGACCUGUAUUUCGAACAUGUCUCUAAGUGCCACGAUCAUAUCGUGCACCUCAUGGUUUAUUUCGAACUGCAUCUGCAGCUCGGGUUCCAUGCAAGCAAGCAUAAGGCAGCUUAUUUCGAGGUUAGCAUCACAUGCUUUCUUGUAAGCAUUCUUAGCAGCAGCAGGUCCAUGAUCAGCAGGUUCUUCUGAUAGUGGGUUGUCUAGAACAUUGUAACGCCCGUAAAAUACACCCGGUUAAAUCACCCGUUAAAAACACUUUCCAAAAUCUUUCCGACCACCGAGCUCCGUCAAAUCCUUUCACAUCCGUCGGACCCGCCGUCAUGGCCCCGACCCGUCAAUUCCCCAUUUUCCACUCCCCGUAAUCUUCGUCGCGUGCCCGUCAAUCCGUCACCGCGCGCAGACGAAUCCCGAAAAUUUCGCCAUUUUUUUUUCCCUCCCUUCCCUCUCUUUCUCUUCCUUCUUUCUUUUUCUUCCUCCUUCUUUUCCUUCUCCUUUUUCCUUCUCCUUCUUCCUCCCCUUUCUUUUUCCUUUCUUCUCUCUCUUCUUUUACUUCCUGGCACCCCACCCACUUGCACCGGCCCCCCCCUCCUCUGCCUGGCACGGGCGCCGAGGCGCCGGGCCGCGCACACGCGUGUCGGGCCGCGCGCCCGCGCGCCGCGCCCGCCGCGCCCCGCCGCGCCGAGCCCGUGCCGCGCCGCGCCCGCACCGCGUCACGUCGCCCGUACCGCGCCCGCUCGCGCCUUGGCGUUUAACGCUUGGCUCGGUGCGUCGCGUCGUGUCCCCGUCACCGGUCGCUGCCCCUGUGGCCUCGACGACCACGGCGUCACGCCAUCCACGAGCUCCACCACUCCGGCACGCCACCGGUCAAAAGUCCGGCCGCCAUCAUCACCCCGGCCCUCGCCCGCCCGCGCGCCGCCUAUAAAAGGGGAGAGCCGAGCCUCCACCUCCACACCCCUCACCACGAGCACCUUGCCCUCCUCACUCCCACCACCAGAACGCCAACGGCCAUUGCUCUUCUCAAGUUUCUGGUUGUCUCCAGGAAGAAGAAGGGGUAAAUCCCUCUCCUCGCGAUCCAGCCCACUAGUUUCCCUUAUUCGCGAAUAGGCCCUUCCACCAUUCCAAAGAUAUUUACAGAUAGGCCCUUACUCUCGCGGUUCAGUCCUAAACCCCAUUUUAAAGCCCCUAAUACUCCUUUAACCCGUCAUUUCAUGCGCCAAACCUUCUCCGAUUAACCCCAAACUCGACCACGGCCUCCUCUCAUAUAUUUCCGCCGAGGCAUAUCAAAAUCCCACGAAAAUACCCUUCCUACCUAUUUUCCGUUCAUGUUUCCUGUUCGGAGCUCUUCGGGUAAAACCCUUUUUCCUUUUAUUUAUUGUGUGCUCGUUUGUGUGUGCCGUAGAUCGCGGAGUACCCGAGGAGGAGCGCGAGGAGGAGUUCGACCGCGAGCCCGAGCCCGAGGACCAGUACCGCGAGCAGGAGCUCCCGGAAGGCUUUGAGAACGGCAAGUCCAAUCUCACCCGUUGAUGCAUAUUUUAAUACCCAGUUUUUCAGACACAACCUAUUGGCCUAUUUGUUUUAAAAUGCAUAUUGUUUUAUCGCAAGACAUGGUUGGAUAGCCACCCCUUGAUUGUUAUGACUAUUCUUUGUUAUCCCAUAUUUAUCUCUAACUAUGAGUUGCUCUGUUUAGAUGGUAAAUACUGCUAGAAUGCUUAGGAACUCAUUAUCCAAAUUCAAACAUGACUACAUCUGUUUACUCGGAAAAUAAAUGUGUGAGUAUGAUUAACGGAGGAGUUGGGUUUUCGGGUGUUAAGAGGAGUGGUGGAUGAGGUGGAUGGGUGUUUCUUGUGUGGAACGCCGGGUUGAUGGGCUCGUACCUCAGUGGUUGAGCAGUGUGGGAGAUAUCCAUCUUGUCAUGACUAAGGACCGAGUUGAUGUGUCAUCCUGCCUAAUUCCAUCAUCGUACAACCACUCGACCGUUGUAUGGGCAACGGCUUAGCAUAAACCCCACUAGCUAAACUGCUAGGCUUCGGGUGUGCUGGUGAGCAACGGGAGGCCUUGGAAAAGGACUAAGCUCUUGGUGACUUAGGUCCCGGUUACGGCCCCGUGGAUGGGUUGCUAACCCCUUGAGCGCUCUUGUGUUGGCUAGUCAGUGUUGGCUAAGGUGGGUAAUGGCUUUGUUAGGAUCCGUACCGACACUAAGGUGAUCGCGAUACGGUACCCUACUUGUGGGAAAAGUGUACAACCUCUGCAGAGUUAAAACCUAUCCGGGUAGCCGUGUCCACGGCAUUGGACGAGUUACGGCUCGGUCACACAACUAGCUUUUGGGGAUGACUGGUAUUCUACUGCGUGUGUGGGUGCGUGGAAUUUUGGAAGUGUCCGGCAGGUGUGCCGUGCGCUACGGCGGACGGGGAGUCCGGUAGCGAUAAAACUUGGAUCCUUUGUGUAGGAUCAACCCCACUUGAUAUAUUGUUUACUAAAAUGUUUUAUGAAACUUCUUUGAAAUGGAACCCUGCAUGUGUUUAAAAUCUAGCUUUACUGCAAAUAAACCAUAGCUUAUUCCUUGAUUAUUCUCGUGCAUACUCUGUUGUAUCCCCCUCCGUGGAUGGGGUUGGACUUGCGGAGUACUUUUGUACUCACCCUUGUGUUGUUACUUCAGAGGAGGAUCCGGACUUCGUCGCCGAGGACUUCGAGUAGGAGGUUGCGUCUGCACCCAACGCUGCCUGUGGUGUUGGCCCUUUUGCAGAAUGCUUCCGCUGACGCUUAGCUCCGAUUGCAGCCCGGAGUCCGACUGGACUGCAACUUGGAUUUGUGUUGUUAUCGCUUUAGUCUUGCUCUGGGUGUGGCUUGCACGCCCGCUCCUUCGGGAGUUGUACGGUUUCUGAACUAUCUGUUGAAUAAAUGUGUUAUCAGCCUCCUGGGACUGAUAAUUUGGAUCACAUUUAGUCUCUACUUAUGUGGGGACGCUUCAGGUGGUAUCAGAGCCGUCGUUGGCCGUAGGACGUAACCAUUAGGACCGGAAAAGCCUUUUUGACCAAAUUAAAUGAUUUACAAAAUUUCUUGCUACCCCUGCUCAAUUGCAAAACUGAUUUACACCCCGAUUCUUUCCAGAUGGCCGAAGAUGGAUGGACCAACAGCCACUGCCUGGAGGAGCCCGGUUUUCCCAGGUUGCUGUUCGCCUGCAUGGACCGCCUCGGAAUUUACGAGCGCCCGGAGUACUCCAGCAGGGAGUAUGAGGACCGUGGGACUCUCCGGUGCGAGAUGACCAUCUUUGUGGGCAGGAGCAGCCGCUUCCCCGACAUUCAGCCUUGGAAUGUGUCUGCCACUGGUUUCCGGCGGAAAGACACUUACCAGGCGGCAGCUCGGAAAGCCCUGCGCUACCUGUGCCAGAUCUACGAGCGGCACAUCGGACGCAAACCGAUGAGGUUCUACCCGCCUGUCAAGAAUAACCGCCCGGUUUGGCUGGCCCGGGUGAGGACUUUGGAAGGACGUGGACAGCGCGAGGAUGACCCCACUGUGCUCCAUAUGGCUGUCUACCUCCUCACUUUGGAUGAACUCUGCGAUGAGCAGGCCGCUCAUUUGAAGCAGCAGAUCCGCAGAGCCGAGGACGCCGAGAUUAUGGUGAGGAGGCUCCAGGUGAGAUUGGCAGCAGCGGAGGCCCGAGCAGCGGCCGCCCAAAGCAAUGAGGCCCUCGCCAUCGAGGCCCUCAAGGAGGCCGAGGACCGGCACGCACAGGCCCUGAAGGAAGCCCACCGCUCGGACCGCACGCGGAGGAAGAUGCGGAUCGUGGAGGACGACGAGGCCCCAGUUUUGGAUGGAGUUCCUGUUGCCCAGGGGUCCGGGAAGCGGAAGAGCCCCGAUGCCACACCAGCACCACCGCCCUCGGAAAGGGACUCUGAGGUGGCCAAUGAGCUCCCUCCCGCGGGUGGGACCCUGAGAGAUGAGGUGCUGGCCCUCCUGAUUCCGCCAGAAGACCACUCCGCGCAGUGUGCAGAUUCGUCCCACGAGUAGAGUGCCCAGCCCAGAGUUUGCCCGAGGGAGUGGAGUCGUCAUGGUCCGUGGUCCAAGUUGUACUCCUGAAGUUGUCCAGAGUCUAGAGUUGUACCCCCCCCCUAGUGUGUUGUUGUACCGGUCGUGUAGCACGUGUUUUGGCCCUACCCCAAGUGUUGUAACCGCCCCAGCCAAAAUAAUAAAAUCAUUUGUGCUUGUUGUUGGUUAGUCUGUGUGCUUGUCGACAGGAGGUGGAUUCUGUCUCUUCGAAAACUCGAAAUAAUUAACUAAACAUCACCUUAAUAUCCAAAUCCAAGUCUCAUGAAAGAUCACUCAAUCUGCAGAUGCCUCCCAAGCGUGCCACCAGGACCUCCCCGAGUCAAGCACGUGCCACUCCCAGUGCAGAAAGACAACAGGAAAGGCAGGGACCACCACCAAUAGUGCACCAUGAGGAGCAGGAGGUGAAUCAGCCCGAGGGCAGGGGGGAAAGUCAGGUGGGAGCACAGGAGCCACCGCCCCCACCGGUCAUUGACCUGGUACAAGUCAUGAACAACCAGACCCUUCUGCUGGAAGCCUUGGCCAAUGCCAUCACUCGCCAGAGGCCCCGCGGACAGGGUAUGAAUGAGAAGCUGACAGACUUCCUCCGCACCAAGCCACCCACUUUUGGCGGGUCCAUCAACCCCCUAGACGCAGAUGACUGGCUGCGGGUCAUUAAGAGGAAGCUAGAGCCAUUCGGCUGUGAGAGCAGGGACAAGGUUCUCCUGGCUGCACACCAGCUCACUGGGACUGCUUUAGCUUGGUGGGAGAACUACUGCACGGCCGCCCAGGAUGCCUCCACUAUCACCUGGGAUGAGUUUGUGACAGAGUUCCGCCGCUAUCACAUUCCUGCAGCUACCAUGAAGCGCAAGGCGGAUGAAUUCCGUGAACUGCGCCAGGGCAACAAGUCUGUGGAGGAGUACACCUAUCAGUUCAUGGAGUUGGCCCGCUAUGCUCCAGAAGAGGUAGACAAGGAUGAGAAGAAGCAAGACAUGUUCAAGAAGGGCUUGAACGCAGAACUGAGGACCCUGCUUACCCCUCAGAUUUACCCUGACUUCAACACCCUGAUGAACAUGGCCAUUCUGACUGAGAGGGCCAAGGCAGAUGAAAGGAGAGAUAACAAGCGUCGGUUCCUGGACAGCAAGACCCACCAGCAGGACAGGUUUCUGAAACCAAGAAGCUUUGGUUACCCCAUGCCCAGGUCCCAAGCUCCCAUGCAGUACAGGACCCAGUCCCAAGCCUCCGGUUCUCAUCAGACCAAUGCCCCAUUCAGAAGCCAGAACCCUAUCAAGGCCCCACAGAACAGCGCCAGUCAGGUCACCAACAACGGCAGGGCAUGCUUCAACUGCCGUGAGCCAGGGCACUUCAUUGCCAACUGCCCCUACACCAACAAGCCAGCUGCGUCAGCCUUCUCCAACGCAGUGACUGGGCCAAGGGCAGCAGUGUUAGGAGCCAACCGUGUUCCCGUCCGCAGCAACAACCCCGGCCACAACAACAACAACAACAACAGCCAGCAGAUGAGGCAGCCCCAGCAGUCGUUUGGACGAGCCCGCGUCAACCACAUCAGCGCGCAAGAGGCUUAGGAAGCUCAGGGCGUUGUACUCGGUGAGUUUCUAGUCAGCUCAGUAUUGGCAACAGUACUCUUCGAUUCUGGAGCAUCACAUUCAUUUAUAUCAUCAAGCUUUGUGGAUAAGCACCACAUACCUACAGUACUACUAAAGGUACCCCUAAUAACCCGGACGCCUGGAGCCGACAUCCAGUGUCGACUAGGUUGUUCCCGGGUAAGGAUCAAUUUAAGUGGGGUAGAAUUCCUAGCCGAUCUAGUAGUACUUAAGUCUAAAGGAAUAGAUGUGAUCCUUGGAAUGGAUUGGUUAAGCCUACAUGAUGGACACAUAGGAUGUGCUGAUAAGGUAGUGCGCCUAAUUAAUCAGGAUGGCGUGCAGGUAACCUGCCACACCCGGGGGAGUGGGCCUGACCCAAUGGUUUUUAACAUGGAAGCCAAAGCCAUAGAAGGAGUUCCGGUAGUGAGUGAAUACCCGGAUGUUUUUCCUGAGGAACUACCUGGAAUGCCCCCGGAUAGGGAUAUAGAGUUUGUGAUCGACCUCAUCCCUGGAACCUCCCCUAUAGCCAAGAGGCCCUAUAGAAUGGCAGCAUCUGAGUUAGCAGAGCUGAAGAAACAGCUAGGUGAACUGCAACAGAGUGGCUUUAUCAGACCCAGCUCAUCCCCGUGGGGAGCCCCAGUGCUCUUUGUCAAGAAGAAAGAUGGAAGCAUGAGGAUGUGCGUGGAUUAUCGCGCACUAAAUGAGGUCACUAUCAAGAAUAAAUACCCCCUUCCCAGAAUAGAUGACCUAUUUGACCAGUUAAAGGGGGCCAAGUAUUUCUCCAAAAUAGAUUUGAGAUCAGGGUACCACCAGCUCAAGAUUAAGGAAAGUGAUAUCCCGAAGACAGCUUUUGUUACCCGGUAUGGCCAGUUUGAAUUCACAGUGAUGUCCUUUGGACUGACCAAUGCCCCUGCUUAUUUCAUGAAUCUCAUGAAUAAGGUGUUUAUGGAAGAGUUAGACAAGUUUGUCGUGGUCUUUAUCGACAACAUACUUAUUUACUCCAAGAGUGUCCAAGAGCAUGAGCAACAUCUGCGAGUAGUGCUGGAGAAAUUGAGAGCCCACCGACUUUAUGCUAAAUUCAGUAAAUGUGAAUUUUGGCUAGAGAAGGUGGCAUUUCUUGGGCACAUCUUGACUGCAGAAGGAGUAGCAGUCGACCCCGAGAAGGUGGAAGCCGUCUCCAACUGGCAGCAACCCACCAAUGUUAGUGAAAUCAGGAGUUUUCUUGGUUUAGCUGGAUAUUAUCGGAGGUUCAUUGAGGGAUUCUCCAAGAUAGCCCGACCUAUGACAGAGCUACUCAGGAAGGAUAAGAAAUUCAAUUGGACCGAGGCAUGUGAGAGGAGUUUUCAGGAACUGAAGGGAAGAUUAACGACCGCCCCAGUGUUAACCCUACCGGAUAUCCAGCGGGACUUCGUCAUUUAUUAUGACGCUUCUCGCCAAGGGUUAGGGUGUGUCCUGAUGCAGGAUGGAAAGGUAGUGGCUUAUGCCUCCCGUCAACUUAAGCCCCAAGAACAAAAUUACCCCACCCAUGACUUGGAAUUUGCGGCCGUAGUGCAUGCCCUCAAGAUCUGGAGACAUUACUUGAUCGGGAAUAAGUGUGAGAUUUACACUGACCACAAGAGCCUAAAAUACAUCUUCACCCAACCAGAUCUGAAUCUAAGGCAAAGAAGAUGGUUAGAAUUGGUCAAGGACUAUAAUCUGGAAAUUCACUACCACCCCGGUAAGGCCAAUGUGGUAGCGGAUGCAUUAAGCAGGAAACCCCAUGGGCAGAUCGGACCUAAGGACCCCCACUUACAAGAGGAAAUGGCCCGAUUAAAUGUGCAUAUCAUUCCUCAGAAUACCAGCCGCAAGCUAAGUGUUCAGCCCACCCUGGAAGAAAGAAUCCGAGAGGCCCAAGGUUCGGACCCGGACCUGGUGAGGAUUCGCAGGCAAACCGGAGAAAAUAAAGCCCCAGACUUCAGAGUGGACGAAAAGGGAACCCUGUGGUACAAGGAUAGGAUUUGUGUGCCCAAGGAAGGUGAAUUCCGGCAAACCAUCAUGGAUGAGGCCCAUAACUCAGCAUAUUCCAUCCACCCGGGAUCCACCAAGAUGUAUAUGGACUUAAAGCAGAAGUACUGGUGGAAUGGGAUGAAAGCGGACAUAGCCCAGUUCGUCGCUCAUUGCGAUAUUUGCCAAAGGGUUAAGGCCGAACAUCAGAAGCCAGCCGGGUUACUACAACCACUACCCAUUCCAGUUUGGAAAUGGGACGAGAUUGGCAUGGAUUUUGUAGUGGGAUUGCCCAGGACUCAGAAAGGGAAUGACUCCAUAUGGGUGAUAGUGGACCGACUCACUAAGGUUGCCCACUACUUGCCCGUACGGACCACCUAUGGUGGAGAAAAGCUAGCUCGGCUCUAUGUGGACAACAUAGUGAAGUUGCAUGGUGUACCUAGCAGAAUUGUUUCGGAUAGGGGGACCCAAUUUACCUCUAGAUUCUGGAAGAGUCUUCAUAAGGCUAUGGGCACCAAACUGGACUUUAGUUCAGCUUAUCACCCCCAGACCGAUGGCCAAACAGAGAGAGUAAAUCAGAUCAUGGAAGACAUGUUGAGGGCAUGUGUCCUUACUUAUGGCAAGGAUUGGGAGCAGAGUCUACCAUAUGCAGAGUUCUCAUACAACAACAGUUACCAAGCCAGCUUAGGCAUGUCACCGUUUGAGGCUCUCUAUGGAAGAAAGUGCAGGACCCCGUUGAUGUGGUCAGAAGUGGGAGAGCGCACCCUGGUAGGACCUGCCUUUAUUAAGGAAGCAGAAGAGCGAGUAGCUGAAAUACGAGAGAAGUUGAAAGCAGCACAGUCUAGACAGAAGAGCUACUCAGAUAAGAGGAGACGAGAGUUGAUUUUCAGUGAGGGGGACUUCGUGUACCUUAAGGUCUCUCCGAUCCGAGGUACCCGGAGGUUCCAAGUGCAAGGAAAGCUGGCCCCUCGGUAUAUCGGACCAUACAAGGUGCUAAAGAGAAUUGGAGCGGUAGCCUACCGUAUCCAGUUGCCCGAAGAAAUGUCGGAUAUCCACCCGGUGUUCCAUGUAUCCCAGCUGAGAAAAUGCCUGAGAGUACCAGAAGAGCAAAUACCGGUGGAAACCAUAGAUUUGCAGAAAGAUCUGCGGUAUCAGGAAGUACCCGUCAAGAUUCUGGACACAGUCACCAGAAGGACAAGGAAUUCAGCAGUACGGAUUUGCAGAGUUCAGUGGAGUAGGCAUGGUGAGGAAGAAGCCACUUGGGAACGCGAGGAUGCGUUGAAGAAGGAAUUCCCCCAUCUGUUCAGGACUCAGCCGAAUCUCGAGGACGAGAUUCAAUUUAAGUGGGGUAGGUUUGUAACGCCCGUAAAAUACACCCGGUUAAAUCACCCGUUAAAAACACUUUCAAAAAUCUUUCCGACCGCCGAGCUCCGUCAAAUCCUUUCACAUCCGUCGGACCCGCCGUCAUGGCCCCGACCCGUCAAUUCCCCAUUUUCCACUCCCCGUAAUCUUCGCCGCGUGCCCGUCAAUCCGUCACCGCGCGCAGACGAAUCCCGAAAAUUUCGCCAUUUUUUUUCCCUCCCUUCCCUCUCUUUCUCUUCCUUCUUUCUUUUUCUUCCUCCUUCUUUUCCUUCUCCUUUUUCCUUCUCCUUCUUCCUCCCCUUUCUUUUUCCUUUCUUCUCUCUCUUCUUUUACUUCCUGGCACCCCACCCACUUCCACCGGCCCCCCCCUCCUCUGCCUGGCACGGGCGCCGAGGCGCCGGGCCGCGCACGCGCGCGCCGGGCCGCGCGCCGCGCGCGCCCGCGCGCCCCUGCCGCGCCGCGCCCCGCCGCGCCGAGCCCGUGCCGCGCCGCGCCCGCACCGCGUCACGUCGCCCGUGCCGCGCCCGCUCGCGCCUUGGCGUUUAGCGCUUGGCUCGGUGCGUCGCGUCGUGUCGCCGGUCACCGGUCGCCGCCCCUGUGGCCUCGACGACCACGCCGUCACGCCAUCCACGAGCUCCACCACUCCGGCACGCCACCGGUCAAAAGUCCGGCCGCCAUCAUCACCCCGGCCCUCGCCCGCCCGCGCGCCGCCUAUAAAAGGGGAGAGCCGAGCCUCCACCUCCACACCCUCACCACGAGCACCUUGCCCUCCUCACUCCCACCACCAGAACGCCAACGGCCAUUGCUCUUCUCAAGUUUCUGGUUGUCUCCAGGAAGAAGAAGGGGUAAAUCCCUCUCCUCGCGAUCCAGCCCACUAGUUUCCCUUAUUCGCGAAUAGGCCCUUCCACCAUUCCAAAGAUAUUUACAGAUAGGCCCUUACUCUCGCGGUUCAGUCCUAAACCCCAUUUUAAAGCCCCUAAUACUCCUUUAACCCGUCAUUUCAUGCGCCAAACCUUCUCCGAUUAACCCCAAACUCGACCACGGCCUCCUCUCAUAUAUUUCCGCCGAGGCAUAUCAAAAUCCCACGAAAAUACCCUUCCUACCUAUUUUCCGUUCAUGUUUCCUGUUCGGAGCUCUUCGGGUAAAACCCUUUUUCCUUUUAUUUAUUGUGUGCUCGUUUGUGUGUGCCGUAGAUCGCGGAGUACCCGAGGAGGAGCGCGAGGAGGAGUUCGACCGCGAGCCCGAGCCCGAGGACCAGUACCGCGAGCAGGAGCUCCCGGAAGGCUUUGAGAACGGCAAGUCCAAUCUCACCCGUUGAUGCAUAUUUUAAUACCCAGUUUUUCAGACACAACCUAUUGGCCGUUUUUUUUUAAAAUGCAUAUUGUUUUAUUGCAAGACAUGGUUGGAUAGCCACCCCUUGAUUGUUAUGACUAUUCCUUGUUAUCCCAUAUUUAUCUCUAACUAUGAGUUGCUCUGUUUAGAUGGUAAAUACUGCUAGAAUGCUUAGGAACUCAUUAUCCAAAUUCAAACAUGACUACAUCUGUUUACUCGGAAAAUAAAUGUGUGAGUAUGAUUAACGGAGGAGUUGGGUUUUCGGGUGUUAAGAGGAGUGGUGGAUGAGGUGGAUGGGUGUUUCUUGUGUGGAACGCCGGGUUGAUGGGCUCGUACCUCACUGGUUGAGCAGUGUGGGAGAUAUCCAUCUUGUCAUGACUAAGGACCGAGUUGAUGUGUCAUCCUGCCUAAUUCCAUCAUCGUACAACCACUCGACCGUUGUAUGGGCAACGGCUUAGCAUAAACCCCACUAGCUAAACUGCUAGGCUUCGGGUGUGCUGGUGAGCAACGGGAGGCCUUGGAAAAGGACUAAGCUCUUGGUGACUUAGGUCCCGGUUACGGCCCCGUGGAUGGGUUGCUAACCCCUUGAGCGCUCUUGUGUUGGCUAGUCAGUGUUGGCUAAGGUGGGUAAUGGCUUUGUUAGGAUCCGUACCGACACUAAGGUGAUCGCGAUACGGUACCCUACUUGUGGGAAAAGUGUACAACCUCUGCAGAGUUAAAACCUAUCCGGGUAGCCGUGUCCACGGCAUUGGACGAGUUACGGCUCGGUCACACAACUAGCUUUUGGGGAUGACUGGUAUUCUACUGCGUGUGUGGGUGCGUGGAAUUUUGGAAGUGUCCGGCAGGUGUGCCGUGCGCUACGGCGGACGGGGAGUCCGGUAGCGAUAAAACUUGGAUCCUUUGUGUAGGAUCAACCCCACUUGAUAUAUUGUUUACUAAAAUGUUUUAUGAAACUUCUUUGAAAUGGAACCCUGCAUGUGUUUAAAAUCUAGCUUUACUGCAAAUAAACCAUAGCUUAUUCCUUGAUUAUUCUCGUGCAUACUCUGUUGUAUCCCCCUCCGUGGAUGGGGUUGGACUUGCUGAGUACUUUUGUACUCACCCUUGUGUUGUUACUUCAGAGGAGGAUCCGGACUUCGUCGCCGAGGACUUCGAGUAGGAGGUUGCGUCUGCACCCAACGCUGCCUGUGGUGUUGGCCCUUUUGCAGAAUGCUUCCGCUGACGCUUAGCUCCGAUUGCAGCCCGGAGUCCGACUGGACUGCAACUUGGAUUUGUGUUGUUAUCGCUUUAGUCUUGCUCUGGGUGUGGCUUGCACGCCCGCUCCUUCGGGAGUUGUACGGUUUCUGAACUAUCUGUUGAAUAAAUGUGUUAUCAGCCUCCUGGGACUGAUAAUUUGGAUCACAUUUAGUCUCUACUUAUGUGGGGACGCUUCAAACAUCUUCCUUUUUCUCAGCCCUAAGAACAAUUCUCAGGUUAGGAUCCAAUCCGAGUAAUUUGUUCCAUUCAACUUGUCCUUCUCAAGGACCCGACGCAAAGCAAACGGUGUAGUGCUACUAGGUGCCAUUUAAUCUACAACAAAAGUAAUGCAAAAUACACUAAGACAAACAUAUCCAUGAUAGAGCAAAUCACAUUAAACUAUUUUAACAGAAUCUACUCCCACUAAAAUCAAUAUCCCUCUAUUGAUACUUAGUCAUUCAGGAUCCUCAACUAACAAGUCUACUAGUGAGCUUUAGUAUCACCGCUAGCAAACAAGGUAGAUCGGUAAGCAACUUUUGCUAAUCAUAUCAUAUAUGACUCCUGUUGUUGGGUGACAUCUCCAUGUCUCGGCGCCCAACCUUUAUGCCCCAAGGUCCUUAACCGUUAAGUUAACCUUGUUAAGCAAACCAACCCUUAUGCGUGUAAGUGUCCGACACAAACCCGUCUAAUCAAGGAAAACUAGUGGCACCCUAAUUUCAUAGACCCACCACUAAUUGUACAAGACAUGGGACGGUGCAAGUUUUAGUUGAGAGGGCAUACUAACUUAAACUUUGUGAGGGAUCGUUCUACUUCUAACAUCACAGCAUGCAGAAAGUAAAACAUAAACAGAAUAGCAUUCACACAGUUGUGACACAGUAUGGCCCGUUUUCUUAUGGUGAUCUCCAUCUCCAUAGAACCUGUUCACCAUGGUGAUCUCCAUCUCCAUAGAACCUGUUCACCAUGGUGAUCUCCAUCUCCAUGUUCCAUGUGCGCCAUCCUCCUGGUGAUGAGUCCUCCAAGAACUAGAACAUGCUAUUACGCCUAAUAGCUAGAAAAAAGCUAGUAAUGAAGAUUACAUAGUUGCUUGGAUCAUCACAGAUUGGUACGCAGACCAUUAAAUACAUUAAAGUGACAACACAUAUGGCUCCUACCGUGUUGCCGUACGCGCGACACGCAGGUCACGAAUGAGUUACACACAUGCAUCACAUACACAAAGGGGCCAUACUGAUCACAAGAUACAUACAUCCUGCAAAACAGAGUUAAGCGUCCUAACGUUCCAAAUUUCGGAGGCCCGAAACUCUAUGUUCCAAGCUGAAUUUGGGAAAUCUAAUUUCACUAAAAAUGGCACAGCCAUUGAAUUUCAUGUGUAACUUUUUCUGUAGAUCAAUUUUCAUACAAAAUUCGUCCCGAUCCGAGUUCGUACCAAAAAGUUACGGCUGAUUUACCGAAGCAUACGCACACGGCAAAAUCCCGACCCCGGCAGUAGAUCCCAUCUACAAUUGCACAUCUCAUGCGCCUAGCGUAUGAACCUGGAUUUCGAUUCGAUCAAUCACAUUGAUCUUCACUCGCUGCAACUGGCAUUACGUGUAUCACUUAACUCCGAUGGCGGAAACCCGACCGGUAGCAGUAUGUCGUUACACUACCAUUGCAGCAAGAACAUGAAACCAGGACAUAGAUCAAAUUGAAAACUUGCAUAUCUCCAUAUGCACACAUCUCGAAUCCAAAACUAAACAGCUACGGCUCUGAUACCACUAUUGGGAUAUGAGGUAGGCUACACUAGCGCAAAUAAAAAAUUUCUACCACGUAAACCAGGAAAACUGCCGUAUAAGGAUCACGAGAUUACCACUCGACGCACUACUGGUGCGGAAGAUGUAGAUUCGCGUCGAUGCACCCAAGUCGAUCAACAUAGUCGUACGUAGUCGAUCACGUCGACGUCCAGCAGCUCCUCAGCAGCUCGUCCACAUGCAGCAAGAUCGCCCUUGUGCCGCGGCUCGUCGUGGCUCGUCGGCGGCUCAUCCAAGUGCUGCAGGCGCAACACCUCCAAGGUAUCCACACAUGCAGAGAUAUCAUCAUCUCUAUGAUUGCCUCUAGGGCAUACCUCCAACAGUCUCCCACUUGCACUAGAGUCAAUCUAGAAGGUACCUAAUACCCAUAGCUCUUACAUGUGCAUCAUGCUUAGCCUGCGAGAGUGGUUUUGUCAACAGAUCAGAAAUAUUCAGAUCCGUGUGUAUUUUGCAUAUCUUGAUCUCACCCCGGUUAACAAAGUCUCGAAUGAGAUGAAAUCGCCGCAUUACGUGUUUGUUCUUCUGGUGGUUCCUUGGCUCCUUUGCUUGCGCAAUUGCCCCAUUGUUAUCACAGUAGAGAUUCAAUGGGCUGGACGCAUUCGGGAACACACCAAGCUCAAUGAGGAAAUUCCUUAUCCAAACACCUUCCUUCGCGGCUUCCGAAGCCGCGAUGUACUCGGCUUCUGUCGUAGAAUCGGCCACCGUCUCCUGCUUGGAACUCUUCUGUAGAGAAAUACCGCACACCCUAACCAGGGGGGGUGGCCUUCAUUAUAUAGCCUAAUAGGCUAGGGUUACAGUAUACAAGGCCUAUGGGCCGUACGCCCAAUAUGGGCUGUUACAAUACAUUCUAACACCCUCCCUCAGUCUAAGCGGGAGUGUCACGAACACAAAGACUGGACCUAAAAUCAGUGAACAACUGUAUAGGUAACCCUUUGGUCAUAAUGUCCGCGAACUGAUGAGAUGAUGGAACAUGGAGCACCCGAACUUGUCCCAAAGCAACCUUCUCACGGACGAAGUGAAUAUCUAUCUCAAUAUGCUUCGUGCGACGAUGAUGAACUGGAUUGGCGGUCAUGUAGACAGCACUGACAUUGUCACAGUAGACAAUCGUCGCCGAAGAGAUGGGUACGUGGAGCUCCUGGAGUAACUGACGAAGCCAACAAGUCUCAGCCACAGCGUGCGCAACAGCACGAUACUCAGCCUCCGCACUCGAACGAGAAACCGUAGUUUGUCGUUUGGAGGACCAAGAGACUAAGUUGUCGCCGAGGAAGACACAGUAGCCUGAAGUGGAGCGCCGAGAGUCGGGACAACCAGCCCAAUCAGCAUCGGAAUAGGCGGACAAGCUGGUGAUGCUACCAGUGCCGAUGUGAAGCCCGGUGGAGAGGGUGCCCUUGACGUACCGCAGUACACGCUUGAGCAGCGCAAGAUGAGGCGCGCGCGGGUCGUGCAUGAAGAGGCAAACCUGCUGUACGGCAUAAGCGAGGUCCGGACGAGUCAGCGUGAGAUACUGAAGUGCACCGGCGAGGCUGCGGUACUGAGUGGCAUCCGCCACCGGUGCGCCGUCUGUAGCAGAGAGCUUGGCAUGAGUGUCAACGGGAGUCGCCGUGGAUUGACACUCAGCCAUGCCGGCGCGCUGGAGCAGAUCCACAGCGUACUGGCGCUGCGACAGGAAGAGACCGUCAGCGGAACGCGUGACAGAGAUCCCGAGGAAGUGAUGAAGAUCCCCGAGAUCUGUCAUGGCGAACUCGGAGUGAAGGAGCUCGGUGAUGCGACGAAGAAGCGGGGUCGACGAGGCUGUCAGAAUGAUGUCGUCGACGUAGAGCAGUAGGUAGGCGAUGUCGGCACCCGCUCGGUAAACAAAGAGGGACGUGUCAGAGGUCGAAGCAGUAAAGCCAGACCGCUGAAUGAAGCCGGAGAACCGCUGGUGCCACGCCCUGGGCGCCUGCUUGAGUCCAUACAAGGACUUUUGCAGGAGACAGACGUGGUCGGGAGCUGCCGGGUCGACGAAGCCGGGCGGCUGCUGGCAGUAGACGGUCUCGUUCAGAUGGCCGUGAAGAAAGGCGUUCUUCACGUCCAGCUGAUGAAUCGGCCAGGAGCGAGAAGCGGCGAUGCUGAGGACGACCCGAAUGGUGGCCGGUUUGACAACCGGGCUGAACGUCUCGUCGUAGUCGAUGCCGUACCGCUACGAGAAGCCACGAACAACCCAUCUGGCUUUAUGACGAGCCAGAGAGCCGUCAGCAUGAUACUUGUGCUUGAAGACCCACUUGCCGGUGAUGACGUUGGCACGAGGCGGUCGAGGAACAAGACGCCAGGUGCCAUUGUCCACAAGCGCCUUGUAUUCGUCGGUCAUCGCCGCGCGCCAAUUAGCAUCGGCAAGCGCGACACGGGUGUUGCCUGGCAGCGGAGAAGCCAGGGCGGAGGUCGAGGCGGUGAAGCCAUACCGCUGCAUGGGCGGCGGCAGUGAACCCGUCCGGGACCGAGUCUCCCGCGCAAGGGGCUCUGGAGCCCGGGGCGCCGCUGCUUGCGGCACUGGAGCCGAGGGCACCUACGGCUGCUGCUGGUCCGACGGCGGCGUCGGUUGAGGAGGCGGUGGCGGACGCGGAUGACGAGUGUAGUGGAUGCCGAACCGCUGCCGAUCAGUGGCAACGGCGGGGGCACCGGCCGGCGUAGGAGAAGCCGAGGAGGUAGGCGAGGCCGGCCGGGGCGCCUGGGGCAGCCUGUAGGCAACACCAUGCCACAGGAUGGCCGGGUCCAGCCCGACGGGGUCGCCGGCAUCGUCUGGUGCAGACGAGGCGGGCGCAACCGAGGCCUGCGAGUGCCGAAGGUCUGAGGUAGACGGGGCAGGCGCGGGAAGUAUAUCCUGUAUCAAAAAAUCAAGAGAAUCCGGUUGGGGCUUGGAAGCCGCAAACGGAAAGUGAGUCUCAUCAAAAACAACGUGGCGAGAGAUGAUGAUCUUGCGAGUAGAAAGAUCAAGACACCGGUAGCCCUUCUGGGAAGGAGGGUAACCGAGGAAAACACACGCUGCUGAGCGAGGGGAUAGUUUAUGGGAAGUCGUGGAACUAAGGUUCGGAUAGCACAGGCAACCGAAAACGCGAAGGAUGGAGUAAUCAGGCAUUUUGCGGUGAAGGAGAUGAUAGGGAAUACCAUUAUGUAUGGAUGAUGACGGCCGCCGGUUGAUUAGAAACACAGCGGUGGAAAGGGCUUCGACCCAGUAGGAUGGAGGCAUGGCGGCAUGAAACAGAAGCGUGCGAACAGCAUUGUUCAGUGUGCGAAGCAUUCGCUCAGCUUUGCCGUUUUGGGCGGAUGUGUAGGGGCACGAGGUGCGUAGCAGGAUGCCGCGGCUAGCUAGGAAGGUAGCGGUGGCGUUGUUGAUGAACUCGGUGCCAUUAUCUGCCUGAAAACAGCGCACAGGAAAACUGAACUGUGUAUGAGCGUAAGCAACAAACUGGACAAGAUGGUCAUGAACUUCUGAUUUAUGGCGAAGAGGAAAGAUCCAACAAUAAUGUGUAUAAUCAUCAACUAUGACAAGAUAAAAUUUAUAGCCAGAAAUACUCAAAAUUGGAGAGGUCCAGACAUCGCAGUGAACAAGUUCAAAGGGAGCUGAUGUACUAGAAACCGAACUAGCGAAUGGCAGCCUAGCGUGCUUGCCAAGCUGGCAGGCAUGACAAAUGUGGCGAGCUGCUUUAUUACACUGGAUAGCUGAGAGCUUAGUAAGAGUGUUGACGACGGCAGGUGAAGGAUGACCAAGGCGGGAGUGCCAUAACUCCGGGGAGACGAUGGCGACAUGGCAGCGAGGUGGCAUGUGAUGUGGAAUGGUGUAGAGAUCCCCAUUGCUAUUGCACCGAAGAAGGACCGUCUUGGUCUGCAGAUCCUUAACAGAAAAACCAUAGGCGUCAAACUCAAUGGAACAGUUAUUAUCGCGAGUAAGCUGUCGAACAGAUAACAGAUUAUGAGCGAGUUGGGGAGCGACAAGAACAUUAUCAAGACGAAAAGGACGAUCAGCUAUGUGAAGAACAGAAGUGCCACGACAAUGAAUAGGAAUUGAUUGACCGUUGCCGACCGUAAUGGAGGACGGUGGCGACGGGAGAUGGGAAAGUAAAAUACCGUCAUUGGAGGACAUGUGAGAUGUCGCUCCGCUGUCCAUGACCCAGGGUGCAGACCCGCCCUGGAUCGCCAUCUGGUUGAGGGCGGCAAUCAAGCUUGCCGAGUCCCAGUUGCCCGGAGGCCCGUACGCCGGAGGACCGCCGGCAGCGGAGAACUGCGGAGGCGCGAAGGCGGUGUGUGCCUGUGGAGGAGGCGCAGGUGGCGCACCCCACUGCUGCUGCGGCUGGGGAGGCCACGGAGCAGCCCAAGGGUUGUAGCAAACCCAGGGGCCGGCCGGCUGACGCCUGCCGAAACUGCCGCCUUGCUGCUGGUUGCGGCCACCGCCGCCAUGGCCACCUUGCUGCUGGUGGCGCCCACCGCCGCUGCUGCCACCGCCGCCGUUGCCACCACGGCCGCCCUUGCCCUUGCCACCCCUGCCCUUGCCACCGCCCCCACGAUUGGUGGACGCAGAAGGGGUGGACGGGUAGGAUGGCGACGUGCAGGAGGAGGUGGUGGAGGCGGCCAGAGCGGAAGCCGAGGCCUUCUUGGCCUCGGUGCCAAGGCGGAGCUCCUUGACGCGGAGCAUGUUGGUGGCAGACUUGAAGUCGGGAAGCGGCGACGUGUUGGAGAUGAUGUCGGCAGUGUUGGCGAAGCGGGAGUUGAGGCCACGCAGGAGAUUGAGCACGAGCUGCGCGGGGGAGAUGGUGUGACCAACCUCCCGGAGGGCAUCAGCGGUGCGCUUCAUCUGCUGGGCGUAAGCAUCGACGGAGAGGUCGCCCUGGGACAGGUUGUGGAACUCCUGCUCGAGGACGACGGCGCGGGACUCCUUGUUCGCCUGGAACAAGUUCUCGAUGGAGACCCACAGAGCGCGUGCAUCCUGUUCAGGCUCCAUGGCGAGGUCAAGGACGGUGUCGUCGACGGAGCCGUACAUCCAGCCGCGGAUGCAGGCGUCGGGCUGAGACCACAGGGGGUCAGUCGGACGCGCGGCCACCGUGCCAUCGAUGUGGCCGAGCAGCCCGUACUUGCCGCAGAGAGCGGUGAAGAACGCCUGCCACUUGGAGAAGUUCGGGCGCUCGAGGCUGAGCGCGUUGGGGACGUGCUGCUUCACGUUGACAGAGGCGUAGGCGGCGAAGAGAGGAGCAGCGACGGAAUCCCCAUUGGCGCCGGACGACGGGUGGCUGAUGGCGCCGGUCGUGGAGGAGGAACUCGACGACGACGUCAUGGGCGCGACUGGAAGAGGCGCGACGGCCCCGGGCGGCAAUCCGCGCGAAGGCAGAGGCCUUGACUGAGCGGCGCGUCGGAGCUGGAGCCCGGGCUGGCGGCGGCGCGAAGGCGCACGCGGCCGAUGGUGCGGCGGUGCGGGCGGAAGGUGGAGAUCGUAAUUAGGGCAGAUACCAUGUAGAGAAAUACCGCACACCCUAACCAGGGGGGGUGGCCUUCAUUAUAUAGCCUAAUAGGCUAGGGUUACAGUAUACAAGGCCUAUGGGCCGUACGCCCAAUAUGGGCUGUUACAAUACAUUCUAACAUCUUCCAACUAACAGCACCACCAUUUAGCGUGAACACAAAUCCUGAUUGUGACUUUGAAUCAUCUCUGUCGGUUUGGAAACUAGCAUCGGUGUAACCUGUUACAACGAGCUCCUCCUGACCUCCAUAGACGAGGAACAUAUCUUUAGUCCUUCUCAAGUACUUAAGAAUGUUUUUCACCGCUGUCCAGUGACUCUCACCUGGAUCAGAUUGGUGUCUGCUUGUCAUACUUAGCGCAUAUGAAACAUCUGGGCGAGUACUUAUCAUUGCAUACAUGAUAGAUCCAAUAGCCGAGGCAUAUGGCACUCUACUCAUGCGAUCCCGCUCAUCAGCAGUUGAAGGACACUGAGUCUUGCUGAGAUGUAUGCCAUGUGACAUAGGCAAGAACCCUUUCUUUGCCUCUUCCAUGCUGAACCGCUUCAACACUUUGUCAAUAUAAGUAUCUUGGCUCAAACCUAUAAGCCUUCUCGAUCUAUCUCUAUAGAUCUUAAUGCCCAGAAUAUAUGCCGCUUCCCCUAAGUCCUUCAUCGAAAAACUAUUUUUCAGUGAAGUCUUUACGGACUCAAGCAUAGGAAUGUUAUUUCCAAUCAGUAAUAUGUCAUCCACAUAUAAGAUUAGAAAUACUACAGAGCUCCCACUAACCUUCUUGUAAACACAAGACUCUUCUUCGUUCUUGGUGAAGUCAAACCCUUUGACCACUUCAUCAAAACGAAUGUUCCAACUCCUAGAUGCUUGCUUCAAUCCAUAAAUGGAUCUCUGAAGCUUGCAUACCUUUCCAGCAUUUUUCGGAUCGACAAAACCCUCGGGCUGUAUCAUAUACACGUCCUCAGCUAGGUUUCCAUUCAGGAAAGCUGUCUUGACAUCCAUCUGCCAUAUCUCAUAAUCGAAAUAUGCAGCUAUAGCUAGAAUAAUCCGAAUGGACUUAAGCAUCACUACGGGCGAGAAGGUCUCGUCGUAGUCAACUCCUUGAACUUGUCGAAAACCUUUUGCGACAAGUCGUGCUUUAUAGAUGUGAACAUUUCCAUCCAUGUCCUUUUUCUUCUUAUAGAUCCACUUGCACUCUAUGGCUUUAACACCAUCAGGCGGGUCAACCAAGUUCCAAACUUGAUUGUCUCCCAUGGACUCUAUUUCGGAUUGCAUGGCAUUCUGCCAUUUUUCGGAGUCUGGGUCCAUCAUUGCUUCUGCAUAUGUCGCAGGCUCAUCAUUGUCCAACAAUAAUAUUUCCCGCAUUUCGCGGAGCCUUGCCGACCUUCGUGGUUGUGGCGGUGCUUCUCUUGCCAUGGGUAUCUCAACUUGUUCUGCUACGUUAGCAUCACUCAUUGAUUCUUGCCCGAUUGGCUCAUCUCGAACUUCUUCAAGAUGCAUUGUCUUUCCACUCUUUUCUCCUUUGAGAAACUCUUUCUCUAGGAAAACCCCGUUCCGAGCGACAAACACUUUGCCUUCUGAUCGGUUGUAGAAAUAAUAUCCCAAAGUUUCCUUUGGAUAUCCCACGAAAAUGCACUUAUCCGACUUGGGUGUGAUCUUGUCCGACUGAAGUCGCUUGACAAACACUUCACAUCCCCAAAUCUUUAGAAAAGACAGACUAGGAACCUUUCCAGUCCAUAUCUCAUAUGGUGUCUUAACUACGGAUUUAGAUGGUACCCUAUUUAGUGUGAAAGCUGCUGUUUCUAGAGCGUAUCCCCAAAAUGACAACGGUAGGUCCGACUGGCUCAUCAUUGAUCGAACCAUGUCUAACAAAGUUCGAUUACGUCGCUCGGACACACCAUUUCUCUGAGGUGUUCCAGGCGGCGUAAGUUGUGGAACAAUUCCGCAACUCUUUAGAUGAUUGCUAAACUCGUGGCUCAAAUACUCGCCUCCACGAUCAGAUCGUAAGGCCUUAAUUUUCUUGCCACGCUGAUUUUCAACUUCAUUCUGAAAUUCCUUGAACUUUUCAAAGGUUUCAGACUUGUGCCUCAUCAAGUAGACAGAGCCAUAUCUACUAAAAUCAUCAGUGAAAGUUAUGAAGUAUUGGAAUCCUCCUCUAGCCGUCGUGCUCAUUGGUCCGCAUACAUCACUAUGUACGAGUUCCAACAAGUCUACUGCUCUCUCAGGAAAUCCUGUGAAAGGCGUCUUGGUCAUCUUGCCUAGCAAGCAAGCCUCGCAUGUCUCGUAUGAUUCAAAAUCAAACGAAGUUAGAAGUCCAUCAGAAUGGAGCUUCUUCAUGCGCUUUUCACUUAUAUGACCCAAACGACAAUGCCACAAGUAGGUAGGACUCAAAUCAUUAGGCCGAGGCCUUUUAGCACUUACAUUACAGACAGGUGAACCAUCAAGAUUUAAAACAAACAAUCCAUUCACAAUGGGUGCAAAAGCCAUAAACAUAUUAUUCUUAGAGAUCACACAACCAUUGUUUUCACUCGCAAAUGAAUAACCAUCCUUCAUCAAGCAUGAAGGAGACAAAAUGUUUCGACUUAAACUAGGAACAAAAUAACAAUUAUUCAACUCCAUAAUAAAUCCUGACGGGAGGUGGAGUUGCAUCGUCCCGACGGUCAAAGCAGCAACUCUUGCAUUAUUGCCCACGCGGAAAUCAACUUCUCCUCUUUCCACGCUUCUACUUCUUAUCAUUCCCUGCAUCGAAUUGCAAAUAUGAGCAACCGAUCCGGUAUCAAAUACCCAAGAAUUAAUAACUGUAUCAGCGAGAAAUAUGUUGUCUAUAACAUAAACAACAAGCGUACCUGAGGUAGAAGUACUCUUACUUCCGCCGUUCUUCAAGGAAGCUAGGUACUGCUUGCAGUUUCUCUUCCAGUGACCAAGUUCAUGACAGUAAAAGCACUCUUUGUCUGGAGCAGGUCCAGGUCCAGCUUUAACCUUGGGCGGUGGGUUUGGCUUGGACGUUCCAGCCUUGCCCUUCUUCUUCCAAGAAUUGCCCUUCUUCUUAAAGCUGGGCUUGUUCUGUAUCGCCAUCACAUGGCUGGUACUAGCGCUUUUCUUUAUGUCAGCCUCUGCUGUUUUAAGCAUGCCACACAGCUCAUUCAGACCCUUCUCCGUCCCAUGCAUAUGGUAGUUCGAGAUGAAGUUCCCAUAGCUAGGAGGAAGAGACGAAAGAAUGAAAUCAGUGGCCAACUCUUGGCCCAGUGGGAAGCCUAGCUUCUCCAACCGUUGAGUGUAACCAACCAUCUUGAUUACGUGUGGUCCUACUGCUGCGCCUUCUGCUAACUUGCUCUCAACAAAGGCCUUAGACACAUUGAACCUUUCAGUCCUGGCCUGUGUUUGGAACAUGUCUCUAAGCGCCACGAUCAUAUCGUGCGCCUCAUGGUUUGUUUCGAACUGCAUCUGCAGCUCGGGUUCCAUGCAAGCAAGCAUAAGGCAGCUUACUUCGAGGUUAGCAUCACAUGCUUUCUUGUAAGCAUUCUUAGCAGCAGCGGGUGCAUCCUCAGCAGGUUCUUCUGGUAGUGGGUUGUCUAGAACAUCUUCCUUUUUCUCAGCCCUGAGAACAAUUCUCAGGUUGCGGAUCCAAUCCGAGUAGUUUGUUCCAUUCAACUUGUCCUUCUCAAGGACCGAACGCAAAGCAAACGAUGUGGUGGUGUUGCUAGGUGCCAUUUAAUCUACAACAAAAGUAAUGCAAAAUACACUAAGACAAACGUAUCCAUGAUAGAGCAAAUUACAUUAAACUAUUUUAACAGAAUCUACUCCCACUAAAAUCAAUAUCCCUCUAUUGAAACUUAGUGAUUCAGGAUCCACAACAACAAGUCCACUAGUGAGCUUUAGCAUCACCGCUAGCAAACGAGGUAGAUCGGUAAGCAACUUUUGCUAAUCAUAUCAACAUAUGACUCCUGUUGUUGGGUGACAUCUCUAUGUCUCGGCGCCCAACCUUUAUGCCCCAAGGUCCUUAACCGUUAAGAUGACCUCGUUAAGCAAACCAACCCUUAUGCGUGUAAGUGUCCGACACAAACCCGUCUAGUCAAGGAAAACUAGUGGUACCCUAAUUUCAUAGACCCACCACUAAUUGUACAAGACAUGGGACGGUGCAAGUUUUAGUUGGGAGGGCAUACUAACUUAAAAUUUGCGAGGGAUCGUUCUACUUCUAACAUCACAGCAUGCAGAAAGUAAAACAUAAACAGAAUAGCAUUCACACAGUUGUGACACAGUAUGGCCCGUUUUCAUAUGGUGAUCUCCAUCUCCAUAGAACCUGUUCACCAUGGUGAUCUCCAUCUCCAUGUUCCAUGUGCGCCAUCCUCCUGGUGAUGAGUCCUCCAAGAACUAGAGCAUGCUAUUACGCCUAAUAGCUAGUAAAGAAUCUAGUAAUGAAGAUUACAUAGUUGCUUGGAUCAUCACAGAUUGGUACGCAGACCAUUAAAUACAAUAAAGUGACAACACAUAUGGCUCCUGCCGUGUUGCCGUACGCGCGACACGCAGGUCACGAAUGAGUUACACACAUGCAUCACAUACACAAGGGGGCCAUACUGAUCACAAGAUACAUGCAUACAUCCUGCAAAACAAAGUUAGGCAUCCUAACGUUCCAAACUUCGGAGGCCCGAAGCUCCAUCUUCCAAGCCGAAUUUGGCAAAUCUAAUUUCGCCGAAAACGGCAAAGCGGUUGAAUUUCAUGUGUAACUUUUUCUGUAGAUCAAUUUUCGUAUAAAAAUCGCCCCGAUCCGAGAUCGUACCGAAAAGUUACGGCUGAUUUACCGAAGCAUGCGCAUACGGCAAAAUCCCGACCCCGGCAGUAGAUCCCAUCUACUAUUGCACAUCUAAUGCGCCUGGCGUAUGACCCUGGAUUUCGAUUUGACCAAUCAUAUUGAUCUUCCCUCACUGCAACUGGAUUUACGUGUAUCACUUAACUCCGAUGGCGGAAACCGACCGGUAGGAGUAUGUCGUUACACUACCAUUGCAGCAAGGGCACGAAAUCAGGACAUAGAUCAAACAGAGAACUCGCAUAUCUCCAUAUGCACACAUCCCGAAUCCAAAACUAAGCAGCUACGGCUCUUGAUACCACUGUUGGGAUACGAGGUAGGCUACGCUAGCGCAAAUCAAAAUUUCUACUGCGUAUAACCAGGAAGAACUGCCGUAUAAGGAUCACGGGAUUACCACUCGACGCACUACUGGUGCGGAAGAUGUAGAUAUGCGUCGGUGUAGUGAAGACGAUCACGUAGUCGUACGUAGUCGAUCAACAUAGUCGUACGUAGUCGAUCACGUCCAGCAGCUCCUCAGCAGCUCGUCCACGUGCACAGCGAGAUCGCCUCCGGUACCGCGGCUCGUCGUCGGCUCGUCGUGGCUCGUCGGCGGCUCGUCGAUGGCUCGUCCAAGUGCUGCAGGCGCAACACCUCCAAGGUAUCCACACGUGCAGGGAGGAAGCGUCGCAAGCCGGAUUGCUAGAUCCGCGAGUUGCAACAGGCGAGGGCAUGGGAGGCGCGGCAGGUGUGUUUCGCCAAAAGGUGUAAACCCUAGGGCGCCCCCACCCCUCUAUUUAUAGGGGUUCCUGACGGGCCUCUGGAUCCGAGGCCCAUUAGUACUCCUAAACCUAAUCCAACUCGGAUCAGAUCCGAAUUGGGCUUCCAGCCCCUUAAGUGUGUGACCCUAUGGGUUCGGAUACGUAUAGACAUGGCCCGAGUACUCCUACUCGGCCCAAUAGUCGGUAGCGGCCUCUAGCAAGACGUGCCAACUCCUAUACGCAUACGAAGAUCAUAUCAGACGAACCAUCACAACAUGAUAUACAUGCUAUUCCCUUUGCCUCACGAUAUUUGGUCUAGCUUCAAGCCGACCACUCUUUCUCGAUCCUGUGAUUCGGAAUCCCUUUGUAGGUUAACUCUUAACCGUACGUAGCAUGGCCAUGCAUUUUCGGAUCCGAUCACUCGAGGGGCCCAGAGAUAUCACUCUCAAUCAGAGAGGGGCAAAUCCCAUCUUGAUUGACCAUGUCUCAUAGCAUGCUUCUUGACAAACCCGAAAGCUACCUUUAUAACUACCCUGUUACGGCGUAGCGUUUGAUAGCCCCUAAGUAGGUCGAUCCACAUCUAGAAUACAUGCGACAAUCUCAGGUCUAAGGACAAAGCGUAUAUGUUGUUUAAAGAGAGAACUACUUCUCACGUUGGGUCAGUCCUAACACAUGUCUCCACAUGUGUCCACAUUAUUAGUUCAACAUCUCCAUGUCCAUGACUUGUGAAACAUAGUCAUCAACUAAUACAUGUGCUAGUCUAAUAUUCAUGUGUGUCCUCACAUGAACUCCGACUAGGGACAACUUUAGAAUAACCAUACAAGUAAAGAGUUUCACAUACAAUUCACAUAAUUGCAAAUCAAUUCAAGUAGCCUUUAAUGGAUAUUCAAUGAACACAAUAUACAAAUCAUGGAUACAAAUGGAAUAUCAUCAUCUCUAUGAUUGCCUCUAGGGCAUACCUCCAACAAUAUCGUGACCUACCUUCUAGUCCACCUUGUUGAAGAGAUUUUUAUCCUCGGUCUUGUAUUUCUACAUAAUAUGUUCCCUUUCGAGAGGUUUAUGGCAAUUCUGAAGAAGUAUGUUCGUAACCAUGCCCAUCUAGAAGGAAGCAUUGCAAAGGGAUAUGGAAUCGGAGGAGGUCAUUGAGUUUUGUGUUGACUUUAUGGAUGACCUGAGUUCAAUUGGAGUCUCUGUAUCACGCUAUGAGGGGAGAUUGAAGGGAAAGGGCACACUAGGGAGGAAAGCUCGGAUGGACAUCGAUAAGGAUACAUUUCGUAAAGCACACUUCACGGUUCUGUAGCAAUCUUCCCUGGUUGUUCCAUAUAUGGAGGAGCACAGGGCUAAUGUACGGUCCUCAAACCAAGGGAAGACUAAGGUCUGGAUUACACGUCAUCACAUUGACACUUUCGCCUCUUGGUUGCAGUGACGACUGAUGGGUGAUGACACGAUUGAAGAACAACUAGCUGGUUGGCUAGGGGUCCAUCUAUCUCAGUAGUGACAUUCCAAGGAUACAAGAUAAAUGGGUACACAUUUUACACCAGAUCCCAAGACCAAAAGAGCACAAACCAAAAUAGUGGUGUCCGUAUCGAUGCAAUAGACAAUAACGGAAAAAAGAACAGAUACUAUGGUGUCAUUGAGGAGAUAUGGGAACUCGACUAUGGACCUUUGAAAAUCCCUCUGUUUCAGUGCCAAUGGGUGAAACUUAUUGAAGGAGGCAUAACGACAAACAACUAUGGGAUGACAAUAGUGGACCUCAAUAAGAUUGGAUAUAGAGACGAACCAUUCGUCCUAGCCAAUGACGUGACUCAAGUUUUCUACGUGAAGGACAUGGCAAGCAAACCAAUAAGGAAGGGUGCUAAUAAGUCAGAUGAUCAGCCAAAGUGCCGCAUAGUUCUUCCAGGGAAAAGAAAAAUCGUUAGAGUUAAGGACAAGACUAACAUUUUAGAAGAUUAUGAUCAGUUCGAUGAUUUUCCUCCAUUUCAGUCGAGGUUGACCCAAGCAUCCUGUUAGCCAAAGAGGACGCUCCAUACUUACGUCGCGAUCAUAACCAAAGGACGUUCGUCAAGAGGAGGGUUAUUAACGUUCCAUUAGAUGAUGUUGCGUAAUGUAUUUGAACAAUUAUGUUGUAUUUUUGGUUAUCAACAAAGGAAUUAAUGUAAUGGUGCUGGUUACCAUUAGGUUUCUCAACCUUUUCAGUUUCAACAUUCAUCUUUUUUAUGGUGAUCGACCAUAGUUUCAUCUGAUGCUCCAUUCUUGUCUCUCUUUGUUUCACUAUUUUUGGGUACUUUGGUCAAUGGAGUAAAGGGAGAUGAAACUUUUAAAGUGCUUCCUGUAAUUCCUCUUGCUUGUUCUCCUUUGGUCAAUGUUUAGAUAAUGCUUUCAUUUGUUUCACUUUAGUUGUUUGGACAAGUUGCUGAAUCUUACACUUCGCACCCGCCAGCAAUGUCAUUAUUAAACAAGAACUGAUUUUGCAUAAAAUCUCACCAUAUUAAACAAUAAUAGAUUUUUGCAUGGUUAAAAUAUUAAAUAUUUUGAUUUUUUAAGCACCAUUAAAUAUUAAAUAAUAAAUUUACAAACAAUUAAACAAGAACAUGAUUAAGUCAUGGUAAACAUGUUAAGAACACAAGAGGCACUAUUCUUCUAAAUUUUUGCAUAGUCAAAAAUCUAUUUUUUCGAAUUUUAAAGUUAAUAUAAGUAAUAUGAACACUAUAACCAAGUUAAAAUUAAUAACUUUACCAUGUUUGAUAUUUGACCGCAUCUGACAUUUUUAUAGUGUAUAUCUAAUAAACCUGAAGCUACCAAAUUAUUUUUACAAAUUUUAUGAAUGUUAUUUGAUUUACUACACAAUAAAUUAAUACAAUAGCAAUUGUGAAAGAAAGAAAAAUAAAAAGAUGGGCGGGAAAUUGAAACGGGGUAUGCAACCCGGGCACAUUUUCAUUUCGCGCGUGGGGAGCGCCUAUAGUACAGGUGUUAAACAACAACCGGUACUAGAUCCCCCCUCUAGUACCACUUGUUCCUAACACCCAGUACUAAAGGGUCUCUAGUACUGGGUGUCAUUUUGCACCGGUAUUAGAGGUGAGAGAGGGGUUAAAGGUCGCGUGCAGCACCCUCCCUCAACACUUAGCCAAAUUUUGCGUUUUCCCAUCGUCUUCCUCCUUCCGCGCCCUUGUCGCCCCACGCCGCCCCCUCGUCGCCCGACGCCGCCGUCGGCCGCGCCGCCUCCUACCGCCACCGCUCGCCGGCCCCCUCGUCGCCGCCCCCUUGCCCGGUCCGCCGCCGCCCCCUCGUCGGCACCCCCUCGCCCGAUUCCCCCCACCCCCUCCCCGACGCUACCGUCGCUGCGCCCAUCCGCCGCCUCCGUCGCAGCCCCCAUUUGCGACCACCGCUGCCGCGCCCAGCUUGACACCGCCCCUGACGCCAGUCGCCCCCGUCACCUCCAUCGCUGCCCCCGUACCAUCGCCACCUCCGUCGCCACCUCCAUCCGCUGUAUCCGUCCGUGACUGCGACUACCGUCACCGCCCCCAUCCGCGUCCGCGACCGCCGCUGCCCCUAUCCGCGUCCGCGACCGCCGUUGCCUGUCCGCGUCGGCCCCGUCGGCCGACCCCGUCCGCGUCCACCGUGACCGCCGCCGCACGUCCGCCCCCAUCCGCGACCGCCGCCGCCGCUCGAGCGUCGGCCCCCGUCUGCCCCCACGUGUGCCCCUGACUCGCGGCGGCCACGGGCUCGUCAUCGCGCUGACAUAAGCCCGCGGCCGCCGUGGCAUCAUUAAUUUUUUUAUCUAAAAUUGUAGAAAAAUUUAGAAAAUAGCUAGAAAAUUAUCUAUAAUUAUAGAGAAAUUGUAGAAAAAUUUGUAUAAGUGUUGGAAAUCAUGCUAUUUUUUUAUUUCUGCAGUACUAGAAAAUAGCUAGAAAAUAUAGAAAAUUGUUGGUGUAGCUAGAAAUCAUAGAAAAUACGUGAAAAUUAUAGAUUUGAGGUUAUAGAGUACGGUGUUUGGAUGGAAUGAGCGACAACAUGUUUCAAUAAUGUUAUUGCAUCAAUAACUCUAAUUUUCGUGUGCCACUAGUAUUUUCUAGCUAGAUAUGAUUGCCCUUUUGCAUAGAAAUAAGUUGUAUCCAUCCGAGUUCAAAUAAAAAACUAUAAAUCUCCAAACACUUAGAUUUUAUUCCUAGUAUUCCUAAAUCAAUUAGAUUUCACCAAGGGAGACGAGAAAUCUUAUUCCUAGUAUUUCUUGUCUAGCAAAUGAAUUAGAAUUGAUUUCUCCCGUGAAUUGAAAUACUUAGAAAUUACCGAGAAAUGUUAUGAUGUUGUCAUUUAUUGUAACAAAAUUCAUCAAAUAGUUCAAUCAAUUAUAGAAAUGUGCAAAUCACUGUAAGUAUUUUUGUACUCAAUUAUUGUAUAAGUGUUUCAUUCUAUUUUUGUUGUCAUUUUCUAGCAGUGUUUCAUUCUAUUUUUGUUGUCAAUUCUUUUUUAUUCGUGCAGUAUAUGAAUUACCUAGAAAUUGUUGGAAAAGCUUAUUAAUUGUAAAUUGUAUAACAUGCCAUGUUACAUGUAUGUCAUUCUUAUUAUAAGUGUUGAAUUAUUUUUAUUUAUUUUUACAAAUUGUUAUUUAUUUAGUUAUUUAUUUAUUGUUACAAAUUGUCAUUUAUUUAGCCAUGUUACAUACUAGAAAAACUUUUUUUAGUCAUUUAUUUACUGUUACAAAUUGUAUAAGUGUUUAAUUCGUUUUGUAGUUGUCCUUUUAUAUUAUACUAGUUACAAUGGCAUGAUCAGAGGACGAGCAUGAUGUACAAAUGGCGGAGGAGCUCAUAUUUCAGUUGAUUGCUGAAGGCGGCAAUCAACCAAAUGAAGAGAUCGAUUAUAGCCAGGCUGACGUCUACCUCAACAUGGCUGGUGAUGGCAACGAGGAGCAAACAAUUGUCGAGGGAGACAAUGAGGAGCAACCAGUUGCUGAGGGAGGCAAUGUUGGGCAACAAGGUGAGGUAUAGCAAUCAUUAUACGUAAACAUUAUUUGAAUUCUCUUCUUAUCAAAAGAAAUAUCAUCAGGCAACAUUCCAAUCAUGCGACAUUUCAAUUGUCAUUUUUCAGCCAUUUGGAUCGAGCAGCAGGAGUCAAAAGAAAUGAGGCAAGAACAAGAAGUUAGAGGGCUGUAUCAUCAUCACAGAAAUUGCUGAAGAUGGUGAACUGAUUGCUCCUGCCAAUGCUAAGACAAGGUUGGUGAAUCGGACUGGGUUCCUUAUCAGAGAUAACAUCCCAAUCAGCUUUCAGAAUUCGAAAAAACCUGACAACAUCCCGAUCGCCACAAACCCGGUCCUUUACGUACCUAACCUAGAGAAGGCUAUGUUAUGGCAACAAGUAAAAGAAAACUUCACGUUCAAAGAUGUAGACGAAGACAAAUUAAAAGAAUGGGGCUUAAAUAAGGCUGCAAUUGCAUUUCAGACGUACAAAUAACUUGAACAAAGCGUACAUAAAGAAGGGGCUUACACCUGAUUUCAAUAAGCACCCAAAGUUAAGGGAUCCUGUACAGUUCAAAAAGUCGGACAAGAGCCAGUUGUCAACUCAAACCAACAUCGACAAUGCCUAGAAGAAGCAAUAUUUCCAUCGUCUUGGGACAGGAGGUUACAAGUCGGGGGUCAUGAAAUGGAAAAGGAUGGAAGAUGACCUAAUUUCUAGGGGAAUAGUACCAUAUUGUAAUGACCUUGGUUAAUCAGCCGAGUUAAUCUUAAACCAACUCCCUAAUCCAGCUGACUCAGCUUUCCUGAGCUUAAGCGUCUAAGGUCCCAUUCUCAGCCCCGACCCCUGAAGACCCAACCGAAACCGCCCAUCCUCUCUUAGUCCUAAAGAUAGUGUCUUUCAAAAUCCUGGAGCUGAAAGAGAACCCGAGACUGACUGGUGGACUCACAAUCAGUUUCCCCGGUUCUCUCAAGACAAGCGCGCCAGAGCAGCAUGCGCCCCGCUUCAGAGCUCCCCCGUCACGUGGCUCGAUCCCUCUGACGCGCGCCGCCUCGCCCAGUCACCGGCCGUGACAGGAUGGAUCAUCGCGCCUUCCUCCCCAUUUGCAGCGCAAGCCCUGCAACCCUUCUGCCUUGCCUCGUCUCGCUCGCAUCCUCGCCGACUGCGCCAAGGCACCCCGUCGCUGCCAGAGUUUUUGCCGCUGCUGCGUCAGACCGCCUCGCACCCCACACCCAUCAUCUCGCCCGGAUCCUCGGCUGCAAGCCCUGAUGCCUUCUGGUUUUUCCGCCUCUCCACAGUCACACUGCCCACGAGCUCGCUCCACGACGAUACCGCCCCCGCCAACCAUGGCUCCGGCAGAGACAGCUCCUUUUUCCGCCUCGCUAGUGAUGUGCCCCGGCAAGCCGCUGUUUUGCGCUCGCUCGCAACGCCGCUCGCCCUAUCACAUCACCUGCUGCGACCUCGCUUCUCGCGUCUUCCUUCCUAUCAUGCCAGUCAAGUCGCUGCCACAAUCCGCCGCUUGACGCGACCAGACCCUACUCGCCUUCGCCAAAUCUAAAUCCCGGCAAAACCGCGCUUGCGCCGGCCUUGUCUCCAGUGCCCAAUGACCAAAGACCCUGUCUCCGAAGCUCUGUUCCACUGCCCAUCGCCGCUCAAUCACUGCCAGGGCAGCGCACUCCAUCCUUUUCUUCCCGAUCCUUGUGCUGCUCAAACUCUCUCUUCCACGCAGCUAUAAAGAGGAGCACCAGAGCCCCCACCGGAGUUUCCUCUGCCAUCGCUGUUUCACCACCCCAUACUCUACUCGCACUUGAGCACCGCCGCUUGAGGUCUUGAGGAGUUCCCCUCUCCGCUCAAACCCGCUUCUCCCCAACCCACCAGCCGCCUGCUCCUCCGCGCCGUGCUAGAGCUUUUUGUUGUCCACAAGAAGCACCGCCACCGUCGGAGCAUCGUUGAACCUCGCCGCCACCCAAGCCUUAGUGCUUUAGUUUUUCCGCCCAAGUCUGUUCCUUCCCGACCCCAAACCUUCACCAGUAGACCUGAAGGUAAGCUGCCGACCUCUUCCCGAUUCGCCCGACCCCUUUUCCGUCUCGCCCGACCCUGUCUGUUUCGCCAACCCUUAUCCACCUCACCCGAGGGCUCGGCUGUAUCUUUUCUUUGACCUGAGGGUAUCUGCGUAAAAUUUCGGGGCCUUCUCUGUGUUAAGUCUGAGGACCCCGGUACAGUUAUUUCUUAAGUUUAAGGGUCAGAUCAUAAGUUUAUCCCCAUCCGACCCUUUUAUCCUAUUCUCCCCCAACUAAAGUUGAACUCCCCCACUUUUCCUGUAGCUUUGCUACAAGUGUCUGAGCUAAAGCUUGCAAGUGUUGUUGAAAUAACCGUUUAAGUGCUAACUCCUGCAUUGCAUUCAUGUAGAGCUACAUCUCACCGACGGCACCUAUGAGCUACAUCCGGCGCCUGAGGACGGAGCAGUAGCUGAGUUGCCGAUUGCAGAAGCCGAAGCAGAACCCGCUGAGGACCAGUUCACCUCCACCCCGCUUGAAGGCAAGCCCCGGAGCAUGAACCCAACUUUCUAAACUUGCACAUGCCUUCCUUUUUAUGAAUGUGCAUUUACGCUAUAGGAGUUGUUUGAAACCAUAGAUACAUGACUUAGUUCCUUUGAUCCAAACACUAGUCUGUUGGGUCGAGUAGUUACAAUGCUUAAUAGGACUCGGUAAAAGUCGAGUGAUUUCCUGUCACUCGCGAGUUAUAGGAGCUGGUUUUUUCUCUUCUGUUUACAACUAUAAGGACGAUGGAUGGGGUAGGGUUUUGGUGAACUCUUUUGGUGGUCGGCUGAUCGCCUUGUCUGUUUAUUGAAUCUGUUAAGGCCUGACAGUGGUGGUGUUCGUGAUCAAGUGUUUGAAAGUACUAAUCUCAUACCCAUUAUGGUAUGGGGAAGCCUAGUACCUGAUUGAACCUGGACGUGAGCGGUCGAUCCACUGUCUUUGGAACGGAGUUCCCCUGCGGCCGCAUGUGGUAGCAAGUGUGGUCACGGAACGGCAGAGGCCGGGUCUAUGGAACCUUGCACCAAGGGAAGUGGGCCCGACACGGGUUAGGGAAUUGAUGGGGACGGCCGACACAGGAAGCGACCCUCGGUGGUGCGCGGAUGUCGUGAGGUUAGGUUCGCCAUGCAUGGUUAAAGAACUCGAAUCGAUUCGUCUGCCUCUCACAGUUUGAGACUGCUUGAUCGCUAUGCUACACUGAGUAAAGAAGGAGUCUGAUGAUGACAUGGUCUUACUGUUGAGCUUAUAUACAUAAUGUUGGAUCUAUGCUUGCUUAGUGUAAGUUGCCAAUGUAGAUUGGUUAAUGAACUUAGAAUCUGAGCUAAAACAUUGAAAGUAAGGACAUAACAUAGUUGCUUUUGGCAAACAAAACCCCUCAGCCAAAGAGCCUUGCAUGUCUAGAAGUGGUGGAGUAAUUUCUCCCACCGGUUGGUUAAGUCUUGUUGAGCUUAGAAGCUUAGCCUUGUUUGUGGCAUCUCUUUUCAGGUGAAGUUGAAACUUCCGAGAUUGCUGCUGUUGGCACUUGGCCGCCCCAGCUUCCUCCUGGGUGGACGGUCGAGUGGGAUCCUUCCUCGGACGGUGGGGAAUGGGAUCGUUGAUGCCCUGCUUGGCCUCACCAGGAACAUCCGACCCUGACGCUAGCUUGCGCUAUGUUUUUGCCUUCUGUUGUUUCUUUCGAACCUUAUAAAACUCUGAUUUCAAACAGUGUGUAAUGAAUUAUUAAACUAAUUAUGGAUCUGUUGUAUUCUCUGGAACCACUUACCUUCGCGUGAGCUUUGCUAACUUGGUCCUGUUAUGAGGUUAAAUCGGAUGAAAUCCGAUGGAUCGUCGAGUUAACUUGAUUAAGGCAUGGGAUUUGCGUGUUAAGCGACUUAACCGUGCUUUAGUUGAGUUGAUCUGAAGUGUUCCGCCACAGCUAGUACCAGAGCUGGUUUAGUAGGACAGAGAAAGCAAUGGGUCCUAAAACAUGUUCUUUUUGAAUAAAAUUUGCAAGAAAAAUGUUGAAAAAUCUUGUAUGAUCGUUAAGGAUGGCUUUAGUACGAGAGGCCCUAGGGGAUUUUGGGGUCAUUUUAGGUGGCUAUUACUUAUUGGUUAUUUUGCUAACCUCCAGCACUUCGCCACGUGUAUCAUACGUGUGCCGAGUUCCGCAUCACGAGUAUGCGAGGGUUGAUAGGGAGUUCUAUUCAAAGGACCCUAUCAUCGCGGUUGUUUCGCCCACGUUUAUCAUACGUGCGCAGGUUCCGUAUGUUAAUUCAUGCGAAGGGUGGUAUGGUUCGAUUCCAAUGAGCCUAUCAUCACGGUUGUUCGUCCACGUCUAUUAUACGUGCGCAGAUUCCGCAUCUCGAAUAUGCGAAGGGUUAUAUGGUUCCAUUCAAAGGGGACCUAUUUCCACGAUUGUUGUGCUGUCCAUGCAGCGUUAAACGCAUGGGUGCCAUUUCUAUAGUGAACGGUAAUGCUUGGGGAUGCUUUCGUGGGUGCUGGCAUGAAAGGUUCAUGUGGUCGUGUUUUCUGCAGGUACACUAACCGCGUUCGCUUAGGGAAACGCUGCUAGAAACUGACUAGCUAUUAUAGGGAGCAACGUACUGGUUGCCUUGCCAUCGGCACUGACCACGUAAGACCAAAGUUUUUGGAAGUUGUUUUGGUUGAUAGAAUGAAGUAGGUCGUGCAUGCGUCAUAAACUAAAAUCUGUGAAACCACAUCCCUACAACAACCUUGCCUUGGUUAAAGCUCUUCUUCGCUUUAAGGAUUUCUAGUUGCCUUCUCAGCUUGUGCUCUGGUCAAAACUCCGAGUGCUUUUCCUGCCUGAUCUGUCCUCCUUGGGGUUUCUAUCUCACGCUUGUUUCGGUUCUUGGUUCCAGAUGGCUGCUCCCGGACACGUGUUUCACGGCGCUGAUGGCACUUCCCACUCCACGUGCCUACACUUCGAGGGUUUUCCUGCUAUUUUGUGGGAUACCUUGAGGUGGUUUGGGUACCAGUCACUGCCUCUUUACGUGGGAUGGGAGUACCAGGAGCACGGAGUGCAGUGGUGCUUUGUGCAAGUGGUUGUACCUCCACCCCCUGUACAUCCCGAGUGGCCCCAACUCGAGGUCUCAACCUACGGUCACGCCCUUAAGGACACCUGGGAGUCGGCUGCCCUGCAGGCCCUCACCCAAUUUUGCCGGUUACACCCGCUUGAGGUCCUUUUGGACCCGAUCGGGUUGUUUCCUGCCAGGGAUCGGCUGGACCCGGCUUGGCUUGACCGCGUCAACAACAUGGAGGUGUUGGCAACCUCCCACUCAUUGGUCACCCUCUCCACCACCACCAGGUGCAUGUCAGUCCUGUACUGGCUGAUUGAGCUUCAAGGCCGGGCUAUGGCUGUCUUAGCUUGGAUAGCCGUGGAUACCCAAGAGCAUUUCAACGCCGCCAAGAGAGGCUUGGUGGAGCGGUCAUAUCAGCUCAUCCAGAGAAGCAUACAGAUUCAUGACAUGCAGGCCAGGAUUUCCGAGCUUGAGGAAGAAGUGACGGACAUGGAGCAUGACAUGAUUCAGCUGGCCGAAGAAAAGAUGGAGGCUGAGAUGGAGCUCGCAGUCGCUAAUGCACACUUGGACAAGCACCACGCCGAGCUCGAUGCCAUCCAUGCCCUUGAAAUGCAGCUGGAUGAGCAAGAAGACCGUGCGGAGGUAGUGGGAGCGUCCAGUAUGGACAUCGAAGAUGGCGAUGCCCCUUCUCCGACUCAUAGUGUUCUCUCAGUAGGCAACCUAGAUAACUUUUAGGUUGAAGACUGUAGGAAGCUAAUCUUUUGUUGUACUCCUCGGCAACCUAAAUUUUUGGAUAGCAAUAUAAUAGGUUAGCCUUGAGUUGAGUGUUCCUCCUGUGCUAUGAUAACAAUAAUGUUAUGGUCUUGGUGAAAGCAGUCCUUGUUUUCCCCCUCACUCUUGACCUAACUUUUGACCCUUUGUGACAUGCCUUGGAUGCCAAGUCGUGUGAGUUUUUGUGCUGUGACCGCACGCAAGUUUCCGUUCCUUUGGAUCUGUCCAAAGCUUGGCCGACACUGAGUCACAAGGUCGGAUGCGCCCGACCCCUCGCGGCAGGUCUCCGCCUCGCCCGACCCCUUGUUGCACGGUUUCGCUUCGCCCGACCCGAGCCCUUAAGGUCGGAUGUAGUGGAACCCUUGGGAUACGGUUUGGGCUCGCCCGAGGUUGUGUGCAGGACUGAGCCAGUUGCUAACUGGGAUGGCAAGAAGAAAUGUACAUCUCCUUAACGAGAAAUGUUGUUGUGUUGCACUACCAGUAGGAGUCGCAUUUAAGGAUUUAACAUAUACGUUCCUGCAUGAUAGGAAUACUUCUAAGAUUUUGGAAAUUAAUGGAACGUUGACUCUUGCAGAUGGCGCACCGCACCCGAUCCGGCUCUGUGCCCAGUGGCAGUGAGCAGAGGCAGGACCUUCCUCCGCCUCCGCCCCCACCUUUGCUGGAAGCCAUAUUGGCGGCUCAAACUGAGCUACUAAGGCACAUUGUACAAGGGCAACAACAGCAGCCCCAUGGAGGGAGGGCUCAUCAGCAACCUCAAGUUGCUCGCUAUGAAGACUUUUUGAGCACGCAGCCCCCAACCUUCCACAAGACAGAGUACCCUCUUGAUGCCGAUGCAUGGGUUUGUAUGAUCGAAUCCAAAUUUGAACUCCUCACCGUCCCGUGCCCCGACCAGAACAAGGCCCGGUUCGCGGCUCAACAACUGCGUGGUUCCGCCUGGCUUUGGUGGGACCACUACCAUGCCAUGUUGCCGGCCGACCAUGCUGUUAGCUAGACUGAGUUCAAGUCCGCUUUUAGAGGGCACCACAUUCUAGAAGGUCUUCUAGAGCGCAAACUCAACGAGUUCCUGGCCCUUACCCAAGGAAGCCGUGACGUUGUACACUACGCACAAGCCUUCAACGACCUGUGCCGCUACGCCAGCUAUCACGCGGAUACCGACGAGAAGAAGAGGGAUAGGUUCCGCCGAGGGUUGAGCUUGGAGCUCAAGGAGAGGUUGAAUCCUAUCAAGGUGGAUACCUAUAAUGAGUUGGUGAAUCUGGCCAUCUCCCAAGAAGACUGCAUGCAGGCCCUCAAGUGGAAGGCCUCAGUGGCAUUACCGAGGCCGCCCACUCGAAGAUUCAAAAUGGUUUCCCCUCAGGUGCCCCACAGGCCACAGCAAUCGGGACGAUGGAUUGCUUGCCCUCCACCACCAGCAGCACCUCAUUUCCCCAGUUUCCAACCGCUGGCACCCCGUCCGACCUUACCGCUACCGCCACGCCCUGUGAAUGGUAACCGCUGUUUCACCUGCGGCAAUGAAGGGCACUUUGCCAAGGACUGCCCCAGAAAUAAGAAUCAGCGGCCUGGCUAAAACCCCACAGCCAACAGGGGAAGAAGGCCCAAGGUGCAGGUUCGUCAGGGUCGGCUCAACUACACUAGCCUGACCGAGCUCCCCGAAGGUGCGCCAGUAAUGACGGGUACCUUCCUUGUCCAUAAUCAAACCAUUGUUUUUUUGUUUGACUCGGGAGCAUCCCAUAGCUUCAUCGGGAAUAAGACUGGUGAGAGAUGUAAGCUGAGCGUUGGUCGCACCAAAGGGUCAUAUGUGAUCUCCACCCCAGGAGGGAAGGUAGCCUCAGACAAGAUAGUUAACCUUGUUAGAGUGUGUCAUUGUACCAAUAGUGGAUGUAUGCCUAAGUAUCCUUCAUUCCUUUGUUAGAGUGUGUCGUUGUACUCACUUGAACUUCUACCACCAACUCACUUGAAACUUACAUGUGGGACCCGGUUGCGGUAAAGACUUCCCAUUCGAUCGGUAAUAGGUUUGACCCAUGGGAGGAGGACGUUUUCCUUUUUAUUUUACCACCCUAUGUAUCAGCUUAAACUUACAUGUGGGAUCCUGGUUGGUUUAUGACAUUUUCAUAGAUCUUAUAUCCUCACAAAACCACCAUUUAAUAGCGAGUGACAAUUUCUUUUUGGCUACAGUGGCACAUUUUAUGGCGUUCCAUAACUUUAUCACUAAAUUUGCUCGAAUGUCAAACUUUAUGAUGUUUUGAUCCAAAAACAUCCUAGAUCUAUGAUGAGAACAAAUAUGUCAUAAAAUUUUUGUCAUAGAUCAACACAUUUCUUGUAGUGGGCGACCCACUCGGCACCCCCGGGAUUGCCAUCCGGGUCACAAAAUAGGGACACCGGCUGCCCAAGCCCUUGCGCACCAAUAGUAGCUUGGGCCUCCGAACGCUCAUGAAUGGAAAAUACAUGAUGGAAAGGGCCAGGUUGGGACUCACCAGGUUGGGAGGGAAGUUCCCCAAAAAGGCCCACGGGUGCCCCGCCAAGGCUGCAGGCACCAGCACUCACAUGUCAAUUAGAUCCUGCACCCGGGCCGGGACUUCAUGAUCGGGGAGCACUUCCGGGCACUCCCAAGAGUUAUCCGUCACACCAGAGUGUUUGAAGAAGCGGUGGACCCUCCUCUUGAGCGGCAGCAUCCACCGCUUGAUGAAGGUCCAGACGACCCCCACGCCGGACACCCCGGCUCACACUCUCUCCACCAGCACCUUGAUGAUGGCAUCCACCUUGUCCUUAUCAGGCUCCAAGCAGCCACACCUCCACGAUUCCUGCUACACCGGGGGCCCGCCAGUAAAUGCUGGCAGCUUGUCGGCGCCCUCCUCAAGGCUAUAGCUGGGGUCGCCAAUGUAGAACCAGUUGGCAUGCUACCCACAUUGGAGUCAUUCGCUCGGAUCUUCAGGUACUUAUCCGCGUACUCGAGACGCAUCUGUAUGGUGAUGCUGCCCAGCGGCGCGAGCUCAUCAUCACCAGUUUUCGCUUCAGGAUCUCAAAGAUCCGCUGGAAGAGUGAUGCGUGGGGGAUGAUGCCAAGGAAGCCCUCACACACCACCAUGAAGCCGGUAAGCUACAACAGCCCAUUGGGAUUGAAGUGCUGCAGCUCGAUCCGGAUGUGGAACUCAAGAAGGAAGAUGAUCUCCCCACGCUUGGACUGCAGGAACCACUUUCCCGCUGCAACGCGCCAUCCAGCCUCCUCCUUCGGUGGGAGGCAUCCCAUGGCCAACAACUCUUGUAGCUUCUCUUCCAUCAUGACCGAGGGGACACAUGAGCUCAUCGUCGGAGCAAGGGAGGGGGAUGCAGCGCCGACAGAUGGAAGGAAAGGCGCAAAGAGACCUACUAGGUUGCUCUCUCUCUCUCUCUCCCUCCCUCCCUCCCUCCCUCCCUCCCUUCCUUUUUUGUUCUCUCUUCCUUCCUUCUCUCUUAGCUGCUCAAGCGCAGUUAGAUAAGCUAAAGCUAGAAGGUAGGGAAAAAAGCGACGGUAGAAGGGAAAGGAAGGGGGAGGCGACAGAUUUGUGGGGUGCAGCCUUGGGAAGGCUGAUCGCUCCCUCUGCGACAUCGCGGUCAUGGUGGGCCUAGCCUCGGCGGCUCCAUCAAAAACGCGCGCGGCAAAGCCACGACGUGCACGCAUGAUCGGCACCAUCAAGGUGAGACAAGACAUGAUAGGAUAGCUACCAGGGGGUGCCUCGGCUCCCGUGCAGCAGCCCCUCAAUCGCUCCGCCAUGGUAGGUGGGCUUGCUUUGCAUUCCAGGCUGGGAUUCGAAGGCUGGCCCGUCAAGACGAGCUCGUGGCCGUCCUAGGCCCAAGUGAAUAAGAUCUAGGGAUGGAGAGCAAAGAAGGUCCCAGCAACCGCUGGUCGGGCCGCCGCGUGGUCCUCGACCUCUUUCCCCCAUAUCUGAGUCCUGAUGACAAGCCAGCUCCGGAUAAUCUCGAUGAGGGAAGGCAGCGAGCCCUCCAACUUCCACAAUGAAGGUCGGGGACCGAAAGGAACCGGCAACAAGAAUUAAUGGAACGCCUCCCAGCGAGUCAUAUCUGAACUCCCCACUGAUUGGGAGGCGAUCGGGUUCCGCUUAGAGUCCCCCAAGAUGCUCGAACGGGCACCCUCGCCCGGCCAGCGUGGCAGGCAAGGAGCUGCUCCCCAUGAAGGGUGACCUAGGAUGCGUCCCCAACCUCGCGCGUAUGCUCCCACAAGGGCUACACUGUCAGAACCAAGGUGACCAGCCCCCCAAGACAAAAUGACCCAACCACAACAAAGGGUAGGGGAUUAAAUCUUUAUUCACAAAUAAGGGUUACAAGAAGAGGGCUCAAUGCGCCGUUUGUAGAUACAAAAAAUGUAGCUGCUGGCACGCAAGGCAGCACCUGGGGCCCACGCGACGGGCUGCUACAAGGACAGCAUGAAGCAGCGGAUGCUCACAUUGCUGAUCUUCUUGUAGCACCAGCACCUCGAGCGCUGCCUAUGCGGAGGUGGUACCGAGGAUGAGAGCACUUUCAGCUCCAGCAAGCAAUGCCACCAUCUCCCCUGGCAAGAGAGCAAACCAUGACCACUCUCAAAGCCUCCCAUUGGAAGCAAGAGGAGGCCAUAGUUGAGCCCAACAGGCUCAGGAGCAGCAUCAUGGCGGCCUUCGUCGCGCCUGAUGACCCACCAAGGAACCGAUUGGGAGCGUCAGAGCUCCCAAACAAUUUACUGUGGAAACCGGUGCUGUUCUUGGUCAUUACUGAUCCAACCUGCUUGAUCCGCGAGGAUCUUGGACCAGGAUCAGCAACAGGAACGAAGGUGCCUCAGAUCCUCCACGGUAGGCCCAGCCGCUCGUUGACAUUCUUUUAGCACCAGGGGCAGGCUGCACGGCAGCCAACCCGGAAGAUUCAGAGACACCCUCUCAUUAGCCUCAUCCUUCUAUUCGCACAUGGAAGCUUUUUGGGAGUGAGGACUGAAGUCCCAGGCAGCGCAUUGUUGGUAUAUUUAACAAUCAUGAAUAAAGCCGCAAGUGCACUGAUAUACCAUUGUAGCAUUUCACACAAUAGCAUUCCCAAGGGUAUCGUAUUUCCCAAAGGAAGGUGGAUAGGUCAAAAGAGUUUACUAUGCAUAUGAGUAUACCAUAGAUGGAUACAGACAAUGCUCAAGACAGGGGUAAGAUAAUGAUGGAUAGAGUAGUGUGACACACACUAGAAUCAUCUCAAGAUAACUAUGGGUUAGCUCUAGAUUCAUAUGUACUUCCUAUAUACUGCACAGAUCAUACAAGCAUAACAUACAUACACAAUGUGAACUCAGGCCUAUGCACCAGUCACACACGGGAAGACACUACCUGUACUGGUUCCGCCCAAUAAAGUUACUACUAAUUUUUGAACUCCUACAGCAUACCCGAACAUGGGGGAUUAUGAUGGACCAAUAGGGCUAUCACCACCUGCGGCCUACCCCUAGCAACCCGUGGGGUAAACUCAUAUCCAAUGAAGCUAAGCAAUCCAAGCACCAUGCUUGCAUUGUUAACAACACUCCAGCCAUACCGGGCUAUUGUAUAAAUGGCUUAAGCCACCAUAAACAUGGCCAUUGAACCGAUGUUGUAGCAUAGAUCAACUAAGCUAUACAAGAUAUAUAUGCACACAGAGUAUGCACUGAAGCAUGGUCUCAAGACAUACAUAGAGGUAUAUAAGCCUAUACUACGAUAGCAAGGGUAUACGACUAGCAUACGAGCGUAUAAGCCUUGCACAUCAACAUAGCAAGGGUAUAUAUCUAACUCAUGCAUAUGAGAACCAAACACAACACUAUAUAAAGAAGAUGUAGACUUUGAAUAGAAUAAAGUCAUCCUAGGAAUAAAAGGUACAAGAGCCAUACCCUAGACUCCAAGGAGACCUGGAACCUAAAGUAGAGCUACUCUAGCCUAACUCCAUUAACUUGGAGACUAAGAGGGAGAGAGUGAUUCACUACUUGUGUGUGUGUCCUAGAAUGGAGCCCUUUCCCUCAUAUUUAUAGGAUCCAAGAGGCGGUUCUAGCAGGGGAUCUUCAGGGAAUAUCCCAUAACCAACAUAGGGGAGCCAUCACCAGUCACCACGUGGAAGCAGAUCACGAGGGGAGCUAGAGGCAGUUUGGUCAAACCCCUGGUGGUCCCUCUCGCAAUCGUCUUUGCGUGGUAGUCUGACAUGUGGAUCCCAAUGGUGGUUGUGUGCGUUAUCCGGUGAAUUGAGGCGAUUGUAGUAGUUUGUGGGCGAUUCAAUCUAUGGGAUGCACAUGUGGCGACCUCCCAUUGGCUAGAACCAUUUUUCUUAGAUCCAUGGAGGGUACUUUCUAUGAUGGAACCGCCCAAAUUAACCUGACUAAAAUGCAUUGAAGUCGCCUGACACGCGAUUAUGCACUUUAAGCAAGUCAACCUAGUCGACCGUUGGAUUUCAUCCGAUUAACAACAUAAACAGGAUCGAGAAGCAUCGCUCACACGAGGGUGAGUAGCACAGAGAUUACAACAUUCCAUCACAUUACCUUAGUCUCACAAAUUAUUACAUCCGAGUUUCUGAAAUUCAAACAAGUUGCAAGGUUUGAAAAGUCGGAUAAAACAAGCGGAAGCUAAACGUCGAUACAUGACAUCAUGAUGGAGCCGAUCAUGACAUCAAAAAUCCCUUCCCUCGCUAUCCGAGGAGGGAUCCCACUCGACUGUCCAGCCCGGAGGGAGCUGGGUAGGCCAAGUGGUACAAGCAACCAAACUAUUGACAUCACCUGAAAAGAUUAAGCCACAACAAGGCUGAGCAACUAAUACUCAGCAAGACUGACCCGUCGAGUGAAAAGCUUUACCAAGACCUAGACAUGCAAGGAUUUCUAGCUCUAGGAUCUCUUUGUCAAAAGCGUCUAAAGUCGGUCCUUACUUUCAAUAUUUUAGCUCAAGUUCUAUGUUCUUUAUCCAGUCUAGAUUAGCAACUUAUACUAAACAAGCAUGAUUUCCAAGCAGUUAAAUAACAAGCAUCAACUUAAUCUCGUAAUCAUGUUUCAUCAUUACUCAGCGCAGAAUAGCGAUCAAGUAGUCCGAAACUGUGAGAGGCAGACGAAUCGAUUCGAAUUUAUUAACCAUGCAUGGCGAACCUAAUCUCAUGACAUCCGCGCACCAUGAAGGGUCGCUUCAUUUGUCAGCCGUCCCCAUUGAUCCCUUAGGCACGUGUCAGGGCCAACUACCUUUGGCAUGCAAUGCUCCAUAAUCCCGGCCUCUGCUGUACUAUGACCGCACUUGCACCCACAUGAUGCACCAUGGGAACGACAUUCCAAGGACAACCGGAGGGUAUGCGAUGCCCCAAUUCAAUCAGGUACUAGGCUUCCCCAUCCCAUACUAGGUAUGAGAUUAGUACUUUCAAACACUUCAUCACGAACGCCAAUACAUUUCGACCUUAGAUCAAUUUCAUUUAGACAGAUGGGGAAAACUACGAAGUAUCGAACAUAAGCCCGACCCCGUCCGUCGUCCUUAUAGUUGCAACAUAAAUAAACAUUCAACUCCUAUACUCGCGAGUGAUAGAAAAUCACUCGACUUUUACCGAAGCCUAUUAAGCAUUGCAACUACUCGACUUUAGCAACUAGUAUUCAAACAAGGCACUAAGUUCAUGCAUCUACGGUUUCAUUACAACUCCUAGAACGUAAAUGCGCAAUCAAAGUAUUCAAUAAUAUUGCAAGUAUUCAAGAUAGGAAUUUAUGCUCCGGGGCUUGCCUUCAGGAAAAGUUAGCGGGUCCUCGGGAUCUUGCUCCGGUUCGGGCUCGCCUUCCAAGGGGUGAAGCUCCGCAGCGGGGUCUUCCUCCGGUGCCGGGUGGAGCUCGUAGGUUCCGUCGGUGAGAUUUGCUUCUAUACGACAUGCACAUGCAAAAGUUUAGUUGGACUCGCACGUUUAUUCAAUGACACAAGGCAUGGCUUAAGACAAGGAAUUACAACAGCCACAUUCACUUCGACAAGGUUAAACUUUCAUGCAAUUUCAACGAAUGUGGUUGGUUUAAAACUUGAGUUCGAGUUGGAUGGCGAUUGUGUACAUAUAUAGUUUUCUUGCACUUAGAGUUACCUAAAGAGAGUGAAAGGUCGUGUUUGGGUGGUUUGGGUGCAUUAGAAUAGUGACUUACUUCUGAAUAUUUUUGUGUACCUCUUUCAAUUUCCACUUAUUUAUCGAAUUAGAAUUUUUGCUUUCCUUUUAUUCCUUUAGGGUGAUUAAUUAACCAAAAUGACUUCAUAUCCAAACAGUGGCUAAAGGUACUGAUAAAAUCACAGCACCUCACUUAAGCCAUCACUAAGUUACUGCAAAAGUUUGGGGGCCAAAGGAUGACUUAAAAAGGAGUUACAUGCAUUUUAUUAUUAAAGGAAAAAUGAACCUAACUUUUUCUACCUUCAAAGUUACUGUGCAACAGAGGGUGAAACUUAACCAGUGUGUUAAGGGUAUGUUACAGGAGCUUUGGUGAAUUUUUCAUAAUUUUUGGAGAAGAUUAACUAUUUACUCUAUUUGCUUUUUAAAUUAAGAAUGCUUAACACGGAAGGUGUUUUUCAUUCUAAUUUGCACAACACUUUAUAUUUUUCCUGCAAACUUCACAGCAAAACAAAACUAACCCAACUAGUUUCACAUUUUUCUGAGCUCUGAAACAAAACUUAUGCAAAAAUGAAUAUUUAUGUAUAGAUUACCAAUUUAAAGUCAAAACAGUGACUUGAAGUGUUAAACCAGAGCCCUAACCAUUUUUUUGAGCUUCUAUACAUAGAAACAAGCAUCACAGAGUUGGUCUCACAAUUUUCCCACUUUUCUUCUAUUUAUUAGGAUUUAAAAGGCCUAAAUCAAGAUUAAAAGCAUAGGAUAUUAUUUACCAUAGACACAUGAGCAAAGUUAUUUUUCUUAGGAACUAGACAGAGCAAGGAUUCUAACAAAAGUAGUUUGGCCUUUUUAUGAUUUUUCUAUGAUUUACUGGGCAUUUCCAAAGUUCAACCAUAUUUCUGCCUAUUAUUAAAAGAAAAGCCGUGGCAAACUUGCAAGCUAGCCCCUAGGUUUAAGGUUUAACUACGUAGGGGUCCCUGAGUUUUGCGCCCAGGCCCCUGGAAAGAAUGGGGACGAUGCAAUGUAGUACCCGGGGCGGGCGCGGCGGUGGUGGGGAAAUUCCCGGCGGUUCGCCGGCGAGGAUGGGGCAACAAGUUGCCGGAGGGGUGCGGGGGCUCACCUGAGCUCGGUUUGGCGUGGUUCGGGCAACGGAGAUGGACGGCAGGGAUCGGAACACGGCGGCGGCAGCAGAGCUUGGCUGGCGGCGGUGCAGGCGGCGUUCCGGUGCACCGGCGGUGUCGGGGAGGCCACGGGCUGCUCGGAGACGUGCGCGGAGGGGUGGCGAAGCGGGCGGCGAAGUCGCUGGAGUGCAGGGUGGCAUGGAGGGGUGAGCUCCACGGAAGCUUAGCGGCGGCGCAGAGGAGGAAGCGAUGGCGCGACUGUGGGUGGUGGCAAAAGGGUGGUGUUGCCGGCGAGGGUGACCUUUUUAUAGGGCAGCGGUGGAGCGGAGGGUCGAGGCAGCGCUUUGGUGGGGGAAGGAUAAGGCCGGGAGCGGCGGGUGCGCGGGCGAGGCGGCCAUUGGCCAGCGGCGCCAUUGGGCAGAGGAGGCCGAGCUCCGGGUGGUCUCCGGCAGCGAUUGGCCUUGGGUAGUGCGCGUCUGGGGCUUCCGGUCUGUCGGGCGGGCGAAGCGGAGGGCUACCGUGGGGGUUGGGCAAGCGGGCGGAGGCGCGAGACGUCGUCGGCGUGGCAGCUUCUCCGGCGGACGGGCGGAGCGCAAUUGGUGGAGCAGAGCCGUGGCAGGGGGGGAAAAGGACACGCGCGCGGCCGGCGGUUAGCCAGCCCGACGUUCGCCCCGUCCUGUCACAGGCGCGGGUUGGGCGCCGUGGCCCUUGCCCUGUCGCUUUCUCACCGGGGAUAGAGCGCUGGCGAGCUGCCAGUGGCCGGCUGCCACGCGGCGCGCGGGCGAACGUGCCCUGGCGUGCGGGCGUCGAGGCCCCCCUUCGGGCAGUAAGCCCUACCAGCUUUGGGAGAUCCUAUCUCAAGAUUUUGCAACACAACUUCCAAAACUCUUUUCAACAAACUUGUUCAACUCUGGAUGUAUUUCAAACUUGGUUUAAGGUGCUGGUUUAGAUUGUGAAAGGAUUUGGAGAUAUCUCUUGUCAAAGUUUGCCAAAAAUCUGGAAAUCCAGACUUAGCCAAUUUUGGCCGGAGAGGUGGAAUUCAGAGGUUUAGCCAUCUUUGGCUCGAUUUUUGGGUAGCUUCUGAGUCAAGUUAGACUAAGGUGUUAUUAGAGGAGUUGCUCUCCAAACUGAGGACUUCAACUUCUAUUUAGGGUAUUUCUUGAGUUUAGUUUAAACAUUUGGAGGAACGCCCUCACUAAGAGGUGCACUCUGAGCAGUUUUUCAGACAACGUUGUGGGGCUCAGGGGCUGAGUUGACUGUUUUACCUCACUUUGACCAAGAUUUUGAACAAUUUAUGGCCCGGUUUGGACCUAGGUCAUUGUAACAAAGUUGGAACACACUCGAGGAACUACAACUUUUAUUAAGAGCCUGACUUGAGUUUCGAUAGGAAAUCGUGAGAUAACAGCUUGCAAAGUUGGAGGAAAACUUGAAUUCCAGGACUUAGGAGGUUUAUAGGGUUCUUUAGUACUCUGGUCUUGGUUGCUGUUUUUGACUUCCUUCCACUCCGAAUUAGUCAAACUGCCUUUAACAAAAGUUGUUUGAAAUUAAAAGUUUUACAACUCUUAUUUGGGCAGAAUCUUAAGUUUUCAUAUAAAAUUCCAUGUUUUAUUUCAAACUCCAAAAAGAGCUUCUUAGGGUUAAAAUGGUCAUUUCACCUCUUUAAUUAGGGAUUAACCACUAGUUUACUUUAAAAGCACUUAAUUUAGGUAGAGUUGUUACAAUUUCUCCAUCCUUUUGUGCUUAUUCACCUACAACCAAAUAUUCUCCAAGGACAAGUAGAACUACAUUAUUUGAAACCCAAUAUGCGUGUGAGAAAUGCCAAUCCUCCUAUAUUCUUGAGUAUAUUGUCAGUCAUAUUUGGUACUUUACGACCGUUAACACGCACGGCGCGGGUUUUAUCCAUUGGGUCUAGCCCCCGAGCUUCUGAGGGAAUCAAGGAUUCGCUCAGAAGGUUAUUAAUGCGGGCAUUGCUCGGCUCUCGAUGUUGCCUGGUGUUGUCAGGAGGUCCCUCCUAGGGCCUCUAGUUUUUCCAUGGUAGCCAGGACCGGUCCACCCGGUGCCUCGCAUAAUGCGGAAUCUCGAGGUCCUACUCAGGGCUCCGUCCAGUCCUGCUGCUGUUCAUGUGGGUCUGCCGGUGCGCUGAGGCUCACGAUGCCUCCGUCCGGCUGGCACCCUUCUUCAAGCCUCGUGAUCUUGUGCGGCUUAGCUCUACGCCCGUAAGGUCGGAGGAGGGCUCGGGGGCUACUGAUGGGUUCCUAUACCAGGAUUACCCUCCGAAAGAGGAUUUAAGUUGACUGCAUGAGAAAAGGUUGGGGGCCCAACAACGAGAAGCAACUUGAAGGCGGCCCAUGCAACGUCGCGGCCCACCUACCAACCUCCUUUGGUCAAAAGCCAAAGGCCACGAGUUGCCGCACCAGUAUGCUUGGGGAUGGGGCCAGCAAGAGGCUCGCAACGCCCCUCCUACCCCUUGACCAAGGGCGACCAAUGGCAUACCAGAAGCAUUAAAUGCAGAACGUGGCUUCCCUGACUGCCCCCGCGGGGACAUGACCCGGCGAAGGGAGCCGACCUUUGGCCAGGGGGUCCAAUGGUGAAGCUACACCCAUUGGACCGCCUAGGACGAGGCCACGCGGCCCUUACGUGACCACACGCCCCGACGUCAUCAUCACCCUCACCGCUAUGGUGAUCCAUCGCAAUCAAGACCAGGCCACCACGACAGGCCUGGUGCGGGCCGUAGGUAAGGUGGGACCCAGCAUCAAGCGUCAUAGUGUGGAGUGGCCGUGAGCGCACUAAAGAGGUCGGGUAGAGCCAGGAGAAGCAGCACGCCCCGUCCCGGCUGCUGGCCAAGGCUCACCCACUCGUCUCUAGUACGGACGUCAGUGGUAGCUUCCGUCCUGUUCAGUGCCACGACUGACAAAGAGGACAGGACGAGGAAGUCCCUUAGCGCAAAGCUGCCCCGACCACGCCACGACCCCCAACCUCUGAGAUCGGGGACCCCUCCUUUCUCCAAAACACUGUUUCCCGGUCCUUGACCUAUAUAAAGGGAAACGGGAUAUUAUUUCCUCUCUCUCAUAUUCAUUCACACACACUUCGCACGAACACUUGCUUGCAAGUACCCCGUUGUAAUCUUAGUAAUUCGAUCCGAGGAACACGACUCCUGCUGAAACUUGACGUAGGGAUCUUUCCAAACCAGUAUAAUUUAUUAUCUCUUGUGUGCUAGCCAUUGAAAGUGAGGAGAGCGUGGCGUAUAAUCACUAGUCGGUGGUAGACGCCGACACUUGGUUUGCAUGGUACAAAUUUCAUGGUUUUCGCAUACGCAUGGACCGAAUGCCUACUUUCCAUUGGUCCACGUGCGACCUUGUAGUUGCUGUCCGGGAGGACUAGCAGGUGACGCGUAGCUCGAAGUGCAAGCGGACGCUCCUGUGAUGCUGGCGCAUCUGUUCUCGAUCGACUAGCGACAUAGGCCAAGGGUCUAGGUUGGAUACUUGGAUCUUCCUUGGCAGUAUGGCUGCGUUCUCCGGAUCACAGGAAUCUUGUCUGGCUCCAAAGACAACUGUAGAAGGGAGAGAACACGCGGUUUUUGUGUCCUUGCAUGCACGGGCACGGCCGCACGGCUCCUCAUCACGUACAUCAUGCAUGUUGCGUCCAGCUGCGCUAGCUGUCCAUCCAAACCAAGGAAACAAGCAUGUUUAGCUAAUUGUGUAUGUAAUAAUUAAUUAUUAAUUGUGCAAACUAUAUACUAUAGAUUAUCCUUUUUCUUCCUUAUACCAGGUCUUCCUCACCAUAUGGCUCAAGCUCAUCGAGGGAUGUCGAUCAAACGUCGUCUCUCCUACGCGUGCCCGACGAGGGACACAAAAAACUCGAUGCAACUUGAAGAUGAGCCACCGGAAAACUAACAGAUAUGGAAUCAGAGAUGUUAUUAGUAACAUUUUUUUCCAAAGUAAGCUCCAUCAAGUGUCUCAAGUGUAUACUCGUACGAAGGAGUAAUGCCAUUCUCAAUGAGAUUCAUACGAUGAUUUUUAAGAAUGCCACGCUAUUUAAACUAUUAGUUAUUAAAUGAAACCAUAUUGUACAGUUUCAUGUUUAUGAUCUUAUAGACAAGCCGCAGGCUUUAAUUGUGAUGCUUUGGAUUGUACGUGAUCACAUGAAAAGAAACUUCAUAGCUCUCAAUGGCAAUUUCAAUACAUUUCAUAGUCAUAAAAAUAAUAUACACCCAGUUUCAUUCCGAUGAAGCCAUCUGUUCUUCCUACCUACUUAAGUAUUUUUUGCCAUGUCACCGUUUUUAUUGUAUUUGCUGAUAUGCCAACCUCCACUAAAAUAGCCUAAAACGUUCCUUGGAUUUAGUGAGACACAUUAUCAGUAAUUAAUACUUGGACUAAUAUAUAAAAGUGGAUCUUUUCCACGUCCUCGUCCAUUGCUUUGUCGGUCGGAUGCAGAUCGGAGCGAAUAUUACAUGUAUAUGGUUAUGGACGCAAAGUUUUUAGUAUGUUAGAAAUAGUAUAGGGUUUGAUCGGUGAAGUGGACACGGAUUAAAAUAGUUAGAUAAUAUAUGCUUAUGUGUAGCUUUUCAUAGUAAUCACAAUAAUUCCUGAAGUAAAGCCAUAAAGGAGCAACAUAACUUAGAAAAUACUCACCUACAUAGUUCAUGAAUCACGAUAAAGUUCACAAAUCACAUCUAAAGCGAACUUAACAAUUGAUACUAAAAGUUCGCGCUUGACACCGAACAAAAACUAUUACAAGUUCCGGUGGUCGGUGUUUGUGAGGACUUGUGCACAGGACUGCCGAUCAGCCGCUACGCGUCAGGAUUUACCAAUGCACGUGCAUGCAAUAUGUAUAGCUAAUAGUACCUCAGUGUCUGGGCUGGCCUCAACUUGUACCAUGUUGGACUUGCUGCAGUAGUCAGAUAUCCUAUUAUAAGUCUCGAAUAAUCUACCUUCAACUGUCGGAUACGUACGUCAGAUUUCACUAAUACCCUAUCCUACUCCGCUUCCACGUACAGUCAAAUUUGGUUAUCCAUAUUCGCACGGAUAUUAAAAACUCUUAUACAUAUCCGUAAAAUUCAGAUUCGGACAGGAUCGUACGUGGAAAUUAUCUGGACCACUUUCACCCUGAAUCUACCUACUUUUGCAAAGAUCCAUGAUUUAGAGCAACUCCAAGAGUUGCUCAAAAAAUUCUUCCCCAAAACCAUGUAUUGGGGGCUCACAAAAAAAAAUUUCUCCAAAAACAUAUCAACCCACAAAACUAGCCCCCAAUAUUUCAAAAUAGGCCACAUCAUCAUAAUUGGAUCCAUUAGUUGGGUUGGUAGCACCGGCCGCCGGCCUAGGAAAAGCAGUUCCUGCGAUCUCCAACUCCAAUUCAGAUUGUAAAUAGAAAUCAUGAUCAAAUAUUUAUUAUGAUCAUUGGACGAGCUUUACAAAUAUUCAGAUUAUUAAAUGUUUGAGCAUUACUGAAUUUUGUUGUGAUUAUUGAGGUGUCUCUCAAUUCAGUGUGGAGAAAUGCUCUAUAACUGAACAUUGCAGAAUUGCAAAAGUGGCAAAGUACCUAGACCAAGGAUCUGCUGACUGUUACUCUGAAGCUUAACUGGUUGAUGUUGCCCGCCUCCAGAAGGCCGUGUGUGGUGGGCUGGUGGCUGCCCCUUAUCUUGCGGUGGAACGCAACAGCGGCCGCCGGUAGCCACACGCGGGCAGGACGUAGCCUCGAAUCAUGGCCUGUUCGCUUCAGCUUAUUCAAUCGGCUUAUCAGUCACCAAACAGUAUUUUUCUCUCAUAACAAAUCAGCCGUUUCAGCUUUUCAGCCGGCUUAUAAGCUGAAGCGAACAGACCAAGGAGCUGCGGAAGCCGUCGUUGUCGCCCUUGACCUCCACGCCGGGGUCAGCUGGGCUGCUGCGAUGGGAGGAUGUAUGGAUGAGGGAUGGCCGGAGGAUAUUGGCGGCAGACGGAGCUUCCUUGGAUACUUGCUCCAACCGCGUCUGCGCCGGCAGCUAGCGGCCGGCGGACAUGGCGAUGGCGAGCGGUCUGCGAAUGGGCUGAAAAAUCAACGGCUUGUUUGCUUCAGCUUAUUCAGCUGGCUUAUCAGCCACCAAACAGUAUUUUCCUCUCACAACAAAUCAGCUGUUUCAGCUUUUCAGCCGGCUUAUAAGCUGAAACGAACAGGCCCAAGUUUGUUGGGCUGAACGACGGAUUCUGCUCCUUUCUUGGAUGCUCCAUCGAAGGAACGGUGAUGCUGCUCUUACCUCCCUCUUACAUAGUUUCAAUAAUGGUAGAGGAUCCGGUUCCGCCGUCGCUGCCCCCCCCCCCCCCCCCCCGCCGGUGCUGCCACCCCUCGUCCCGCCGCCACCGCCGUGCACUCCGGAAUCGGCUGAUUGGGGAGGAUGGUGCUCGUGAAAAUAUGCGCGAUGACCGGCUCUGUUUUAGCAUCGCAAAUAGAUUGGGGAAGUUUUGAGGAAGCUGUUGGAAUUUUUUUUUCUAUUUAACUCCCUAAACAAGGUAUUGGAGGUAGGAUACACAUUCUUUUGGAGUUACUUUUACAGACAAAAGUGUGUUUUCAACGGCUUAUUUGCAAUAAUACACGUGUGGCGGAAGGGGGGUGGGUUAGGCGGGUAACCGUUAACGUACUAUAUAUGAUGAUUGUGGUCUGAAGUGUAGACGCGUGCUCAAUAAUCCUUGUAAGAAAAGGGUUGAAUAUAGUCAAAGUUCCGGUCAAGUUUGUCUCGUUAAGCUCGAGAGGACCGUGUACCUUUGGACCUUGGUGGUGCAUAGCCGAGUUGUACCAUGCAUUCAUUCUGGUAGGUGGAGCUCCACUUGUUCUUUAAUUUGUCAGAGAAGCGCCAGCAAGCUCAGAAACCGUGUGAAACCAUCGUCUAGCUAGCUUGACUUUCUACCUUGUCAACAAUGUUUGCUGCCAUUUUGGGACUUGGGAGACCGUAAAACUUUUGGAGGGUGUCGUCGGUCGUGGACUCGUGGUCCAGCUAGAAUGUUAAGAGUCCGUUUAUCCUGCUAUAUGUUCAGUAUUACUAGCAACUACUACAAAAAUUUUAAAUUAUAAGUCGUUUUAACUUUUCUACGUACUCCAUCCAUUUCAGGUGGUUUUAAUUUUUCUGGUAUGCACCUAAAUAUUAUGUAUGUCUAAUCUAGAAAAGUUAAAAUAAUCUAUAAUUUUAAACGAAGGGAGUACAUAUCUUUUGCUUUGUAUCUAUAUGUAGGUUAUGUCUAGACAUGCAACAAAAUAUAUGUAUCUAGAAAAGUCAAAAUGACCUACAAUUCGAAAUGAAGGGAGUAUUUCUGUAUAUUUGUUUGGCUGGUCAUACACUGUGGAUGCACUACCAGAAACAGGACGUUUGCCGAGUGCCCCAGGCACUCGGCGAAAGCCCAAAAACACUCGGCAAAGAGUUUGCCGAGUGUAAUACUCGGCGAACUGGACUCGGCGAACUUUCCCUCGGCAAACAGUGGAUUUACCGAGUGUCAAACGUCAGGCACUCAGCAAAUGCUUUGCCGAGUGCCAAAAAAUACUCGGCAAAACAAAACACUCGGCAAAAAGGCGUUGACGGACUGUCACGGUAACGACGCUUUUGCCGAGUGCCAGACGGAAGAACACUCGGCAAACGUUGACGUUUUGCCGAGUGCUUCCGUCCCGACACUCGGCGAAGAGUCUAAAUGUUGCCGAGUGCCGCUUCACAAACACUCGGCGAAGAUUCAAAUGUUGCCGAGUGUCGUACUCAUGACACUCGGCGAACUUUUAGUGUUUGCCGAGUGCCAGUUUCGUGGCACUCGGCAAAGAAGAGGCUUCCACCAUCUUUUUAUGGUGCCUUUGCCGAGUGUUGUGUCGAUACACUCGGCAAAGUAGUCACAGAUUAACAGAAAUUGGCCUCUUUGCCGAGUGUUAACACUCGGCAAAGUGUCCUUCCUCCUCCUGCAAAAUAGAUUCGUUACGUAUAAAGGACCCCUCUCAAAAAACAAUCACAGAAGCAUCACAGGCAUAUAAAUUGCAUCACAGGCAUAUAGAUUGUAUCACAAGCACACAAAUAACAUUCAGAAGUACAUAUAGGUUCUAUUCUAAACAAGUAAUUCACAAGUUUGCUUAACACAAUAGCCGUUCAAACAAGUCACUGAGGAGGAUGUGUAGGUGGCCACUGCCCCCAAGAUGAUUCUGCAUUGGAUGCCGCCGAUUGAUUCUGCACAAAGUUAAAGAGAUUGCAUUAGUCACUUUUCUAGUGUAAGUUGCUAGUGUAUGAAGUUUCUAGUUUAAUUCUAGAUUGAUUGUAAGGUUGAGAGUGACUCACAGGAGUAGCUGCAGGAGGUGGAGGUGACGGGAAUAGGUUCGGUGGCAUAGGUGGUGGAGUUUGACCUAAACUCUAAAAAACACUCUGCAUGUAAUGGAACAUCGACUCCGUCCUCUGCCUUUCUAUAUGCCGAUCCGCCUCGAUCCUCGCCUCUAGGUCCUCUCGUUGCUUCCGUUGUACUUCCACCUGGGCCUACAAAAAUUCAUCCCAAUGUCUUAUUGCAAAGCAAAAGGUACAUAAAAAUCAACGAAAGAUGAAACAAACAGAAAUAACCUGCAGAGCCUGCAUCUGUAACUGUGCAGUGAUUGGCCGUGCCCGUAUCGCGGGGCUAGAGUCCGUGCUCUUUGCUCGGAUCUGGGAGAGACUGGGAGUACUGGCAGUGUCGAUCAUGCUAUCUGCAAUCCAAUACCGGCCAUGCUUCUUGCCUCCUCCCACCCUCAUCACAAUUUCUGCAUCAAUAUCCUGAGAGCUCGGAUCGAACUCUGGCCCAUGAACCUCACUUGCCAUUGAUGUGUACUCGGUGACGCGGCUGUGGAUGCUUGGAUGGCUGUACGCCUCGGACGGGUCCUCCGGGUUGAAGUCGAUGUCGGUCGUCGCCUUGUCCUUUUUGGACAUAACUCAUGUCUUGAACCGGAAGCACUCCUGACCAUCAUGUGAUGACGUCUGCGGCAAAAAUGCAAAAGGAUUAGAAAGUAUGCAGUAUUGAGUGUGAGAAUAAAGAAAUGAAUUCGCGUACCCAUUUUUUCUUGUAUUCAUCAAGGCUUAGGCUGCCUUGAUGGUGUGAUGCAUAUGGCAUUUGCAGAUGCUUCUCCCAGCAAGCAAGGUGGUUCUCCAACCACCCGGGCUGCAACCACACCUCCACCAUUUAUUCCCAGCACCGGGUAUAGGCUCGGCACCACCACGGAGGCACCUACAUCAUCAAGUAUGUGACAUAUAACAAAAGAAAUUAAGCGUAAUUAAUCUCAGAAAUAGUAAAUAUUAACUUUCUGUACGUACCGCCAUGAAUUCUUCCUUGGUCAGGUUCAUUGUCCUUGCCUCUUUUUUUUGACCUUCAUCCUUCUAAAUUCAGCAUAGAAGUCGAUGAUGGCCUGAACCCGCGCCUCAUAGUGCAUGUCCUUCACAAGCUUCUUGGCGGCUUGUUCGGUGAUGGAGGCCGCCCUAGCCUCGAAUCCCUCCUGGCAUCUAUAGAAGUCCUGCGUAUAGACACGUUGCAUACAAUUAUUAUUUCAAGAAUGUCCAGCGAAGAUGAUGUAUUAACCAAUGUAGUGCUGCGAAUACUUACCCACAGCUCGGCCUUCACCUGCUCCGCCUUGUUCGCGAAUGUCCUGUGGUCACGAUCACCGAUGUUGGCGGCAGCGACGUAGUGGUCCCACAUGUAGGCUGACUCCUCCUGUCCGGUGAAGACCACUAGACCAGGGAAGUGUAGCCUACAUAAAAGACCAAGGAUGCUGUUGACCUUGCGGUUGUGGCCACCCCCACUGAGCUUAAUCCAACUCCUGCACAAGUGAUUAAUAUAAAUUAUUAGUUUCUAUUGUAAUUUUCAACAUAUCAAAAGUAAUGAGAAUAUGUAAAGGAACUUACUUUGCCCCAGUGGGUUGAAUCAGUGGGCGUCUAUGAGGAGAGAUCGGUUGCUUCGGGAGGGACAAGGGACCUCACAACCAGAUCUUGGACUGUGAAUCCCCUGCCUCCUCCCCUUCCUCCCUCUCCUACUCCUGCUCCUGCUCCUGCUCCUCCUGUACCUCCGCCUUGUCACUAGAGGCGUGCACGGAAGGUAUCUCCUCCUCAGAUGAUCGGGGCGAAGGUACAGGCAAUGGGGACCUCACCCCUUUACCCCUUCCUCGACCUCUGCCUCUACCCAGGACAUGUGCCUCCUCUGUUUCCUCGACCAGUGCGUCACCCCUGCCUCCACCCCUGCCUCGACACCUCCCUCGACCCCUAGAUGAGUCUGACCUUGUACCUGACCCUAAAGCUGCAGCUUUUAAUUUUUCAUAAAGCGCUGCGAUCUUCCUCGUACCGCCCACCAUUGUUCAAUCACCUACAAUUACAAAGAGUAAACCAGUCAGCACAGAUAAACAAAACAUACUUAGGAAGAUAUGCAAAAUAAACUAAACAUACUUAAAAAAUAACAUGGUAUCACAAAUAAUAAAUAAAUUAGUACGGUCCAUACAUGUAUUAGAAAUAAUCGUCAUGAUCGGGAUUAGCUGGAUCGUAAGUCUCAUCAUCACUGUCACACAUGUCAAUAAAAUCAUUCCCGUGCUCCGAAGGAGGAAUGUCGUCAUCAAUGUUCUGUCCUAACUGUAAUCGCUGAAGUAAUUCUAACUCCUUCAUAUUAUGAACCUCAUCUCCAGCAUCAUCGUCAAGAACCCUUUCAUUGUCUACUUCCAUUCCGAAAGUUUCGGUUAAGUCAAUCUCAAAAAUCCCUUAUGUUUGAACCAAGAAAUGAAAUCGGGCAUUCCAUUUCCCGCACCCUCUCUAAGAAGAGUCUCCGCUUCGUGCGGGGUAGGUUCCCUUGAAUUACACCAGAAGUGACGAUGAAAUUCCCUGUACCAACGAGAAACAUGCGAGCUGGACGCAGAAUAGUGACUAAUUGAGAACAAACAAGUUUGUUGAGAACUUACAGUAUGUACGGCUCCACCUCGGAUAGGUUGGUCAAUACAUACAGCAUGAUAGUGCGCCACUCUUCAUAUUUCAAGUUCUUCUGUGUCGCACCACUUGCACUUCCGAGUUGUCCUCGAAAAAGGCUAAGGCUCGAUUCAGCUUUGCUGUCAUUGUAACGAGGGGGUGGAUUAUGCAUGCUAGGAAGGUUGUCAGCAUAGUAUUUUGUUGUGAAGUUUGACACCUCCUCCAAAAUGUAUGCCUCUGCAAUGGAUGCUUCAAUUUUGCAUUUAUUUUUACAUUUAGUUCGAAGAACCUUUUGACAUCUCUCAAUUGAAUAGCACCAACGGCUCUGCACAGGCCCUCCCCAUUCGUACUUCAUACGGGAGGUGCAGAAUCAUAUGCUGCAUCGGAUUGAAGAAGCCAGGAGGAAAGAUCUUCUCCAACUUACAGAGCAACACAAGCGCCAUUCUUUCCAUUUCUGCAACCACAGUCCAAGAUAACUCCUUAGCACAAAACUGGUGGAAGAAAUUGCUCAACUCCGCUAGCACCUACCAGACAUGCUCAGGGACAAAGCCUCGAACCAUCACCGGAAGUAGGCGCUCAAGCCAUAUGUGGUAAUCAUGACUUUUGAGCCUGUUGAUUCGCAUAGUAGCUAAGUUCACUCCCCUCUUUAGAUUCGCUGCAUACCCAUUAGGGAACAUUAACGUUUGGAACCAUUCUAAUACCUCCCUCCUUUGGGCCCUCGUCAGGAUGAAAUCGGCCUUAGGCUUUCUCCACAACUUGCCGGCUCUGGGAGGCGCCAUGUCUAGCUUUGGUCUAUUGCAUAACCUUGCUUGAUCCACUCUAGCCUUAACGUUAUCCUUUGUCUUGUCAGGAAUGUCCAUGAUUGUACCAAAAAUUGCCUCGGCGAUAUUCUUUUCAGUGUGUAUAACACCAAUGUUAUGUGGGAGAAGAAGGUCAUCAAAAUAGGGGAGGUUCCACAAGCACGACUUCUGAGUCCAAGCAUGUUGCUCACCAUAUCCCACAAAACCACCUUCAUGAUUAUUGACCUCAAGAGCAUCUAACUGAGCAUGAAUCGUGGCUAAGGUCAUCAUCUACGGUGUGGGGUCGUUAACUACGACAUCUUUUGUAAAGUUUUUAAUAUCUCGUCNNNNNNNNNNNNNNNNNNNNNNNNNNNNNNNNNNNNNNNNNNNNNNNNNNNNNNNNNNNNNNNNNNNNNNNNNNNNNNNNNNNNNNNNNNNNNNNNNNNNUGUUGAACGAAGAAUACUUGCCACCCUUCAUCAACCAAAUGAACUUCAAAGAAGCCUGCAUACUGGGCAUGGGAACUUCCCGUGAACACACCAGCCACAGAAAAUACCAUAUGCCGGCAAAUCAUGCAGGAAGUAUCGAUACCAAACAUGCAUAUUGAAGUUUGUCCUUGUAGCUCGGUCGUAUGUCCAUACCCCUUCCUCCCAUGCACGGACCAAAUCAUCAAUCAGAGGCUCCAUGUACACACUCAUAUUAUUCCCCGGGUGUUCUGGAAUUAUCAACGAUAAAAAUAUGGUCUGUCGUUGAAAGAGGACACCAGGGGGGAGAUUGAGGGGGAUAACGAACAUAGGCCAACAGUUGUACAGGGUAGCCGCCAUUCCAUAAGGAUUGAACCCAUCUGUUGCCAACGCAACACGUACAUUACGAGCCUCUAGAGCUUUCUCAUGAUAAAUCGCAUCAAACUUUGUCCAGGCUUCACCAUCGAAUGGGUGUACCAGCUUCUCAGUAUUGUAUCGAUGUCCGUUUUUAUGCCAUGCCAUCUGUUUCGCGGAUUCUUCACUCAUGUAAAGCCGUUGGAUCCUCGGUAUGAAGGGAAGGUACCGUAGGAUCUUCACAGGGAUUGCAAGCUGCUUCUUCUGACCAUCACCAGAGUCUACCUCCAGGAACCUAAAUAAUUCGCACUUCACACAGUACUUUGUUUUCGCAUACUCUUUCCUAAAUAAGAUGCAUCCCUUCGGGCAAGCAUGUAUCUGCUCAUAUGGCAUCUUAAGUGCACGAAGAAGUUUUUGUGCCUCAUACAUCGUCUUUGGCAAGAUGUGACCCUCCGGGAGCAGGCUCCCAAACACUUUCAACAUAAUAUCGAAGGCGUCUCGACUCAAGCUAAACUGGGACUUCGCGGCCAUUAGACGUGCAAUGGCAUCCAGUUGAGAAACCUUGGUAUCCCGUGAAGGGGUUGCUGUGCCACAGACAACAUGUCGUAAUACGCCUUUGCAGUAGCCUCUGGCUCCUCCUCCCUACGUGCUUCAUGAUAGUCAUCUAACAUGUCUCCCACCCCGGCAUCAUCAUCAUAUUCCUCGAUGCGUUGUCUGACGACCUCGUCUCUCCCACGAUCGACUUCACCAUGGUAGAUCCACCUGGUAUAGUCUGACAUAAAUCCAUGCCUAUCGCGAUGAAGACUACUUCCAGUCGUCGAUCGGNNNNNNNNNNNNNNNNNNNNNNNNNNNNNNNNNNNNNNNNNNNNNNNNNNNNNNNNNNNNNNNNNNNNNNNNNNNNNNNNNNNNNNNNNNNNNNNNNNNNUUGUUUUUAAAAAUUUUCAUUCGGUACACGCACCUGUCAGCAGGCCCGUGUACAUACUUUGCCGAGUGCCUAGUGAAAACACUCGGCAAACUGUUGUCUUUGCCGAGUGUCUUCUUCAAACACUCGGCAAAGUACACUUAUAUUUCAUGUAUACUUCUUCAAUAACGUGUGUUACUAACUUUUUUCCUAUAUAGUUUGGAAAAACCUUGUCAAAUUC